UGUCUUGCAUACAUAGCUCAUGUGUAUACCUUUGAUCAUCUCUUUUAUAUGCCAUGACUAAUGUGUUUUCAAGUAUAUUUCAAACCAAGUCAUAGGUAUAUUGAAAGGGAAUUGGAGUCUUCGGCGAAAACAAGGCUUCCACUCCGCUUCAUCAACUCAUUCAUCCUUCGCCGUCGCUCCGAGCACCUCACCGUUUUUUGGUAUAAUCUUCAAUCAUAUUAUUUGUUUGCCAAAGAGGGAGAAAGUAGUUCAUAAAAGGGCUCUAAUGAUUCUGUUUUUGGCGAUUCAUGCCAAAGGGGAGAGAGUAUGAGCCCAAAGCAAAAGGACCGCACCACCACCAAAUUUUAAAACUUAUGAUUUUCAAAUUGGUAUCUCAUUGUGUUCAAAAGGGGGAGAAAGUAGUAUUUUCAACAUUGAUGUCUUAAAACCCUCUUGAACACUAAGAGGAGGAUUUUAUUGAAGGGAAGUUUUGUUUAGUCAAAGGAAAAAGCAUUUGAAACAGGGGGGAAAUUUUUCAAAUCUUAUAAAUGCUUCUCAAAAUUCUUAUUCAUUUAUCUUUGACUAUUUGCAAAAGGACUUUGAAAAGAUUUUCCAAAAACUUUACAAAAACAAAACAUGUGGUGCAAGCGUGGUCCAAAAUGUUAAAAAUAAAAAGAAACAAUCCAUGCAUAUCUUAUGAAUUUCUAUUGGCUCAAUUCUAAGUAACCUUUGCACUUACAAAUAUGCAAACUAGUUCAAUUAUGCACUUCUAUACUUGCUUUGGUUUGUGUUGGCAUCAAUCACCAAAAAGGGGGAGAUUGAAAGGGAAUUAGGCUUACACCUAUUUCCUAAUUGAUUUUGGUGGUUGAAUUGCCCAAACACAAAUAAUUGGACUAACUAGUUUGCCCUAGUCUAUAAGUUCUACAGGUGCCAAAGGUUCACAAAAAGUCAAUAAAAAGACCAAGAAUGGGUUCAAACAAAAAGAGCAAGGGACAACCGAAGGCUGCCCUGGUCUAGCACACCGGACUGUCCGGUGCACCAGGGGACUCCAAGCUGAACUCUUCACCUUCGGGAAAUCUCAUAGGAGCUUCACUAAUUCACCGGACUGUCUGGUGCCCCAGGGGAGAGCGACUCUGAACUCGCCAGCUUCAGGAAUCUGCUCCGCUAUAAUUCACUGGACUAUCCGGUGUGACAGCAGAGCAACGGCUACUUCCCGCACAACGGUCGACUGCAAUACAUUAAAUGCGCGCCAGCGCGCGCAGAGGAGCAGGGCACGCGCGGGUGGCACACCGGAUAGCCUACAGGGCCUGUCCGGUGCACCACCGGACAGCCAGGCGGGCCCACAAGACAGAGCUCCAACGGUCGAACCCUAACGGUCUGCUGACGUGGCUGGCGCACCGGACAGUGUCCGGUGGCGCACCGGACUGUCCGGUGCGCCAUGCGACUGCAGCCUUCCAACGACUACUUUGUGGUGGUUGGGGCUAUAAAUACCCCAACCACCCCACAUUCAUGGCAUCCAAGUUUUCCACCUUCCAACUACUUACAAGAGCUCUAGCAUUCAAUUCUAGACACACCAAAGAGAUCAAAUCCUCUCCCAAUCCCACUCAAAGCUUUAGUGAUUAGAGAGAGUGAUUGUUGUGUUCAUUUGAGCUCUUGCGCUUGGAUUGCUUCUUUUUCUCAUUCUUUCUUGCGAUCAUCUCAAUUGUAAUCAAGGCAAGAGACACCAAUUGUGUGGUGGUCCAUGCGGGGAAGUUUGGUUCCCGUUUGAUUGAGAAGAGAAGCUCACUCGGUCGGAGGGACCGUUUGAGAGAGGGAAAGGGUUGAAAGAGACCCGGUCUUUGUUACCACCUCAACGGGGAGUAGGUUUGAGAGAACCGAACCUCGGUAAAACAAAUCCUUGUGUCUCACUUCUUUAUUCGCUUGCGAUUUGUUUUUACGCCCUCUCUCGGACUCGCAUUAUAUUUCUAACGCUAACCCGGCUUGUAGUUGCGAUUAACUUUGUAAAUUUCAGUUUCACCCUAUUCACCCCCCCUCUAGGCGACUUUCACUAACCGUCAAGGAAGGGUCGGCCUUGCCUCAGCAAAGCCCGACCCUCCCUCGGGGGCUAGAAGGGGGAAACCCCCUCUGCUUCAAAAUUUUCCUCAGAAAAAUUUUCUACCAAAACAACUUUUGUGCUUUCGACUUCCGUAUCGAUAGCGGGAUCCUGAGAACGACGAGAGUACACGUAAGCGGCAAGGCCGACCGAGCCGAGGAACUCCUACGCCUUCGGGAUACGAAUACCUCACUCAUCACCUUCCGCGAGAAGUAACUCACGCUCGGAUAAGCGAUCCUGCUACCGAACAAGUCCUAACACUCAGGUAGAAAACGACUUUCGCGCCUUCUUGACUGUACCAAUAAUGGAAUCCUUCGACAAAAUGAGAGCGCACGUAAGUGGCAAGGUCGUCCGAGCCAAGGGACUCCUAUGCCUCUGGGAUACGGAUACCUCACUCAUCACCUUCCGCGAAAAGUAACUCUCAUUCGGAUAGACGAUUCUGCUAUUGACAGAGAAGUCGUGAUGCUCGAAACAAGAGGAGAGAAGACGUAGCUUUUUAAACACGAUGAUCAAGUGUUUAGGCCUCGGCGACCGUGAAAAAGCAUGCGCAUGCUACAGACAAAAUGUUCCUGCAGGUUCGGGCAUCGGCAGGGGGAGCAGCAGCACCCUCGGCGUUGUUUCCACCCUCGGCGGAACCUGGCCCGGCCUCGGACGGCGACCCAGGCAAAAGGACCUCCACCUAAAGGAGGACGCCAGCACCGCGCCGGCAGACGUCUUGGCCAAGCUCCAGCGGCUACUACCACAUCUUCCUCGGCCUGGGAAGCCGCCAUCUCCCGGGCCGACGAAGUCUCUUUCCGUGCCGACUCCGCGUCUGUCCGCGCUAACACCGCUGCCUCUGGCUCUGGCUCAUCGCAGAGCAGCCGAGGGUUCCAAAAACUGAGCAAGAGAAGCCAAGAGCGGCAAGGCUGACAGAGCCGAGGGACUCCUACGCCUCUGGGAUACAGACACCUCACUCUUCACCUUCCGCGAAAGGCAACCGACGCUCGGUUAAGUGGUUCGGCUAGCCAACAAGCAAGUCCCAGUGCUUGGAAUGAGGAAGACACACAGCUUCAUUUUCGAAUACCCAAAUGUUCAGGCCUCGACAGCCACAAAGAACAAGCACAUACACUUGGGGGUAACUAUGCUACAUAGACUUAGACGUCGGUAGAACCCUCGGCGGUUCUCCCGACCUACGACAAAUGUCUAAGUGCUUGAAGCGGUUACAUUGUGCUCCGGCAAAAACCCGGUAUAUCUCCUUACAAACGGGACUCUGGUUCCGCUCCCACGGGUAUGAACUACCUCCACACCAGAGGGCCUACGGGACAACAAAUUCCAGGUGGCUCGCCGGCGACCACUACGCCAGCAGCGACAACGACACCCGCUUCGGGCGGCUAAACAGCAGCAGCGAUGACCUCAGGGCCGACGCUGCUGUGACGAGGUCCUCGCCCGCGUCUCCGCUCGAGGGGCGAGGACAAGCCAUCAAAGCCAAAGAGCCGGGGGUCCGGCCACAGCUGGCACCGAUGGUCUCGUCGGCGGAGAAACCUUCUCCGGCUGCCACCACCUCAACACCGAUGACAGCGGCCACCUGCGCGCCAGCACCACGCCGACGAAUGGCGGACGCCCCAGCCUGCACCGGCAGAUCCCCACUCAGGUCCUUGCGGACGGGCAGGCCUCGACCUCCGCGCGGAGGCAUCGUGCCGGAGUGAGGACAAGAUAAUCCAAGAACACGAACGUCGCCCAUGCGGCGUACGGCGUCUUGGACGGUGAAAGGGAAAUGUGCCCUUGGGCCAUUUCUAAGUAUUUUGGUGAUUGAGUGCCAACACAAGUGCUUAAAUGUGAAUUCAUGCUUAUGGGUGGACAAAGUGCAAAACAAGAGCAAAGGUAUGUUUCUAAGUCUUAGGUGCUGUUUGGUUCAAGAAAUGUAACGCAAAGGGUAAUGGUAAUGGUUUACAUUCGAUUACUGUCGGUAACAAGUUUAAAUAGUGCGGUAUCAAUUUUUAGUAUGGUAUCUGAUUACAGUGGGACUAAAACAAACAUGAUUUAACGUUAUCACUUACCCAUUACGUUACAAAUAUCUGAACCAAACGGUACCUUAGUACAUUGGUUUUGUGUACUAAUAUACUUGUCUAAGUAUUAGAAACAGAGAGAAGAAGAAAAGAGAAGAGCUGGCUGUGUACAGCCAAAAGGCUGGUUCGGUCUGGGGCACCGGACUGUCCGGUGGUGCACCGGACAGUGUCCGGUGCGCCAGGCUGACUCGGCGCGAAGUGGCCGCUCUCGGGAAUUCGUCCAACGGCGUACGGCUAAAAUUCACUGGACUGUCCGGUGUGCACCGGGCUGUCCGGUGAGCCAACGGUCGGCCGGGCCAACGGUCGGCCGCGGAUUCUGCGCGCGACACGUGGCCGGGCCAACGGUCGGAAGGGAGCACCGGACUGUCCGGUGUGCACCGGACAUGUCCGGUGCGCCAACGGCUCUCUGGCCGCCAACGGUCGGCUUCGCCAUUUAAGGAAGGAAAUCGGGCACCGGACAGUGUCCGGUGUGCACCGGACUGUCUGGUGCGCCCAAUGACAGAAGGCAAGAAUGGCCUUCCAGAUUUGCUCUCAACGGCUCCUAGCUGCCUUGGGGCUAUAAAAGGGACCCCUAGGCGCAUGGAGGAGAUAACCAAGCAACCUUAGAGCAUUCUUGAUCAUCCACACUCAGUCCUUGCGCAUUCGUUUGUCAUUCUCAGUGAUUCGAGCUCCGUUCUAGUGAGAACUUUGAGAUAGUCUUUUGAGCUCGAUUCUUGGCCGUGUGUGUGCGCAUUUUGCUGUGGAUUUGUGUGUGUUUCUUCUCUCCCUUACUCCGUGCUUCUUUGUGAACUUCAAGUGUAAGGGCGAGAGACUCCAAGUUGUGGAGAUUCCUCGCAAACGCGAUAAGAAAAGAAAAGCAUAACACUGUGGUAUUCAAGUUGAUCAUUGGAUCACUUGAGAGGAGUUGAGUGCAACUCUCGUCCGUUGGGACGCCACAACGUGGAGUAGGCAAGCGUUGGUCUUGGCCGAACCACGGGAUAAACCACUGCGUCAACUCUGUGUUUGAUCUCUUGUGGUAUUGUGUUUUGUUGAGACUCAUCUCUAGCCACUUGGUGAUUAUUGUGCUAACAUUUAACCAAGUUUUGUGGCUUAAGUUUUUAAGUUUCACAGGAUCACCUAUUCACCCCCCCCUCUAGGUGCUCUCAAUUGGUAUCAGAGCCGUUCUCUUCAAGAAGGGACUAAUCGCCCAAAGAGAUGGAUCCUAAGGGGAAGGGAAUCGUGAUCAACGACAAGGAGAAGGAGUCCUUCGUCAACGAGCCGAAGGAUGACAAGCCCACUGACUCGGGCUCGGGCCACAAGCGCAAAGACGGGAAGAAGAAGAAGACAAGGCGCAUCAAGGAGAUCGUCUACUACGACGAUGGCGAUGAGUCUACUUCUUCCCAAAAGGACGACGACAACGACUACAGGAAGACGGUCAAUUCGAACUUUUCAUUUGAUUAUUCUCGUAUUCCACAUAGUUCGAAUUCGCAUUUGCUUUCCAUUCCUCUUGGCAAACCUCCACACUUCGAUGGGGAAGACUACGGAUUUUGGAGUCACAAAAUGCGUAGUCACUUAUUCUCUCUCCAUCCAAGCAUAUGGGAGAUUGUAGAGAAUGGAAUGAAAUUUGAUAGCUCGGAUAGCCCUAUGCUUAUAAAUGAACAAAUCCAUAGAAAUGCACAAGCUACUACUGUUCUAUUAGCAUCUUUGUGCAGGGAAGAGUACAAUAAGGUGAGCGGCUUGGACAACGCCAAGCAGAUAUGGGACACCCUCAAAAUCUCUCACGAGGGGAACGACAUCACCAUGCUCACUAAAAUGGAGUUGGUGGAGGGCCAGCUUGGACGAUUCGCAAUGAUAAGGGGAGAAGAGCCAACCCAAACUUACAACCGGCUCAAGACCCUUAUCAACAAAAUAAGGAGCUACGGAAGCACUCGAUGGACGGACCACGACGUCGUUCGCCUAAUGCUAAGGUCCUUUACCGUUCUUGAUCCUCAUCUCGUAAACAAUAUUCGUGAGAAUCCCAGGUACACGAUGAUGACGCCCGAGGAGGUACUCGGAAAAUUCGUAAGCGGGCGAAUGAUGAUCAAGGAGGCGAGAUACGUCGACGACGCUCUAAACGGUCCAAUCAAUGAGCCUCAACCUCUUGCUCUCAAGGCAACAAGAAGCAAGGAAACGCUACCUAGCAAGGUGGCACAAAUUGAGGCGGCCGGACUUAAUGAUGAAGAAAUGGCUCUCAUCAUCAAGAGAUUCAAGACUGCACUAAAAGGCCGCAAGGGGCAACCAAGCAAGACCAAGACAAAGGGGAAACGCUCAUGCUUCAAAUGUGGUAAGCUUGGUCAUUUUAUUGCUAACUGUCCCGACAAUGAUAGUGAUCAGGAUCAAGGGAACAAGAGGGAGAAGAAGAAGAACUAUAAGAAGGCAAAGGGCGAGGCGCAUCUAGGCAAGGAGUGGGACUCGGACUGCUCCUCUUCCGACUCCGACAAUGAAGGAUUCGCCGCCACCACCUUCAACAAGUCAUCCCUCUUCCCCAACGAGCAUCACACAUGCCUUAUGGCAAGGGAGAAGAAGGUGAGUACUCAAGACUCCACUUAUGCUUCUUCUAGUGAUAAUGAGUCUAGUGAUGAUGAUGACAUAGAUUAUUCAUGCUUGUUCAAGGGCUUAGAUAGAUCUAAGAUAGAUAAAAUUAAUGAAUUGAUUGAUGCCUUGAAUGAUAAGAAUAGGCUUUUAGAAAAGCAAGAGGAUUUGUUGUAUAAAGAACAUGACAAAUUUGUAGAAGCACAAAAAACACUUGCAUUAGAGAUUAAGAGAAAUGAAAUGCUUUCUUUUGAACUAUCUACUUGUCAUGAAACCAUUUCUACUUUAAAUGGUGUCAACAAUGAUUUAAAUGCUAAAUUAGAAGUAGCAAAUAAAUCUAAUUCUUGUGUAGAACAUGUUGUAAUUUGUACUAGGUGUAAAGAUUUUGACAUUGAUGCUUGUAGUGAACACCUAGUUUCAAUUUCCAAGCUUAAUGAUGAGUUGGCUAGUCUUAAUGCUCAACUUAAGACUAGCAAGAAUGAUUUCGAUAAGCUAAAAUUUGCAAGGGAUGCCUACACGAUUGGUAGACACCCCUCAAUUAAGGAUGGACUUGGCUUCAAGAGGGAAGCCAAGAACUUAACAAGCCAUAAGGCUCCUAUCUCCGCCAAGGAGAAAGGGAAGGCUCCUAUGGCUAGUAGUACUAAAAGGAACCAUGCUUUUAUGUAUCAUGAUAGGAGACAAACUAGAAAUGCUUAUAGGAGUUAUAAUGCUUAUGAUGAUUUUGACUCUCAUGCCAUGUUUGCUUCUAGUUCUUCCUAUAUGCAUGGUAGAAAUAUGUCUAGGAGAAAUGCUAUUCAUCAUGUGCCUAGAAAGAAUAUUAUUCAUGCUCCUAGGAAAGUAGUGAAUGAACCCUCUACAAUUUAUUGUGCUUUAAAUGCUUCCUUUGCUAUUUGUAGAAAGGAUAGGAAAAUUGUUGCCAGGAAGUUAGGGGCAAAAUGCAAGGGAGACAAAACUUGCAUUUGGGUCCCUAAGGAUAUUUGCACUAACCUUGUAGGACCCAACAAGAGUUGGGUACCUAAGUCCCAAGCCUAAAUUUGCCUUGCAGGUUUAUGCAUCCGGGGGUUCAAGCUGGAUUAUCGACAGCGGAUGCACAAACCAUAUGACGGGGGAGAAGAAGAUGUUCACCUCCUACGUCAAGAACAAGGAUUUCCAAGAUUCAAUUAUAUUCGGUGAUGGGAAUCAAGGCAAGGUAAAAGGGUUAGGUAAAAUUGCAAUUUCUAAUGAGCACUCUAUCUCUAAUGUGUUUUUAGUAGAGUCUCUUGGAUAUAAUUUGCUAUCUGUUAGUCAAUUAUGCAAUAUGGGAUAUAACUGUCUAUUCACAAAUGUAGAUGUGUCUGUCUUUAGAAGGUGUGAUGGUUCACUAGCAUUUAAGGGUGUACUAGACGGCAAGCUUUAUUUAGUUGAUUUUGCAAAAGAGGAGGCCGGUCUAGAUGCAUGCUUAAUUGCUAAGACUGGCAUGGGCUGGCUGUGGCAUCGCCGCUUGGCACAUGUGGGGAUGAAGAACCUUCACAAGCUUCUAAAGGGAGAACACGUGAUAGGUUUGACUAAUGUGCAUUUCGAAAAAGAUAGACCUUGUGCAGCUUGUCAAGCAGGUAAACAAGUGGGAGGAGCGCAUCACAGCAAGAAUGUGAUGACCACUUCAAGACCCCUGGAGUUACUACAUAUGGACCUCUUCGGACCCGUCGCCUAUCUAAGCAUAGGAGGAAGUAAGUAUGGUCUAGUUAUUGUUGAUGACUUUUCCCGCUUCACUUGGGUAUUCUUUUUGCAGGAUAAAUCUGAAACUCAAGGGACCCUCAAGCGCUUCCUAAGGAGAGCUCAAAAUGAGUUUGAGCUCAAGGUGAAGAAGAUAAGGAGCGACAACGGGUCCAAGUUCAAGAACCUUCAAGUGGAGGAGUUCCUUGAGGAGGAAGGGAUCAAGCACGAGUUCUCCGCUCCCUACACACCACAGCAAAAUGGUGUGGUAGAGAGGAAGAACAGGACACUCAUUGAUAUGGCGAGGACGAUGCUUGUAGAGUUCAAGACCCCCGAGUGCUUUUGGUCGGAAGCCGUGAACACGGCUUGUCACGCCAUCAACAGGGUCUACCUUCACCGCCUCCUCAAGAAGACGUCGUAUGAGCUUCUAACCGAUAACAAACCCAAUGUAUCUUACUUUCGUGUAUUUGGGAGCAGGUGCUACAUUCUAGUGAAGAAGGGUAGAAAUUCUAAAUUUGCUCCCAAAGCUGUAGAAGGGUUUUUAUUAGGUUAUGACUCAAAUACAAAGGCAUAUAGAGUCUUCAACAAAUCAUCGGGUUUGGUUGAAGUCUCUAGCGACGUAGUAUUUGAUGAGACUAAUGGCUCUCCAAGAGAGCAAGUUGUUGAUUGUGAUGAUGUAGAUGAAGAAGAUGUUCCGACGGCUGCUAUACGAACCAUGGCGAUUGGAGAAGUGCGGCCACAGGAACAAGAUGAACGAGAUCAACCUUCUUCCUCAACAACGGUGCACCCCCCAACUCAAGACGAUGAACAGGUUCAUCAAAAGGAGGCGUGUGAUCAAGGGGGAGCACAAGAUGAUCACGUGAUGGAGGAAGAAGCGCAACCGGCACCACCAACCCAAGUUCGAGCGGGGAUUCAAAGGGAUCAUCCCGUCGACCAAAUUUUGGGUGACAUUAGCAAGGGAGUAACUACUCGAUCUCGAUUAGUUAAUUUUUGUGAGCAUUACUCCUUUGUCUCUUCUAUUGAGCCUUUCAAGGUAGAGGAGGCCUUGCUAGAUCCGGAUUGGGUAUUGGCCAUGCAGGAGGAACUCAACAACUUCAAGCGCAAUGAAGUUUGGACAUUGGUGCCUCGUCCCAAGCAAAAUGUUGUGGGAACCAAGUGGGUGUUCCGCAACAAACAGGACGAGCACGGAGUGGUGACGAGGAACAAGGCUCGACUUGUGGCAAAAGGUUAUGCCCAAGUCGCAGGUUUGGACUUUGAGGAGACUUUUGCUCCUGUGGCUAGGCUAGAAUCAAUUCGUAUCUUGCUAGCAUAUGCUGCUCACCAUUCUUUCAGGUUGUACCAAAUGGAUGUGAAGAGCGCUUUCCUCAACGGGCCGAUCAAAGAGGAGGUGUACGUAGAGCAACCCCCUGGCUUCGAGGAUGAACGGUACCCCGACCACGUGUGUAAGCUCUCUAAGGCGCUCUAUGGACUUAAGCAAGCCCCAAGAGCAUGGUAUGAAUGCCUUAGAGACUUUCUAAUUGUUAAUGCUUUCAAGGUUGGGAAAGCCGAUCCAACUCUCUUUACUAAGACAUGUGAUGGUGAUCUGUUUGUGUGCCAAAUUUAUGUCGAUGACAUAAUAUUUGGUUCUACUAACCAAAAGUCUUGUGAAGAGUUUAGCAGGGUAAUGACGCAGAAAUUCGAGAUGUCGAUGAUGGGUGAGUUGAACUACUUCCUUGGGUUCCAAGUGAAGCAACUCAAGGACGGCACCUUCAUCUCCCAAACGAAGUACACGCAAGAUCUGCUAAAGCGGUUUGGGAUGAAGGACGCCAAGCCCGCAAAGACUCCGAUGGGAACCGACGGACACACCGACCUCAACAAAGGAGGUAAGUCCGUUGAUCAAAAAGCAUACCGGUCAAUGAUAGGGUCUUUACUUUAUUUCUGUGCUAGUAGACCGGAUAUUAUGCUUAGCGUAUGCAUGUGUGCUAGAUUUCAAUCCGAUCUUAAGGAAUGUCACUUAGUGGCGGUGAAGCGAAUUCUUAGAUAUUUGGUUGCUACGCCUUGCUUCGGGCUCUGGUAUCCAAAGGGGUCUACCUUUGACUUGGUUGGAUACUCAGAUUCCGACUAUGCUGGAUGUAAGGUCGAUAGGAAGAGUACAUCAGGGACGUGCCAAUUCUUAGGAAGGUCCCUGGUGUCGUGGAACUCUAAGAAACAAACCUCCGUUGCCCUAUCCACCGCUGAGGCCGAGUAUGUUGCCGCAGGACAGUGUUGCGCGCAACUACUUUGGAUGAGGCAAACUCUUCGGGACUUUGGCUACAAUCUGAGCAAAGUCCCACUCCUAUGUGACAAUGAGAGUGCUAUCCGCAUGGCGGAAAAUCCUGUUGAACACAGCCGCACAAAGCACAUAGACAUCCGGCAUCACUUUUUGAGAGACCACCAGCAAAAGGGGGAUAUCGAAGUGUUUCAUGUUAGCACCGAGAACCAGCUAGCCGAUAUCUUUACCAAGCCUCUAGAUGAGAAGACCUUUUGCAGGCUGCGUAGUGAGCUCAAUAUCUUAGAUUCGCGGAACUUGGAUUGAAAUGUAGCAUAUAUAUGUUUAUGCCUUUGAUCAUGUUCAUUCUGCAUUUUGUUGCUUAAUGUAGUGCUCAAGUUGUACAAACACUCCCUGGACCUCACAAGUCCUGUUUGCAAGUGAUGCACAUAUUUAGGGGGAGCUGUGCUACAACUUGACCCUUUGAGACUAACCAUGUACUUGAGUUUGGUUGUUUUAGUCUCCAAGGAGAAUUGAAAGGGAAAAGGUGGACUUGGACCAUGCAAGACUUCCACUGCACUCCGAUGAAAAGAGUAACUUUUCCAAGUUCAUCUUUAUACUCUUAUUGCCUUUGUGUUCUUAUUUGAAGAUUUUGGUGAGGCAAUGGGGUUAAAGGGGCCAAGAUUGAUCCCGUUUUGGUGCUUGAUGCCAAAGGGGGAGAAAAUAAAGGCCAAAGUGAUAAAUGGAUCGGCUACCACUUGAGAAAUUUUGAAAAUAGUAGAAUAGAGCUUUUGGUUUGUCAAAACUCUUGCAUUGUCUCUUUUGUCAAAAGUUGGCCUCUUGUGGGGAGAAGUGUUGAUUAUGGGAAAUAGGGGGAGUUUUUGAAAUCUUUGAUCAAUCUCUUUUGGAAUGACUCUCUUUAUGCUUCAACAUGUGUGUUUGACUUAGAGAUAGAGAUUUGAGUUUGAUUUGCAAAAACAAACCAAGUGGUGGCAAAGGAUGAUCCAUAUAUGCCAAAAAUGAAUCAAAAUAAAUUUGAGUUUUAUUCGAAGUGAUUUUGCACUUAUUCUAGUUGCUUUAUGUUGUGUUGGCAUAAAUCACCAAAAAGGGGGAGAUUGAAAGGGAAAUGUGCCCUUGGGCCAUUUCUAAGUAUUUUGGUGAUUGAGUGCCAACACAAGUGCUUAAAUGUGAAUUCAUGCUUAUGGGUGGACAAAGUGCAAAACAAGAGCAAAGGUAUGUUUCUAAGUCUUAGUACAUUGGUUUUGUGUACUAAUAUACUUGUCUAAGUAUUAGAAACAGAGAGAAGAAGAAAAGAGAAGAGCUGGCUGUGUACAGCCAAAAGGCUGGUUCGGUCUGGGGCACCGGACUGUCCGUGGUGCACCGGACAGUGUCCGGUGCGCCAGGCUGACUCGGCGCGAAGUGGCCGCUCUCGGGAAUUCGUCCAACGGCGUACGGCUAAAAUUCACCGGACUGUCCGGUGUGCACCGGACUGUCCGGUGAGCCAACGGUCGGCCGGGCCAACGGUCGGCCGCGGAUUCUGCGCGCGACACGUGGCCGGGCCAACGGUCGGAAGGGAGCACCGGACUGUCCGGUGUGCACCGGACAUGUCCGGUGCGCCAACGGCUCUCUGGCCGCCAACGGUCGGCUUCGCCAUUUAAGGAAGGAAAUCGGGCACCGGACAGUGUCCGGUGUGCACCGGACUGUCCGGUGCGCCCGAUGACAGAAGGCAAGAAUGGCCUUCCAGAUUUGCUCUCAACGGCUCCUAGCUGCCUUGGGGCUAUAAAAGGGACCCCUAGGCGCAUGGAGGAGAUAACCAAGCAACCUUAGAGCAUUCUUGAUCAUCCACACUCAGUCCUUGCGCAUUCGUUUGUCAUUCUCAGUGAUUCGAGCUCCGUUCUAGUGAGAACUUUGAGAUAGUCUUUUGAGCUCGAUUCUUGGCCGUGUGUGUGCGCAUUUUGCUGUGGAUUUGUGUGUGUUGCUUCUCUCCCUUACUCCGUGCUUCUUUGUGAACUUCAAGUGUAAGGGCGAGAGACUCCAAGUUGUGGAGAUUCCUCGCAAACGCGAUAAGAAAAGAAAAGCAUAACACUGUGGUAUUCAAGUUGAUCAUUGGAUCACUUGAGAGGAGUUGAGUGCAACUCUCGUCCGUUGGGACGCCACAACGUGGAGUAGGCAAGCGUUGGUCUUGGCCGAACCACGGGAUAAACCACUGCGUCAACUCUGUGUUUGAUCUCUUGUGGUAUUGUGUUUUGUUGAGACUCAUCUCUAGCCACUUGGUGAUUAUUGUGCUAACGUUUAACCAAGUUUUGUGGCUUAAGUUUUUAAGUUUCACAGGAUCACCUAUUCACCCCCCCCCCUCUAGGUGCUCUCAGACGGUCCACCGGUGCGCACGGCGCAACAGACGCCCGAGCCCAGAUCAAGCGGCAGGAGGCAGCGUCGGAGGCCGCGACAGAGCCAGCUGAGCCAGCGAGCCAAGCACGCUGGAGCUGACGACGCUUGCGGCCGACCGGUCCUGCGUUGCCGAAGUUCGCCCCUCCGCAAGGUCGGUGAGCGCCUUCUCCCCUGAAUGCUGAAGGAGGAGACGGCCUGCCGGCCCAUGCGGGAGGUAGAACCCCGGCUCAGCUCGCCCUCCGCCUCAGCAAGGAUGAUGAAGAUCCUUGAAGCUGAGGGCGGGGCAGAGGCUGCAGCCCAGCUUGCUUCUCCCCACCAAACUGCCCAUUGGUGAGGGAAUGCAGCCGGGCUGCACGGCGAAAAUCCUUGAAGCUGAGCGAUGGCUGAAAGGUGCUGAUCUCCACGAGGCCGCGCUCCUCCAACGACAGCAAGAGCAAGGCGGCGCUGGAGCACCCCAUCCGGGGGCUCAAAAGGCGGAAGGGCGCAAUGCAUGAGGGGAGAACGAAGGCAUGGCCACUGCCCAGGGGAUCGAUCCCCCUUUUAUAGGCAGACCUCCUCACUUGCACCCCUUAGCAUCACGGGCGAAAUCCCCACUGACAUACUCUAGGGUUCUCCCCCUACGACAUGGGGGCUACGACCCACACGUCAUACGAGCUGAUCCGAAGCACGAAGAAGGCGAACCGCCGCACGCGAGGCAUGUAACCGUCCCGCGGUUACAAGCGCUCUCCCAUCUUCGCAGAAACCGGUGGUCGAAAGGGUGAACUGCCACGCGACGGACAUUCAACUGCACCGCAACUGUGCGCCCCUUCGGCUUCGACCACAUCCGGCGGACCAGCGCAAAGGAAGCGGGCCCGCGUGUCAUGUAACCGGCGUGCCGGUUAUGACGUGCGAGAAGUUACACCGCCACUCGUGCCAAUGUUGUGCCUCCUCGACUGCGGAACCAGUACCGCGACUCGAGGUAGCCCUGUGCAGGACCCAACAGUGCCAGUUAAAGGUGAUGGCCACAGGCCGGUCAGCCGCAGGGCGGGCACGACGGUUGGCAUGGUCAAAAGUGGGCCGACAGUAACUGUAGCGGCAGACGAGCGGAGGUAGCGGUCAAGUCGCCUGCAGGCUCGCAUCCACUCCUGAAGCGACGGGAGAGCCCUCUCCCACGGCGUGAAGACGACGCGCCCGUGCCCCGUUCCUCUAACGGCUCGCACGCGCAAUGGGCGCCACGUGAAUCGCCCGUACCAUCGCAUUAACUUCCCGACGGAGCAAGCGACACCUCUGGCAGGCGAGGCGAGCGUGGCUUCGCCUUCGCCAUAAUGACCGCAUCAAAAAAGGUGUGCCACCUUAUUUAAAUUCAUAUCCUUCCCCUCCUCCUCUCUCUCUCUCUCUCUCUUGCUACAGGGACCGGGAAGGGGAUGUUGUGGAAAGGAUCCUUCCCGGCGAAGGAAGCGGGCCCCGAGCCCUCCUACUGAUUAGGGGUUCGAAGGCUGGCCCCUCGGAAGGGUUCGACAGCCGCCCCAGAGCGCUCGGGCUCCGUGCCCACUACUGAUCAGGGGUUCAUAGGCUGGCCCCUCGGAAGGGUUCGACAGUCGCCCCAGAGCAUGCAAAGUGAGGGAUGACUCUGGGUACGUUCGAUACAUAGCCGAGGCUCGGGCUAUGCUCCCGAGGUACCCUAGGACAUUUCCGAGAUCGGCGGGAACGAUUUGUAAUGGAAUCCCACCGGAGGGAGGCAUCGAGCCCUCGGACCCUGUCGAAGGGGUCUGGGUCUGGCAAAUCACCUGCAGGUACUUUUGGAGCGCGCCUCUGGGCCACCAGCCGACCCCUAACGAACGGGGCACUGGCGUCCACUCGAAUUACCCGUUAGCAGCUCGCUGGAAACACCAUGUUCGGCGCCCUCCGAGGGCAACAUGGCGCUUCCCCCCCUCCUUCUUGCGGAAAGGCGACGCAAGGGCGUAUAAUAAAAGUCGGGAAAGUCCUUGAUCGUCCUCUCGCUCCGUGCAGAGGCUCGGGGGGCUGCUCUCGCACCCGGCUACGGCCAAAACUAUUGACAGCAUCAACAAACCAGCUUGAUAACUUGGAACCCGACCACGCACCUGGGCUACGGCCGGGCCGCAUGAGGGAACGAUCAGACCGGUCGAAGCACCACGAAAAGCAUUCAGACCUCAGAGGAGUCAAACCACUCCUCCGAGGCCUCGGGGGCUACACCCGGCAGGUGCGCUCGCGCGCACCCCUCAGAACAAGGCAAAAACCGAGAAAGGCCGGUCCCCUCACCGAAAACGCGGCAAAAGCCUCCAAACGAGUACCAACACUCCCUUCGAGGCUCGGGGGCUACUGUCGGGUACCAUAAUUAGGGGUAUCCCCAACGCUCCUAAUCAUGGCUGGUAAACACCCUCAGACCAACUGACGGGUGCGGUUCAAGCCAAGACUUCGUCUACCCGAGGGACGCGAUCUCACCCGAGCCCAGCUUCGGGUUGGAACAGUAGUCCCAGACGAAUUCACGCCUCGCCGGAGGGCCUCCUCAUGCAGCAGGCGCCCCCUCGGCUCUCCCGAGGCCCGGCUCGGGCAGGCUUCAUUGUGAAGCAACCUUGGCCAGACCGCCUCACCAACCGACCGCUUCGCAGGCGCAUUAAAUGCAGGGGAUGCCUGACGCCGUAUCCUCACACACGCACCUCAGUCGGGCAGGCCGAAGUGACCGCAGUCACUUCGCCCCUCUUCUUUACUGUCUGACAUGAUAGGAAAACAGCGCCGCUCGCUCCGCUCCGACUGCCGUGUCAGCCACCCUGGCGACGACUGACAACAAGUCACGAUCAACCCCCGAGUUCAGCCUCGGGCACAACAGGAAGCUCCGCCUCGCCCGACCUCAUGCUCCAGCCUUGGGAGGAGGUCUCCGCCUCGCCCGACCCCCGGACUCGGCUUCGACCCCGGUCUCGGGAGGAAUCGCGUCCUCGCCCGACCCCGGCCUCAAGAGAAGUCUCUGCCUCGACCGACCCUGGGCUCGGGCCGACCGCGCUAACAGGGGAUACAUCAUUUUCCUAUUCCUAGCCUGCUCAGGCUACAAGGAACAAGACCGACAUCCCAUCUGGCUUACCCCGGCAACAGGUAAUGAUGGUGCCCCGCGUGCACCAUGACGCCGGUGGCUCUCAUCCCCUUACGACAGCAAGGAGACGUCAGCAGGAUCCUCACCGCGCUGCCAGCUAUGCUCCUACAAGACUCAGGCGCUCCUUCGACGACCACGCCAUCAAUGUAGAGGGCCCAAGCUCUCCCCCAACGGCCACGUUGGCAUGUACACAGGGCUUAGGCACUCCACUGCCGGACACGUUAGCGCAUAGCUACUCCCCCCACUGUACGACUGGACUCUCUCCUUGCCUCUAUAAAAGGGAGGUCCAGGGCCACCCUGAGGGGGUUCGCGCGAGGGAAGCGACGGACAAACUUUGUGUCUCUCUCUCCCUCACGCGACACGCUUGUAACCCCUACUACGAGCGGCACCGCUGGUGCAGGAUAAUACAAGGCUUGUCCCACCUCUUGUGUUCCAUCCCGCGCCAACCCGUCUGGGCAGGGGCACGCAGCGAUUUCACUGGUCGGUCCAAGGGACCCCCCGGGUCCGAGACGCCGACACACAACAACUUCGGUUGUUACGAAUUCAUUGCUUGAUCCAAUGCAAGCCAUCCAGUUCCUAAAUUCCGAAAAAGAUGGCCUGGGUCCUUGAUGGAAGAAUGGUUUUAUGUCAAGAAUGAUCUGAUUGAAAGAGAGGACACUAAGGGAAUCAUCCAACGCCCCAUCUGGUCUCGCUUCGGCCUUCGGAGGCCGAAGGUGACAAUCAAUCAUAAUGACGAAGCAUGCCAAAAGGCUUUUAGCAACGUUUGUGCCUUCAUUGGCACAAGGGAUAUAGUUCAAGAGCACAUAGCGUACAAAAUAUGGCCACUUGUAGAAAACUGGGAUAUGCCGAAGGAUACUACUGCCGAGUCAACUGAAGGUGGGUUGGUCCGAUUGAAGUAUACCUUUAGAUUCAGAGACCGGUUUGAUGAGCCGAAUGAUGAUUGGCUAAAAAGUAUUGAGGUUAUCAGCGACGAGCUACUUGGAGCAUAUAGCAGAGCCGAAGAUGAUGCCUUGUCCAUAGCCUUCGGGGGCCAGGGGAAGAAAAGAUUAAACAGAGUAUUUGAUGCCAUCGGCUUCAUAUACCGUGAUUAUUACUACCCACUACGAAGGCAAGGGAAGAAAAGAAAAGCUAUCGCUUUGGCAACCACUGUUGUGCCGAAGGGCAAGAAGAUGAAGGUCCUGACCCAUCGGCCGCGAUAUAUUGAACCGGUCGUUGUGCCUGAAUUUGGCGAAGGAACCUCUUCAACUGCUGAAGUAAAACAAGCUGCUCCGAUUACGCAGAGCGCAGAAGAGCCGAUUGUAGUGCCGAAGGUGCCUACAGUCGGGCCUACCGAAGCCAAAGAUGGUGCGGCCAAAGAGCCGAUAAUGGAAAAGGUAUUGAAACUACCAGAAAUUCUGAGCCCAUCAGAAGGAGCAGAAUUGCCAAAGGUACAAAAAAUUGUUGCCGCAACUCCCAAAAGGAGGAGGAUGGCUAGCGUACUAGACUGUAGGAAACGGGUGACGCCUAAGAGGGGGGUGAAUUAGGACUUCUAAAACUUUUACUAAACUAGGCCACAAUUAAAUCCCUAGAGCAAAACCUAUGCAAAUAAUCAAAACUAGAAUGUGCAAACUAGGUUUUGUCUAAGUGUUGCUAUCUCUACCGCAAAGGCUAAGUUUCAAUCUACACUAAAUAAGUAUGGCUACAAGAUUGAAACUUAAAUGCUUAAUAUAAAUGCGGAAUGUAAAGAGCUAAGUAGAGAAGCAAACUCUCGUGGAUGACGCCGGUAUUUUUACCGAGGUAUCCGGAACCACGCAAGGUCCCGACUAAUCCUCGUUGGUGCCCCUACGCAAAGGGAAGCCCACGCGAGGGCCAAGCACCAUGGUCGAGUAACUCCGUAGAGAGUCGCGGGCCUUCUCCACGCGCAAGUGGUGCUCCGCUUCCAGCUCCUCUCGGACGCUCCCCACCGUCUCCUCUAUCGAGCUUCCGGCCGAAACGCCGCGGGCCUCGUUCCCUCCGGUACACGGUGGCGGCCGUGACACAAACGCGGUUGUCACGGUCUCGCAAGACUCUCGCCCCACUCGGUACAAUUACAACGACUCACACAAGAGCCGAGGGGUUGUGUGGUUUUACAAAACUCACUCAACUAACUAGGGUUCACCUAGAGCAAGCGCUAAAGUGGUCUAACUAACCUAAGCACUUCGCAAAGCACCUACGCUAAUCACCGAGUGGUUCUAUUAAGCACUUGGGUGUUUGAGCACUUGGAAAUAUGCACUAUGUGUCUUGGUAUGUUGCUUGGGCUCUCACACUUGAGAAUGGCCGGUUGGGGUGGUAUUUAUAGUCUCCACACCCCAAACUAGCCGUUGGACAGAAAGCAGCAGCUUUCUGUCGUCGGGUGCACCGGACAGUCCGAUGCACCACCGGACAUGUAUUGUGCAGUGUCCGGUGCACGCCACGUCAACCGACUGUUGGCGCCUGUAGCAGUCGACCGUUGGAUCCGACCGUUGGUGUCUGCCCAGUGCACACCGGACAGUCCGGUGCAUACCGGACAGUCCGGUGCUACAGCCAGAGAGCGUCUGUCCGUGGCCUCUCUGCGCAGACUGUCCGGUGCCUCACCGGACAGUCCGGUGCACACCGGACAUCAAUGUCCGGUGCGCCACCAGGCGUUGGCUGACAGCCCGCAUCUUCGAUUCCUUUGCUGAUUUCUUCGGGCUUCUUUAGUUCUUGAGUAUUGGACUCCUAUGCAUCUUUUUAUGUCUUCUUUUGAGGUGUUGCAUCCUCAUUGCCUUGGUCCAGUUCUCUUCGCAUCAUGUGAACUAUAAUUAUAAACACUAGAAAACAUAUUAGUCCACAGGUUGUGUUAAUCAUCAAACACCAAAACUCAAUUAACCAAAAGGCCUGGGGUCCAUUUUCCUUACAAUCUCCCCCUUUUUGGUGCUUGAUGACAACACAACCAAAGCAAGCAAAUAAUACAAGUAUUUGAAUUAAAAUAUGCAAUCUACUUGCUAAGAUGCAUGAUUAUCCCCACAAUGUGAAAUUAUGGACUUAAGCCUCCCCCUAACUCCAUAAUUCACUUACUUCCUAUUUUUGGACCAAAUAACCAAAACCACUGGAAAAACCAUUUGUAGAUAUAAAAUUUUAAAUUGGUGGUGUUUGGUGUUUGAUAUAGUUUUCAUUGCUUUGGUCCCUAAACUUCUCCCCCUUUGGCAUCAACCACCGAAAAGGAAGACAUUAAAAGCAUGUAGGAAGUAAAUAAAAGCUUGCCCCUAACAAGAAUUGUAUCAAAUGAUAUCACUAGAAGGAUAUUGAAUUGAACCAUAUGAAUGAUACCAGUUGAAAUGAUUACUCCCCCUAAAUGAAUGUUCUCUUUAGAAAGAGGUUUCUCCCCUUUUUAGAGAAGAAGAAAUACUCCCCCUGACAGAGAUCCUCUACUUAGGAAAAAAGCAUGUGAAAAUUAGAGGUGCAAGUCAAGAUUUGAAAAGACUAACUUCCCUUAUGCAUAGGUAACAGAAUAUGAGUUAACCACUUAUGCAUUUUUAGCAACAUGGAAGUAUAUGAUAUGAAAUAUAGUCUAAUCAAAUAUUGGAGAAGACAUGUAAAUGAUACUGAAUGUAGUCUCAAAAGGUACCAAUUGAAAGUCAAUGGUGAGCUUGAGAGACAUGAGAGUUCUUGGAGAUUUUGCAGUGGAAGAUUGUUGUCUUUCUCCGGGGACCUUAUUUUCCUUACAAAGAGACUAUCACAUAAAAUAGACUUGAAAAGGUGUUAGUCUCAAAGUGUUAGAUUAUAGAGUAAUCUCCCCCUAAAGGUGUGCAUACAAGUUUUGAAUACUUGAAGGAGACAUGCACUUUGAUUUGAUAUCAAGAGGGGAAAAUUAUCCAUAAUCCGAACUUUGGCACAUAUAAGUUAAAUGAUACAACUUGUAGAGAUCAAAAUUUUCAAUUGAUGCAUCAUUUACUAUGGAGUGAUAUAAAAGCUAUGUGCUGUGCUUAAAUAAACAUUUUAAGCCAUGUAGGUUUGCUUAAGUAUAUGAAUUAAAAACAAGCAAUCCUACCAUAUGAUUUGCCUAGUAUGCAUGAUUUUAAACAAAAGUACAUAACAAAUGUAAUACUAGGCAAGAAAGGUAAACUAGAUAAAAGGUAAAUAGAUACGCAUAUCUAAAAACGAAGAAUACAAUAAAACUAGUUACCUUAGUUAUGGGUGGGAAAUUUGGGUCCGAAAUUUUCACUAACCCACUUGGCAAUAAACUUGAUCCAAUAUGAUGUAUCCCAUGAUAUACAUCCCAAUUUUGCCAAGUCUCCAAAUUUCCCGAAGACCUUCGGUCCACUCACUUCCCUUUCGGGAUCCAAACCUUCUUGGUGCUUUUCAUGGUUGAAAUUAUUUCCUUUGGCACCCAGAUGCGUUUGGCCCCUUUUUCUUUGUUGGCUUGCUUGUUGGCCUUGAUUGCUAUCACCUUUCCAUUCUUUUUCUUCUUGAUCAAAUAUGGUGUAGCAUCCUUUUUGUUCACCUUUUUGAUGUAGGUGUUGGAGAUUUUGCUUGAGCUUUUGCCUUUGUUUAUCCCCGGUCAUCGCCUUGCAUUGGAAAGACUUGUGGCCUUCCUUGUAGCAUAGCCUACAAAUCACAGUUUCUUCCUCCAUAGGCUUGUUCACUCCCGCAGUGGUGUUAUCCUGUGGAGGUCGGAUUUGUUUGGCUUUGCCAUUCUUGUCAUACAAAGCCUUGCCAAGGCGAGCCACUUCUUGCUUUAAUUGUUCAUUUUCCUUUGCAACCUCAUCCGAACAUGUUUCUACAACAAUAUUCUCAACAAAGACUUGGUUGCAGGGGUUAGACUCAUCAAGUAAAUCAAAGCAGGAAGUAGAAGCAUCUUUCUUACUAAUUUCAGGUAUUUCAACUAAAGAUGCUGCUGGGGUGCUACCAAUGUUUUCUAGCUUAGUAGUUAGCUCAUUAUUGUGUAUGCUAAGAAUUUCCAUUUUCUCUAGCAAAUUUUCAAUAGCUUCUUGGGAGCUAGCUAACUUAGCCUUAAGUUUUUCAUUCUUUUUAAUAAGGCUAUCAUCGGUAGCAGUGGAUGGAGCACUAGAUUCUAAUAGCUCAAUUUUAGUUGAUAGCUCACUAUUUAAGUUUGCAAAAGUUUCAAAUUUUUCUAGCAAACCUUUGUAAUCGUUUUGAGAGCUAACCAACUUAUUUUUCAAAGUUUUAAGUUGAGCUUUUUGCUUAGUGCAAACAUCCUGGAAAAAUUCUACGGCUUCCGCAAGCUCAUCUAGAGAGGGCUUUCCCUCACCUUCAUCAUCACUACUACUUUCAUCACUUGAGGAUGAAAUGCUUUUGUUACCUCUUGCCAUAAGGCAUUUGUGUGAUGACCGUGAUGAUCGUGACGAGGACCGGUGGCUGCGCGUCCUUGGAGGUUCAUCUUCACUUGAAGAAUCAUCCCAAGUUCUAACACUUGUUAGCGCCUUGCCUUUGCUCCUCUCCUUUUUGGGUUUGGCCAUAUUUGGACAGUUGUCCCUGAAGUGGCCCUUCUCCCCACAUGCGAAGCAUCCUCUCUUCCUUUGCUUUUUCCUGUCACUGUUAAAGAGAAGAUCGUCGACCUGCAGGGGCACACCCAUUAGAUUAAUCUUGCGAAUCAUCCUCAUUACCAUUUCGACGCGUCGGAUUGUUUCUUUGUCCUCGGAGGAUGAUGUGCAUGGUUGAUUAUCUUCAUCAUCAUCACUUUCUUAUUCUUCCUUUUCUUCACUUGAGGAACUUGGAGUGGGAGCCUUCUUUUUUCCCUUCCUUUCAUCACAUGCAAAAGCAUAUGGUCUUGAGGAAGUUGGCUCCUCUCCCCGACUCAUUUUUCGCGACAUCUCAAAAGCCGCGAUUUUCCCAAUCACAAUGGUCGGGGUCAUGUUGCUCAAGUCCUCCAUGUUGUGAAGGAUGGUGAUGAUGCUCCCAUAUCUUUGUUGUGGUAGCAGGGAGAUAAUCUUCCUCACAAUGUCCGCAUCACCUAGCUUAUUAAUGCCAAUAGAAUUGAGCUCAUUGAUUAUUAGAUUCAAACGAGAAUACAUGUCUCUAACAAGCUCAUCAUCUUUCAUAGCAAAAGAAUUAUACUCAUUUAAGACUAGGCAAUGUUUUUGCUCACGGACAUUGGAUGUGCCGUCAUGGAGCUCAUGCAAUUUUAGCCAAAUCUCAUUAGCAGUUUUCAAGGUAAAUACUUGAUUAAAAAUAUCCAUGCUAAGAGAUUCAUACAAGCAAUUUUUGGCUCUAGCAUUUAAAUGAAUUUCUUUUUCCUCACUCGUGGUGGGUUUCUCGGGAUCCUUGAGAGGUUUCAUCCCGUCACGAGUGACUCUCCAAACACCUAGAUCAACGACCUCUAGGUAACAAGCCAUUCUAGCACUAUAAUAUGGGAAGUUAGUGCCGUCGAAGUGUGGUGGCCUAUGGGUAUCCAUCCCUUCCUCUAAAAAGCGUCGGCUCUUUUAGCGGUGAAGCUAAAGCGUUUCAAAUGAGCCAAACCGGGCUUUGAUACCACUUGUAGGAAACGGGUGACGCCUAAGAGUGGGGGUGAAUUAGGACUUCUAAAACUUUUACUAAACUAGGCCACAAUUAAAUCCCUAGAGCAAAACCUAUGCAAAUAAUCAAAACUAGAAUGUGCAAACUAGGUUUUGUCUAAGUGUUGCUAUCUCUACCGCAAAGGCUAAGUUUCAAUCUACACUAAAUAAGUAUGACUACAAGAUUGAAACUUAAAUGCUUAAUAUAAAUGCAGAAUGUAAAGAGCUAAGUAGAGAAGCAAACUCUCGUGGAUGACGCCGGUAUUUUUACCGAGGUAUCCGGAACCACGCAAGGUCCCGACUAAUCCUCGUUGGUGCCCCUACGCAAAGGGAAGCCCACGCGAGGGCCAAGCACCACGGUCGAGUAACUCCGUAGAGAGCCGCGGGCCUUCUCCACGCGCAAGUGGUGCUCCGCUUCUGGCUCCUCUCGGACGCUCCCCGCCGUCUCCACUAUCGAGCUUCCGACCGAAACGGCGCGGGCCUCAUUCCCUCUGGUACACAGUGGCGGUCGUGACACAAACGCGGUUGUCACGGUCUCGCAAGACUCUCGCCCCACUCGGUACAAUUACAACGACUCACGCAAGAGCCGAGGGGUUGUUUGGUUUUACAAAACUCACUCAACUAACUAGGGUUCACCUAGAGCAAGCGCUAAAGCGGUCUAACUAACCUAAGCACUUCGCAAAGCACCUACGCUAAUCACCGAGUGAUUCUAUUAAGCACUUGGGUGUUUGAGCACUUGGAAAUAUGCACUAUGUGUCUUGGUAUGUUGCUUGGGCUCUCACACUUGAGAAUGGCCGGUUGGGGUGGUAUUUAUAGCCUCCACACCCCAAACUAGCCGUUGGACAGAAAGCAGCAGCUUUCUGUCGUCGGGUGCACCGGACAGUCCGGUGCACCACCGGACAUCUACUGUGCAGUGUCCGGUGCACGCCACGUCAGCCGACCGUUGGCGCCUGUAGCAGUCGACCGUUGGAUCCGACCGUUGCUGUCUGCCCAGUGCACACCGGACAGUCCGGUGCUACAGCCAGAGAGCGCCUGUCCGUGGCCUCUCUGCGCAGACUGUCCGGUGCCUCACCGGACAGUCCGGUGCGCCACCAGGCGCUGGCUGACAGCCCGCAUCUUGGAUUCCUUUGCUGAUUUCUUCGGGCUUCUUUAGUUCUUGAGUAUUGGACUCCUAUGCAUCUUUUUAUGUCUUCUUUUGAGGUGUUGCAUCCUCAUUGCCUUGGUCCAAUUCUCUUCGCAUCCUGUGAACUAUAAUUAUAAACACUAGUAAACAUAUUAGUCCACAGGUUGUGUUAAUCAUCAAACACCAAAACUCAAUUAACCAAAAGGCCUGGGGUCCAUUUUCCUUACAUAGACGUUGUCAUAGAGACCACGAAGGCCUUAACUCCUGCUUCUACCAAGAAAGCUACCGAAGCUGCCAAAAACCAAGUCGAAGCCGAAGCUGGGCCUUCAGCGCCUACUGAGACGAAGGCCGCCGUGCCUGAAGAUAAGGUGGGUCAGCAAAUUUCAGAUACCGGCAAGACGACGGAGCAAGACAUGGCAGAAAAAGCAAAAUCUCCUGUCCCCAAAGCCUUAGCUGAAUAUAUUGAUUACAUUGUUUGACAUGCUUCGGGGAAGAAAUUAUCUGAAGAAGAAAUCUUGGAGGCCAAACACUACGCCCAAAGACUGAAAUAUCCGAAGGGGGCCUUAGUGUUCAAUGGUACUAACGAAGAUGAUUUCCUGUACUGUCUCCCGGAUAACAAAGAAAUAUCUGUUUGCCGGGAGAUAGCUAAGAGUAUGGGAUUUCCUAAGCUUGAAGAAGGGCUUUCGGUCUUGUCGAAGGAUGAUCUUGCUGAUAGCCUCGCGUAUAACAAUAUAAAGGUAUAGAGGUUAACUUUGAAGCUAGAAAAUGAAGUAUUUUAUUGCCAUGCUCAACUCUUUCUUCUUGUUUGCAGGGCUUAAUUCUUAGUAAUGCCUCGAGGGCUCAGAAGAGCGCCGAAGACGAAGGCUGUACAAUGGCUCUUAACAACCUUCGCUCUGAGGUGAUUGAACUGAGAAACAAAGGUCUAGAGAAACACAAAAGUUUGAUUUCAUUGGUGAACAAAGUAAAGGAAGACGAAGCUAAUUACAAAGCUCAGGCUGAAGCCCAGAAAACCGAAAUUGGAGACCUUCGGAAACAAUUGGCCGAAGCUAAGGAGAACUGCGUGCUCGCACAGGCUAAUCAAGAGAUCAGUGAAUACUGGAAAAAUAAGCUAGAGAAAAAUGUUAAAGAACUUCGCGAAUCCAAGGAAAGGUGCUUUGAGAAAUCCUUGGAUUGCGUGAAGAAAUUAAAAACUAGCUUCGCCAAAGUUUGCGCCUACUCUACUGAAGAAAACUUCAUACGAGGCGACCCCGAGGGCGUUGUUGAAUGGAUAAGUGGAGAAGUUGAAGCCUUCGAGGAAAUUUUGAGUGAUCGCGGGGAUAUUUGCGCGUUUUCCGGUGCGUGAAGAAUCUCAACUAUUCUAGAGAAGGCAGGAUGUGAUCACGUUAAGGCCAUAGCCUAGGCCGAAGCUGCCUUCUCCAUAGAUGAUACGAAGGAUCCUUCAGCCGAAGCAACUUUAAUGAGUGGGAAAUUUUAUAACGAUGUCUGGAUGAACGGUGGCCGAGAGCUGGCCCAUGAGAUUAUAAAAAAGAGUGAAAAAGACACCCAUGACGCCCAGGCAGAAGCAAAGCGAGCUGAAGAAGCUGCUGAAUGCGAAAGGCGUAUAGGUAUUAUUUCUUGAUUAUUUAGCUUCGGUACUUGCUUUGUGGCUUCGAACUAAACUGUUUACCUACUUCAGCUGAACUAUCCCCGCCUCCGGAGCCGUACGAUCCCCUAGCUGAUCCAGAAAUGAAGGAAGCACUGGAAAUUAUAAGCCUGGCAGACUCCAUUAUCGACAAAGUCAUCGAUAAGCUUUUGAACGAAGUUGCAGAAAAAGUUCUUAAAGAAGAAUAGAUUUUAUUGUAAUAAUAUUUUGAAACGCUUGAUGUAUGGAACAAUGGAAGGAAGAUUAAGCUUCUACUGUAACAAAACUAUGUAACAUUUGAUGUAUGUGACAUUGAAUCGAAUAUGUAAAUCGUUGUAAUUUAUUUCUUUGCGAUGCAUGAAACGUACACACAUACCGUUUUGAGCCUUCGGCGAAAAAACACCUCCCUUCUUUUCAUGCUUCGUAAAGAAGGAAACCCCUUUUAGGGUAGAUCUGAUAGAAUUGUCAUCCGAAGCUUGAUUCGUGCCUUAGCACAUUUUCAUUCAAUCGAAGUAUUUCCAAUGGUUUGCUUCGUAUUCAGUCUUUCUGUUGAUGCGGUAUGAUGUAUGAUGUGAUGCUAUGCUAGAUGAUGCGAUGAUAUGAUGCAAUAUGAUGAUGCUUUAACAUCCACACACAUGCCCAAACUAGUACAUGGAAGACCGCAUCCCCUUAGGAACAUCUGUUGAGUCUAAGCUCUGCAUCCCCUUAGGAACGACUUUUGAGCUUCUUCACCUUCUAUUUCGGUGGUAUAAGUUCUGCAUCCCCUUAGGAACGACUUUUGACCUUCUUCGCCUUAUAUUUCGGCGGUAUAAGUUCUUCAUCCCCUUAGGAAUGACUUUUGAACUUCUUCGCCUUAUAUUUCAGCGAUAUUUGGGUCUGCAUUCCCUUUGGAACGACUUUUGAGCAGAAAACUUACACUGCGCUCCCUUAGGAACGACUUUUUGUAGCUUCGUCAAUUUAGGCUCUGCAUUCCCUUAGGAAUGACUUUUGAGCUUCGGAAUCUGCUUUGUUUUUUUAAGAGUCGUCUUUCGAGCUUCGUAAAUCUAUGAAGAAGAUAUAUUUCAUUCUAGUGUUUGCAGAAUUAUUACAAGAAGUUGAAACUAAAUUUUUCAUUACUUGUUUCUCAUACAAAAAGGUAAAAUGGUAUAAAAGAUAAAAGUACUUCAAACAGUAGGAUAUUCCUCAAUAUAUGUGCUUCGCUUCUGGCACAGUGCUGUUGACUGUACGAGCUUCAGACUCCUCCUUGAAAUCUCGUUGCUGUUGGGGGUACUGACGCCCUUCUGGCUGCUGGCUUUGGGUAUGAGCAGGUGGCAAUGGUGGUGGCAGUGGAAGCUGGGGCUAGGAAGCUUGUGAAUGGCUUGCCAAACCAACGGAAGCUGCAGGUUGAUUGCCCACAUAUUCUGGUAUGUAGGGAGAAUAGCACGAAGCAGUAUGUAAAACUUGCUUCGGCUGGUUCUGCCGGGCUUCUGCUUCAGCAAUCUCUUUUUGCUUCUGCAUGGUAAUCUGACACGUUCUUGUAGUGUGGCCCUUGUAUUCACCACAGAAUAAGUAAUAGAUUUUUCUGGGCUGAUCCCCAUAUCUUCCUCCGAAGCCCCUGCCGCUUCUGCCCCUUGGAGCUGGUGGUCUGAAGGAGCUUUGUUUCUGUCCUGAAGACUGUGAGUUAUGUUGUGGCCUCUGGAACUGGCUUCCUUUGUCAUCACUCUAACUGGAGCUAUGGAUUGAUCUGACAUGCCUAGGGUGGAUUCUUCCUCCGAAGCCCCUAGUCAUCUCAGAAAACCUAUAAGCUUCUUCCCUUCUUUGGCGGAAAUCAUUGUCAGCCUAGAUGUACUCAUCCAUUUUCUGAAGCAGCUUCUCUAGAGUUUGGGGGGGUUUCCUAGCGAAGUAUUGAGCCGUGGGCUCUGGCCGAAGACCCUUGAUCAUGGCCUCAAUUACGAUUUCAUUGGGCACUGUAGGCGCUUGUGCUCUCAGACGCAAGAACCUUCAGACAUACGCCUGAAGGUACUCCUCAUGGUCUUGUGUGAACUGGAACAAGGCCUGAGCAGUGACUGGCUUCGUCUGAAACCCUUUAAAACUGGUGACCAACAUGUCCUUAAGCUUCUGCCACGACGUGAUUGUCCCUGGCCGGAGAGAAGAGUACCAUGUCUGGGCUACACUUCGGACUGCCAUGCCGAAGGACUUUGCCAUGACAGCAGCAUAGCCUCCGUAUGAGGAUAUUGUUGCCUCAUAGCUCAUCAAGAAUUGCUUUGGGUCCGAGUGCCCAUCUGAAAGCUCUCUUAUGGGUUUUUGUCUUUGGAUGACAACCCAAUUAAAGGACUAACAAGUGUGCUAAGUGUUGAACAUGUGCUUAAUGCAAAGCUAAUAGAGUUCAACACAAGUGAACAAGUGUGAUGGUCCAAAGACUGAAUUAUCUAUAGAUAAUGAACACUGCUUAAGUGAGACUCGGUGUGUGUAACUCAGAGACAACCGAUCAAGCCAAGGAUGGAGACAAGAAGAGCUUCGAGGUACCGAGUGCAUGGAAGAAGGUCAAGGAGACUAGGAACCCAAAGCCAGGGGUGAAGAAGAAGACUUGCAAAGUCAAGGUUGAUCGAGUUAAGAGUUAUGGUGCAUCAAGGAUCACUACAUAAGGAGAUGACUUACAACCAAUCAGGUAACAUCUUAAGUUAUAUGGUGUAAGUCAUAAGGCUCAAGAUCAAGCUCGAGAAAUGAACAAGGGAGUUGGAGCUCAGAUAUGUCAAUCUAGAUCAAGUCAAGUUGACUUAAUGGUUUAGAGUCCAACAUCGACCUCAAACAUGCCAAAUUGGAAAAAGAUGAAAAAGGUUAAGUAUGUAAGGUUUGAGUGUUCAACCAUGUUGCAUACACCUCUUACUACAAGUUUGGUGCUUUGGUUUGCUCUCUAACUAUUUUUGUAGAGAGUACCAUUCUGAGCUCUGCUGGAGGAGAAACAGAAAAGCUAGGAGAAGAACAAAAAAGAUGUAAGUUUCUAGGACUAAAUCAAUUGGAUUAUACUCUAAAUGUGUUUGUUUAAGUCUCAGGAAAAUCCUCCCAAAAUUUGAAGUCAAACGGAGAAAGAACGGAGGAAAAAUCACUUAGUGUGCUAUUGGCUGGUGCACAGGACAGUGAAUAGUAGCUGUCCGGUGCACAGGACAGUGAAUAGUGACAUAUCCGGUGCACAGUACAGUGAAUAGUAGCUGUGUCUGGUGCACAGGACAAUGAAUAAUAGCUGUGUCCGGUGCACAGGACAGUGAAUAGUGACCUGUCCGGUGCACAGGACAGUGAAUAGUAACAUGUCCGGUGCACCAACAACUAGCUGUUCUAGAGAAGGAAACUGUCAAUCAGAUCCGUUACUGUUCACUGUCCGGUGCGCCACCGGACAGUCCGGUGCGCCACCGGACAGUCCGGUGCACCCGCAACCAGGGAAGGUUGGGAGCUUCCAAAUGAAGCUCCAACGGCUCCUAGGCCCUUUGGGGCUAUAAAAGGGACCCCUAGGCGCCUCAAACAAGUACACAAGUGCAGCCAACAAGUCCAUACAUCAUUUGGAUCAAUUCUUUCUCUCCCUCUCUUGUGUAUCUCUCUAGUUUGUGUAGAGGCGAAGUUAUAAGCAUUUAGAGAGAGGGGAAGUGCUGCUGAGAGCUAGAGCAAUAUCUUGAGCGCAUUGUUACUCUGCCGGAGUGCUGUCGAGAAGAUUGUAAGCAGUGUCGAGAAGAUUGUAAGCAGCCACGACAUCGUUGUAACUGAUAUCAACAUAGUGGAAGGCUCUAUCUGUCGCACUGACAGAUCUGAGCAAACAGAGGAAGGAGUUGAAAUAGACUCCAAGCUAAGGUGUGGCUAACUCCAAUGAGGACUAGGCAAGCAUUUCAGGCUUGGCCGAACCUCGGGAUAAAUCCCUGUGUCUGUGUGCUCUGCUCUGUGCUGUGUGUUGUUUCUCUGUCUUAUUUGUUGUUUAUACUUGCACUUCAAUAUUUAUAUGUGGUUCAAGCUGUCUUCGAAGUGCAGGGUAUUUUAGGACAGGAACUUCUAUUUCGCUGCAACCUAUUCGAAGGGUCCUUCAUUCCACUAUGAUCCAGCCUUCGAGUAGAGUAAGAAUUUCCAGUUUUAAAGUGAUAAUUAUUAUUCGCCUAUUCACUCCCCCCUCUAGGCGACAUCUAGAUCCUAUUCCCGGGCAUAGGGAACUUUCACCAUCGUACAUGGGCAACUGGGUGGCUUGUAGGAUUGUGGCCAUGGAAUAACCUGCAAUUCUGCUGCCAGGGGAGAAACAUCAUCAAAAGUAAAGUUACCAUGAUGAAAGUCAUCGUACCACUCAUCUUCGUUGAAUGAGCCAUCUUGACGAAGCUCCCUGUGCUGAGGCCUUGGGUCCUGGUCAUCUUGAGUGAGAUGACGUAUUUCUUCAGCGGCCUCAUCGAUCUUCUUCUGAAGAUCGGUGAGACGAAGCAUCUUCUCCCUUUUCCUCUGGACCUGUUGAUGAAUAGCUUCGAGAUCCCUGAUCUCUUGGUAUAACUCUUCCUCCUGUGGUGUCGGACUAGUAGCCUUCCUUUUCUGAAUUCUGGCUUCGCGCAGAGUGUCCUGGUUGACAUCUAGUAGCUGCAGUGGAGCCCCUAGUCUUGACGAGGCUUUCUUCGGCGGCAUGACGCAGCUCACAGCUUGCCGAAGGUGGUCGAAUGAGUUCACCGGAGGUGGGCGCCAAUGUUGGGGACUUGUUCUCAAAUGCUAUGAGUUAAGAACAAGGCAACACAAAAUAUUAAUGGUUAAAGUCCUUCGUCCUUCAAAACAUUAUCUCCCUUAGGAUAUAAUGAUCUUCAGAUGAAGGUUAUGAAGGUCGCACCUUCAACAUCACAGCUUAUAUUAAUGAAAGUAGAAGCAUAUAUGACAUGAGAAAUAGCAUGAAUAAUCAUAUGACAUCAUUGAUAUGUUUUUAUUAUAUCAUCACGAAUGGGCAUAAACAAUAUUGAAUUACGUUUAUACCUUCGGCUUGACGGAAGGCGAAAGUUCAAGUGUGACGCGCGAGUGAAUACAAGUCAGCGCAAACAGUAUAGUAUCACUGUUCAUCAAUUUAUAGGCACAGGACGCAGCCUGUGUGAAAUUACAUUCAUGCCCUUGACAUUUACUAUUGACUUAGGGAUAACCUAUCGAGGACUAGACAACCUUUUCCCCUUUAAGUCGGUUUCAUUUUCCACUGCUGAGUCAAAGCUUUUCCACGAGUAGCUUCGGCAUUGGUUCAUCCUUCUUCUGAACUGUGCUCUUCAUAUCAUGUACAACUUCAUCCCAUGUCCGAAGGUUCCUGUACAUAUAUCAUACUCGGGAUACACGUUAGUCGUGUUUUUGAGGACCUUCGGAAGACGAAGGCCCCCAACAGCAAUGAUUUUGGUUCAUUGUAAUAAGGCAGUGCUUUAAGCUUAGUUCCUCAGUUCCAGCUUCAACGUGUGCACGUGUUGUCUCCAUAGUCUAUGCUCUGAUUAACGUGAUGGAGAGGAUUUGUGUGGUGCAUUACUUGUAUUGUUGUCUGAGUGGAGGGAAAGGGAACUGUAGCGGGAUGAUAGUGGUAUGAAUUUCUUCUCCUGUUUUAGAGCUCUGCUCUGUAUUGUUCUUUAGGUAAUUCAGUUGUCGCUUCUUUUAGCUAACAUGUUUCAUUCGAGUCACCAACAUCUCACUAUAAGGCCUCAUCUCAUACUUCAAGCGGUUUUUACCUGAAAUUAUAAGACAAAAAUAUGGUUAGCAAUCUCUAGUUAGGUUAGUAGGAUGCUCAACAUCUUAUUGGGUGUAUGCAAUAUAACUACAUUGUUGCACCUUGAUGUCUAUUUUUCAGAGACACUCCACUACCUGAUGAACUUGGACGUUUCAUAUUUCAGUAAACAUGUUACGUGUAAGAUCAUGUGUCUUCUUAUUAAAUAUCUUGAAGGAAAGGAAUGGGGGUAUGUCCCAUUAUAUACCCGACUAGCUUUUAUAUAGAUGUUUGUAACAAAAAAGAACAUAUAUAUAAAUGUCUGCUUUUGAUCCAUAUGCAUAAAUGCCCACAUGGGAUUAGAAACUAGUGAUGGUAUCUAUGUCCUCAGCUACCCUAAUUCGUAUUUGUACGGUGACAAUAUCUAGUUCUCGCAUGAAAUUGCGAUUUACUUGGAAUCACUGCAAAUAUACAUAUAAUCAUGUUGUGUUUAUUAAUGUGAAAUUUGUGUUGCUUCAAGGGAAUUAUAUGACGUCUGAUAGGGCACUAUUGAUUCUAGUAUCUACUACAUUUAAGUGGGAUUUUCUCCUUUCGUGCGUUGUCUCACGCAGCGAAUGAAAUAAAAGUCCAAAAAUGAGUGGGUUCAUAUCAUCACCCUUCCCCCUCUCGUGGCUAGGUUCUAACAACUGGAGCUCACAACCAUUUAUGUUCAACAAAGAAUAAAUAUGGCAAAUAUUCUGAAUAUAGAAAUCGUAGUAACACGCAUACAACCAACUAGUUAGGCAUAGAAGUGUCAACUUUGAUCUUCGUGCAUCUUACAGAGGCGAUAUCCAAUGAGGGUCUGGCUUCCUAGUUCUCCUUUGGUGCCGAACUUGUUACCCCAGUUCCUCUACAAUCUAAAUGUCUUCCUCCACCUCCUCCGCCUUCUGCCUCGUGGUUGUGACGCCCAUCUUAAAGAAUGGGUUUAACUGAACGCGACCACAAUCAAGUGUACAACUGUACAAGUACAACUUUUGCUUGAGGAAAUCAUAUACACCGACUUGCUAUUGCAAGAGCUCAAUUCAGACAGACUUGACAACUUUAGCAAUUUUCUCUAAAAACUCCAACUCCAACCUUCAUAACUAAGGUACUGUUUGGCUAGGUGUACGUGAAUAGAUGCUUCCGUGAUCUAAAACGUAAACCAUAUAGAUUGAGUCUGAUUCAGUUAGAGGUGGAUUGAGAGAUUUAAUACCCUCCAAUCCCCCUCAAUCCACUUCAAACCGAACAAGUCCUAAUGGGGAUUGAAAGAUUAGAGAGGAAUUUGACUUGUAGGAGAUUUAAUUCUCUCAAUCCAUAUGAAUUUAUAGAAAAUGAACAUGGCCUAAAGGAUAUUAAAUUACUUCCUAGUCAAAAUUAAAUAUAAAGGGAUUCAAUCCAUUGCAAUCUCGAUACAACCGAACAAGGCCUAAGGCGGAUCCCAACUCGAGUAUUAGGGCAUGUUUAUUUUCUUGCAGGAUUAUAUAAUCUAGCUUAUUUUAUAUAGGCUAUAUAAUACAGUUUAUAUAAUCCUAUUGGAGAUGUUUGUUUACGUUGGAUAAAAACCAAAUAAUAAUCUAAAAUAAAUAUAUGAUCUUAAAAAUCUAAAUACCUAGAUUAUAUAUAAUCCACUAUAAUAAUUUGUGUUGUUUGUUUGCCAUUAACUCAUUUUAUUUGGAUAUAUAGUGUAGAGGGUAAACAAAUGUGACCUUAUUACACUUUGAAUCUACGUUUGAAGGACAUAUAGAGUACAAUAGGGGUAAAAUUCUUCGCCAACUUGUAAAGCAUUCUAAGAUCUGACGCCAUAACCGCCACGGAGAGAGAGAAAAAAGAGUAUAAUACCUAUCCAUGACACACCUCGAAACUGCUCUCCAUCACACAAGGUUGUGAAGUAGAGCUACUCGAACUCUAACACUUGGUCAACUCGAGUGCAGAGCAGUAGAUCCAUGGAGAUGCCUUCACAGGUACGCGGCGUCGGCGGAGUCCAUCCAUGCUCGUCCCAAAUUUUUAGAGGAUGAGUGUCCAACAGAGUAGGGGCCCUUGGGACGGUGUUCUAGGCCGAACUAUAGAUGGCCAAACGGGCCGGCACGGCCCGACCCGGCACGGCCCGUUGCCGGCACGGCCCGACCUAGUGCAUAAGAGACUUAAACGCAUCCAUCUAACCAGUGCAGCUGCAAUUUUAUUGUGUUAUAUGUUGAAUUCUUAUACUAAAUAUAUGUAAACUAUUAUUUUUAAAAUAAAAAAUGUAACCGUGUCGUGCCCGUGCCAGCACUACGGGUCGAGAUAGUGGCCCAGGCACGGCACUAUAGCCGUGCCGUGCCAGACACUGGCACUAUACUAACCGGACCGAGUCGUGACUGGACCGUGCUUUUUCGUGCCGUGCCUGGGCCGGCCCAUCGUGUUAGUGCCAAAUGGCCAUCUAUAGGCCGAACGUCCUUGCCAAUCAAAAGGUCGAGCAGCCUAGGUGUCCGUGUCAAGUAGGUUUGCUCAAGUGACGAGUUCGUUUUCUUUGCUAGACCUCUCGCGGUCGCGGGCCUGAUGCUGUGCUGCACACGCCUGUCUGCCAUCCUCACUUUGCUCUCGGUGCUCGCGACGCAACGUAACGGACGUCACGUACGGCGGGCGGCUCCCCUCCCAGGCGACGGCGGCGCGCGCAUGGAUUCAUAACCAGAGGCCCAGACCGUACCCUCCACGGCAUCGAUCGUGAUCUGAAACAACGCGCCAAUGCACCGGCGGCCGACCUGCGCGACGCUCGAGCCGGCGGGCGCUGGCACGAACCUGCGGCGCUCGGUGCCGGUCCCGGUCGCUGCCUGGACAUGGAUAUCCAAAUUCCAAACCCACCAAGGCAGGCGACAAGCCUUCGCCGUCGCCUCGGCGGUACUCAGUCACGUGCUGUCGUCAUCCGGGCACGGGCUGUACGUAGUUAGCACAACAAUCCGCGGAUCAUGACACUGUGUUUCCUGUCUACUGUUCUUUUCUUCUUUUUUUUGCCAAUCGGCGGCAUACUGCUUCCGUGACUGGUGUGACCUAGAGGUAAAUUAUUUUUCAUGGAAGAAUAUUGGCCUCGCCAUUCCUGGAAUAGUUGAGACGCAUGGCUGGCUUCACAGGAGCCGACGAGGAGAUGGACCUUUUGGAGACUGUCAGGAAUAGUGGGAUAGGACGAACGGACCCACCUCGUAUACGUGUUUACUGUUUAUUAGUUUGGGAGUUUAGAUUCAAUGUAGUUGUCUUUGGCUAGCAGAGUUCGCGGAAACGACGCGAGAAUGAUUUAUGGGGCUCCCAUGUCAGUCUUUGCUCCCAACGCAAGCUCCACCUGCCUCCAUGGCCGCCCGUAGAGCUCCCCCGAUAUGGAUGUCGUUGCCUCUCGCACGCCACACGUGCGCGGCGCGCCGCUGUAGUCCGCCGGUGCCGCAACUGCCUGCCCGCUCGUGCCGCAACGACCGCCGUCCCCAUACUCCCAUAGCCAUUAUUGGCUUUGCGUCUGCUGCCGGUGCCCAGCCCAGCCGCCAUAUAUAGAGAGAUCACCAGAGCGCCCCCAAGUGCCGCCGUAGAAGUAUGCCACCAACUGGCGCAAGCAAUGUGCCAUUGCCAUUCUAAUGGUUUCAGUUCGACAUCGCUGCUAGCUACUCGUUGUUUUCCCACUUGUUGUGUAGCACGCGCUGGUAGUAUGUGUUUAUCCAAAUAUAAACGUAAGGCGAUGUCCUCAAUGGGCCGAGCAUACAGUGUUCUUAGUAUUAACUUUGGCGAAACUGAUCUCUUUGAACUUUCAUGGGACUAAGCGAUGCUACGAGGGGGGGGGGGGGGGGGGGGGGGGGGGCGUACGUCCGUGGGCCCCGAUUCCCGAAACAUAUGCAGCUACCGAUGAUUGACCGUUGGCCCCAGCAAAAAGGUGCAAAUCUAGCCAGCUGUGCACGGUGUCCCCAAGGAACCCAAUCAUGGUCACCAAAGAAGGGACCAGCAGGCCGGGCAAUACUGCACAUUGGAAACAUGACAACUUCUUGCUAGAUAUGGAGCAAGAAAACUUCCGAGGUUUGUGAGUUUCAUUCAGAUACGGAGCGCGCGGCUAGGCCACUUCAUCAGCCACAUAUGCAUCGUCACGCAUCAAGAUUCAAACAGGAAAACUUGCACAUUUCAAAGUACAGUGCUACGCAUGUUAGAGCUUGGUGAAGUACGCGCUACAAAUAAUGAAUGGAAAAUUUGCAGCAAGUGCAGAAGAAAAAAAGAAAAAUAAAAGAGGAGAUGAGAGCGCGCGGCCGGGCUUGGAGAGAUCGGAUUGAUCCACAUUUCAGCUUCGGCUUUUGAUGCAGGUUUGGCUCGUUGGUGGUCAAAGUACAGCAUCGUCUCAUGGUCAUGGCUUCCAAAAAGAAGUGCAAGCAUCCUGUUGUUACCAAAAGAGGAGAAAGAGAAAAAGGGGGGACUUCCGACUUCGGACGUGGAGUUGCAGCCUACCAUCCCCGCUAGGCGCUAGCUAGCUGUGGUACUAGUGUACCUAGUAGUACUGGAACAGGCUCGGCAUCUCCCGCACGGCCCCGAACGCCGGCGACGACGGCAUGACGCCGAGCCCCCACGGCAGGCACGGCCCGUCGACGACCUCGGCCGCGGCGUCCACGCCGAACAUGCCCAGGGACGCCGCCUUCGCCACGGCCGCCGCCGGGCCGUAGCAGCCCCACUGCUGCGGCUGCCGCGCGUACCCGCCGUACGAGGCGGCGUAGUCCACCCCGCCGUCCGCCGCCGGCGCCACCGCCGCGGCCGCCGCGCGCCGCUCCUCCUUCUUGUACCGGAUCCCGCACGCGUUGCACAGCGACUGCACGCAGCAACAGAUCGAAAUGGAUAUGUACGCUUAGUCGCUUACUUCGAUUAGGAUCGACAGCGAGCGUGUGUGUGUGUGCUAGUAACGAAAUGCAUGCAUUGCAUUGCAUGGCAUCGCUUCGCGGCCCACGCACGUCACGUUACGUACCUUGGGUCCGCGCGGCCCGUUCCUCCAGAGCGGCGUGGAGGUGGUGUCGCAGUUGGCGCAGCGGCGAGCGCCCGCCUCGGCGCCGCGCGCCUCCUGCUGCCUGCCGCCGUUGCAGCUGGGAGCGGGCGCCUCCCAGCUGUGCAGGCCGGCGGGCGCGCGGGCCGCCGCCCCGGCCUCGGCGCGGCGCGUGGACGGCGUGCCCAGCGAGAGCGUGCAGUCCACGGAGCCCCCGUACAGCCCGCCGCUGAAGGCCUCCCCGUCGCCGCCGCCGCAGUGCUUAUAGUAGUGGUCCGCCCCCGCCGCGGCUGCGGCGAACAGCAGCGAGCAGCCGCCGCCGCAGCUGCCGUAGAGCAGCCCGCACGUGCAGGGCGCCGCCUCGUGCAGCAUCUUGACUGGUCGCAGAUGGAUGGACGGAUGGAUCAGACAGAGCUAGCUUGUACUCCAGCGAUCGAGUUGGCUUGGCUACUACAAGCCCUUCAAGUGGUGGUGGUGGCCGCGCUGGUGCCGGGGUGAUUAAUAAUAUAGUAGGAGAGCGGCUUGGAGAAGGACAAGAGAAUAGGAGAUCGAGGGGAUGUCUCUCCUCGGAAACUGGCUGUCCACGAAGCACAAGCGCUACGGUUAGCACGCAAGCAGCUCGUGCUAUGCGCGGUGGGCGUGGCGAACUGGCGAGACGCUGUGGCUGGCUGGCGUGUGGAUGUGGGGCGGCAGGGCAUGGCGCUCCUCGGGUUCUUAUAGCGGCGACGUGGGUAGGGUAUAGCGGCUGGCGUGGCGGUGGGGCUCCCCCGGCCGGCCUGUCUCCGCCAGCGCCUGUGCCCCGCCAGAUUUGGGAUUCCGGCCGGGGCGCGACGCGCGAUGCAAACGCGCGCGCCGCGGGCUAGCUAGAGAGGAAAAAAGGACGCGAGGCGGAUGUCUGCCUUGCCUUGUUGCCUGCUUCUGCUUGUGUUGGGGGCGGUCAAAGAGCGGUGUGGCCGCCCGGUCAAAAGCGAGGCCACGUGAAACCGGGAACAGUCUCCCACGCACAUAUGGGGACGUGGAGGACUACGGGGGGAGGGGAGGGGAGAGGCCGAGCGAAUGAGGCCACGCCGGAGCUCAGAUGGCUAUGUUGUGCUGCGCGCCCGGCCGGGGUAGCAGGACUACGGCUGCUGCCCUGCUGCUGCUGCGCGCGUUGGAGUCGAGUUCGCCGAUCACGAGGGGCACAGUUCGAUCUGUCCGUCCGUGCCUCCUGUCCUGCCGCGGCUGCCAUGGCAGUGGCUUCGUCCUCUCCUCGCUCGCUGUGGGACGGAUGGCCGUCCCAAGCUGAUGAGCCAGCCAGCAACAACGAGAUCGAUGCGUGUCAGGUCGGCGGCAUGCAUGCCAUGCAUGCGUCGUCGUCCAUCCGUUAGCGUUCGGUGAAGAAAGCUGCAACUGCAAGCAGCGCAGCGAGAGUCUGUGCGCGCGCGCGCUGCAUCGGCUAGCUAGCUGGUCGGUCUCCGGUCCGUACGUGUCUCCCUUCGUUUUUCGUCGUCAUGGGUCAAGGUAGACGGACGUCAUCCCUGUGUAACGCGAUGACACAAUAUCGGUGAUGACAGGAUCGGCCGGGCCGACGUUAUUGCCGUCGCCACGCGCUCGGCAGCCAGAGCCACAGCUAACACGCAACGUGUCCGCGUGAUCCGAUCCUAUCCAAUCUGGGCUGCUCCGAAGCGUGCGCGUGCAUGCAUGCAUGCAGCGCAGAUGGUGUACUGCUGUCUUGUGAACAGUCAUGUUUACGUACCCCUACAGUACGUAGUACGACACGCAGAGCGCGACGGAUCCGCGAUCUCAUUUGAACGGGAUCUCGAUCGAGUAGUAAAAGCCGGGCGGGUGCCGCCGCCGACGGACACUUAGCUGCACGUUUGGGCACAUGAUUGAAUCAACGACGCGACACGGAGCGGCGCUAUACACCGAGCUUCCAAAUGCCAACAAUAAAAUAAAGAGGAUCGGAGGGGGCCGAGAGAGAGAGGGAAAAAAGAGGAACGAAACUAAAGCGGGGGGCCGUAUCGAAAGAAAGAAAAGAAAGAAAGGAAGGAAGGAAGAAAACAAGGGAGUGGAGUGGAGAGAAGGGAAGAGGAGCAAGCAACGGGGCAAGCGACGCAAAACCAAAUCAAAAGGAGCAAAAGAGCAAAGCGGCAGGAAGAGGGAGGAUGAGCAGGGAGGGAGCGAGGGAACACAGGAAAAGACGGGCGCGCGCGGCUGCCCGGGGUAGCCGAUGAUAUAAUUUGGGCGGGGCGCCGUGCCAUGAUGGCCCGCGCGCCCGGAGGCCGGAGCCGGACUAACUAGUAUGCUCCCAUCAAAAGUGCCGCGUCGAAUCGAAUCCGAUCAUCGGUCCAAGGAACAGUCGCGGUCAGGCAUAGAAGAUCCCGCCUUUUGGCACCAACCUCCACGCACGCAAACCCAGGAUCGCCCCUGGACCGCCAGCUACGGGGAUCCGAUACGGAUCCCAGGGCUGUAGCUAGCUAGGCGCCCGCCCGCCCGUCCCGAUCAUUCGCAAAUCUGCGUUGCUGCACUGUAGGGCACGCAUGCCAUGCCAUGCCAGUUGCCACCCUCUUCUCCUGCAGCAGCUGCCGCUAGUCGUGGUCGUAGGACUAGUAGGGAGGGCGCUUCUUUUAUUUUCCCCUUUUCUUUUCUUUUUUUCUUGUUCGGGUUUUCCUCUCCUUUGUGUUUGCUGUGUACGAAUGUUUUUUCCUUUCCCCUAUAUCGAUGAGGCGACACUGCUGGAACUGCGCCAACGCUGCGUUAAGCUGCUGGUAAUUCCCCCUGCCAAGUCAAAGGAGGCAGCCGUGCCAGAGAAAGAAAGCGAAAGCCAUAUGCAUGCAUGUGGACCCCUCCGGCGGCAUUCCGUAUGCUUGCUGCCUUGCUUGGUAGUAACGGCCAAAGCGCCGGCACGACCGCCUCCAAAGCAAUGCUGCGGCCAGUGGCCGUGUUUGGUGUGUUUCCGUUCCUUUCCUUUCCUUGCUAAUAUCAUGUCCGGCAAACUUUGGAGUUGGAUUAAUCUAUCUAUCUGUCUGUCUCUGUCUAUGCUACGGAUGCAAAGUAUUUGUAGUAGUGCUACAUGAUGACUAUACUAUAUAGGUGGAUACGUACUACGUAGUAAGCAGUGCAGCAUACUACGUACGUGGAUACUGUCGCUGGAUGAACGCUUAUCCAAGCAGUCCAUGCAUGAUUUGGCAGCAGCCCGAUGCUGGAAUCCUGACAGGGUCUGUGACGCCUUGUGCUUCGUGUGCGUUCCCGCUCGCUCAUUGCGUGGGGCCAGAGAGGAGUUUAAAAUAAGACGGCAGAAAAAACAAGCGGACAGGCACGACGCACGAGCGCCCCGCGCAACCCGACGCCGACGGUCGACGACGUCAGUACGUACGCGCAGGCAAAACGAGGCGUGGGGGGAGUCGGUGUUUGGUGCGGUGGCGGGGGCAGGGGAUCCCGACGAGGAGAUCGUUGUUCAAAAAGUUGUCCCGACACGGCCAGAGUUAAGCCUAGAGAUUGGUGUCCUUUGGUUGGGUUUGGGGGGGAGGGGGGGUGGAUGUCUAUCAGCUUGUUCGCUGCGGCUUGCUGCGGCUGCAAUCCGGCUGCGGCUGCGGCUUCUACAGUAUUUUUCUCUCUAUGGAUUGCAGCUGCAGCAAUCCAAACAGCUGCAACAGUGUCGGCUUGUAGCCAGCCGAACACGCCCUAUCUCUCUCUCUCGGGCCCUUGCCGUGGCUAUCAGGAGCCUAGCCCCACCCGCUUUGCCUUUGGGUUGGAGAGAGACGGGAUCGCCGGUGGCCCGGCAUCUUUCGGAUAGCGAUAGUCCUCCCCCUGGAGCACUUCCCGUUUCUCUAGGUUUGAACCAUCUCUUGCCUUUAAAUCAACUGCUGCUGCCUGUCACUACUGGCUAGCUGCCGUACAUACAUGUGCUUCACGUACUAGCUUAGUAUUGGUGUACUGGAGUACAUCAGUACGUAUGAUUGCCUACGCCCACGUAGUAAAAGAGUGGCGUAUCGUAGGCAUCGUCCGCAACUAUCGAAUCCCUCCGGCCUCCGGGGCUUCUUUACCGCCGGCCGCCGUCGCCAUCGAGUAAGCGGGGCUGCGUGACAUGACUCAUCGGGCGGUCUCGUGCUUCGCCGCCUGAAGCAAGCCCGGCCGCUGUCGGCAGACGGCGCGCCCUACAUAUGUAGGCAGUAGUAUUUGACCCACCGGCGGCUUAGCUGUCGCAGCGAAAAGAGUAGGUGUAGUGUAGGCAAAUUUGCUCAAGGACACACUGUUUAAUGAUGGUAUUUGUUGAUUGCCACUACUCGAUGCCAUCUUUACUAAAAGUACUUUUUAAAUUAGCUAGCUAUUGGACACCAUAUAGCUACUGAAAUGAUUUUAUUUAGAACUUGGAGGAAGGGAGAAGGUUAAAAAGCGACAAAAAAAUGCUCCUCCUGACUAUUACACUACCCGUUUUCAUAUUUAUCUAAUAAAAUUUUAUGAAUGUUGCAUGUAAAAUCAGAUAAAAAUCGAACUUUAUAUUAGAAUUAUAGCACUCAGUGAUAUCUACAACUUUUAGUUAUUUAACAAGUAUUAAGGGAAAAAUAUUUUUAAUUUCCAAGAGCUCAAAACUUAAAGUUUAGAAUUGUCGAAAAGUCAUUUAUAAUCUAUUAUUCAUCUUACCAUUUUAUAUUUUUAAAAUUGAAAUUCAAGUUUUCUUACCUUGGCGGUAUAGAUCGUGUAAAUGAAGUCGUUUGAAAUUCCUAUCUUCUAGAAUUCAAAAUCUAAGAAACUAAAAUAAGUAUUUAGGAUAACAAAUAACUUCAACUUAAAAAGUUAUCAAAUAUAAAGUUAUAUAUAUUGAUAAUUGCAACAUGUAUAUGUUCCAUGUCAACACCCAAGGUCAUUCAUUAAAAUUCUAAAUUUCAUAAUCUAAGAAUUCUAAAAAAGAUUUUAAAAAAUACAUAGUUUUCAAACGAAAACUCGACAACUAUAAAGAUAUAGAGAGAGUUAUAGAUCUCAUUGAACUAUACAGUUUUGUAUAAGAAUAGUUUUUGGUUGACUUUAUCUGCAAAACUUUUUUUAAGAAAUAAGGGUUGUACUAUAAUAACGGGGGUAUUUUGGUUAUUUUGAACUUCUUUCAUAUCCACUCAUAAAUAAUACUAUUUUAAUGGUUAUAGUGUCCUAGAGCCAAUUAACACAAAAAGUACCUUCUAGUAAAGACAAUAUUAUUUCUCUACUCGUUUCAAGUAGGUGAAGGUCUUGCAUCCACCGUUCCUUGGGACCACUCACACCAUCACCACUUCAUCCCUACAUCUGGCGCGCCCUUUCUAAGCCUCGCUUGCCCUGCUCCUCCUCCUCCUCCUCCUCAUCCUUCAUGUUUUCCCCUUCUACAUCCCUGCCCCAUACCUGAUUAUCGGUGUCUCGGUGCUCCAUCCUAGAUAUGAUCACGCUCUUGCCACCGUGCCACAUUCGACCAGCGGUGGCUACGCCUUCUCUUUGUUUUCCCCUUCUUCCCUGACUCGCAUCCGGUUGGCAAUGGCUUGUCGCUCCGCCACCGAUCCGCCUACGUCUCCACCACCAUGACACACUUGGUUAGUGGUGGUUACACAUCUGGCUAGCGAUGGCUCGCCGCUCUACCACCAAAUUGGUCACGCCCCCACCAUGUCGCAUGCGCCUUAAUACGGUUAUGGCAAAGGCAUGUGAAUGUCUUAAGAGAGGGAGAGUUGAAAACAAGAAUGAACCAUGUGCGAACAUCCUACAUGAUUGUGUCAUGGGCUAGAACUUGGUGUCACUGUCAUUUUUUGUUAGGGUGUCCAUGGUAGCGUGUUGUGGCAAAGGGUGUCAACAUCGGCUAGGUAGCCAAAGCGAUCAAAGUUACCAUAGAAGGAGGCCACGAGGGAGAAUGUGGUGGAGCUGGUUAGUGAUUAGUUGAGAGGGAAACAUACAUUGUGAAAGAGGAGAGGAGGAGGUAGAGUGAUAAGGACAAGGGUUGUCAAUGUUUAGGUAGGUUAAAUAUAACUAUCAAUCUGAUGAAGAGCAACACACAUAUCCGAUUUCAGAUCAUAGAGACUUGAAUUUUGCAACCUUACUGAGAGCACCUAGAGGGGGGUGAAUAGGUGAUCCUGUAAAAUCAAACACUACAUAGCCACAAACUUGGUUAUUAAAGUGUUAGUGUGACUAAGUAGUUUUGAAGCGAGUUCUUGUGAACACAACUGUCGGCGUUUCGAGACCGGGGGGUCCCUGAGCCGAAGAGUGAAGUGUCGCCGCGUGCCCCAGCCCAGAUGGGUCGACGCGAGGCCGAGCGCGAAGGGGGGAAGCGAGGUGGCCGGAGAUGGGCGUGAGAGAGGUGGAAAUCCUGCGGCCUUCGUGUUCGUCCCGCGCCUAGGUCGGGUGCGCUUGCAGUAGGGGGUUACAAGCGUCCACACGGGGGAAGGAGCGAGCGGCCUCACGCGAGCGCCCGUCCUGUCCUCGUCCCCGUGCGGCCAACCCUCUCUAAGAGGGCCCUGGUCCUUCCUUUUAUAGGCGUAAGGAGAGGGUCCAGGUGUACAAUGGGGGGUGUAGCAGAGUGCUACGUGUCUAGCGGAGGAGAGCUAGCGCCCUAAGUACACGCCAUCGUGGCGGCCGGAGAGAUUUUGGCGCCCGGCUUGUGUGAUGUCGUGGCCAUCGGAGGAGUGCUGGAGCCUGGCGGAGGGACAGCUGUCGGGGCCGUCGAGUCCUUGCUGACGUCCUCUUGCUUCCGUAAGGGGGCCGAGAGCCGCCAUCGUCAGGGAACGUGCGGGGCGCCAUCAUCGCCUAUCUGGCGGAGCGAGCCAGAUGGGACGUCGGUCUUGUUCCCCGUAGCCUGAGUCAGCUUGGAGUAGGGUAAUGAUGGCGCCUCCUGUUGACGUGGCCGGUCCGCGCCCUCGGUUGGGCGAUGUGGAGGCUCCUCCGAGGUCGAGGUCGAGUCCGUCUUCCGUGGCCGAGGCCGAGUCCGAGCCCCUAGGUCGGGUGAGGCGGAGGCCGUUGGCUGAGGCCAGGGCGGAUUUUGAGUCCUGGGGUCGAGCGAAGCGGAGUUCGUCGUCUUCUGGGGCUGAGCCCAAGUCCGAGCCCUAGGUCGGGCGGAGCGGAGUUCGCCGUCUUCCGGGGCUUUGCCCGAGUCCGAGCCCUGGGUCGGGCGGAGCGGAGUUCGCCGUCUUCCGGGGCUUAGCCCGAGUCCGAGCCCUGGGUCGGGCGGAGCGGAGUUCGCCGUCUUCCGGGGCUUAGCCCGAGUCCGAGCCCUGGGUCGGGCGGAGCGGAGUUUCCUAUGGUGUGUGGCCGGGCCUGACUGCCUGUCAGCCUCACUCUGUCAAGUGGCACCGCAGUCGGAGCGGCGCAGGCGGCGCUGUCUUUCUGUCAGACCGGUCAGUGGAGCGGCGAAGUGACGGUGGUUACUUCGGCUCUGUCAGCUGAGGGGCGCGCGUCAGGAUAAAGGUGUCAUGCCACCUUUGCAUUAAAUGCUCCUGCGAUUUGGUCGGGGUUGCUUCUUGGCGAAGGCAGGGCCUCGGGCGAGCCGGGAACGUGUUCGCCGCUGGAGGGGGGCCUCGGGCGAGGCGGAGAUCCUCCGGGGUCGGCUGCCCUUGUCCGAGGCUAGGCUCGGGCGAGGCAUGAUCGAGUCCCUCGAAUGGACUGAUCCCUGACUUGAUCGCACCCAUCAGGCCUUUGCAGCUUUAUGCUGAUGGGGGUUACCAGCUGAGAAUUAGGAGCCUUGAGGGUACCCCUAAUUAUGGUCCCCGACAGUAGCCUCCGAGCCUCGAAGGGAGUGUUAGCACUCACUUGGAGGCUUUCGUCGCACUUUUUUGCAAGGGGACCAGCCUUUCUCGGUUGCGUUUUGUUCCGGUGGGUGCGCGCAAGCGCACCCGCCGGGUGUAGCCCCCGAGGCCUCGGAGGAGUGGUUUGACUCCUCCGAGGUCUUAACGCCUCGCGCAAUGCUUCGGCUGGUCUGGUCGUUCCCUCAUGCGAGCUGGCCGUAGCCCGGGUGUACGGUCGGGUCUCAAGUUCUCGGGCUGGUAUGUUGACGCUGUCAACGGUUUGGCUAGAGCUGGGUUUGCGAGAGCAGCCCCCGAGCCUCUGCACAGGGCGAGAGGGCGAUCAGGGACAGACUCGACUUUUUUACAUACGCCCCUGCGUCGCCUUUCCGCAAGGAGGAGGGGGGAGAGAGCGCCAUGUUGCCCUCGGUGGGUGCCGAACAUGGUGUCUCCGGUGAGCUGCAGGCGGGUGAUCCGAGCGGACGUCCGUGCCCCAUUCGUUAGGGGUCGGCUAGAGGCCCAGAGGCGCGCCCAAAAGUACCUGCGGGUGAUCUGCCGGACCCGGUCCCCUGGUGACGGGGUCCGAGGGCUCGAUGCCUCCCUCCGAUGGGAUUCCGUUACAAGAUCGUUCCCGCUGGUCUCGGAAAUGUCCUAGGGUACCUCGGGAGCGCAGCCCGAGCCUUGGUUAUGUAUCGAACGUACCCAUGGUCAUCCCUUGCUCUGUGUCUGAGGCGGCUGUGAACCCUUCGGGGGCCAGCCUUCGAACCCCUGAUCAGUAGUGGGCACGGAGCUCGAGUAGCCUGAGGCGGCCGUUGAACCCUUCCGAGGGGCCGGCCUUUGAACCUCUGACCAGUAGUGGGUGUGGAGCCCACGUGCUCUGAGGCGGCUGUUGAACCCUUCCGAGGGGCCAGCCUUCGAACCUCUGAUCAGUAGGGAGGCUCGGAGCCUGGUUCCUUCACAGGGAAGGAUCCCUUUCGGGGUAUCCCCCUUUCUCGGUCCCUGUUGCAAGAGAGAGAAAGAGGGAAAAAGGAAAAGGAUACGAAAUCGAACGACGCGGCGUACCUUUUUUGACGCGGUCAUUAUGGCGAAGGCGAAGCGUUGCUCGCUCCUCCUGCCAGAGGCGCCGCCUGUCCCACCACGGAGUUAAUGCGACGGGGCGAGUGGUUCGCGGGGCAGCCGUUGCGCGUGCGCGAGCCGUUCGAGGAACAGAACAUGGGUGCGUUGUCUUCACGCCGUGAGAGAGGGUUCUCUCGCUGCCCCCGGAUGGGACGUAAGCUUGGCUGACGACGUGACCGCUGCUCCUGCCCGCCUGCCACCGCCAUUACUGCCGGCCCGUUUUCGGCCGCAUUGACCGUCGCGCCAGGCUGGAGCCGCUGGGUCGUGCGCUGGGUCGCCUCGAGUCACGGUAUUGGUCCCAUAGUCGAGGAGGCGCGGUGGUGGCGCAGGUGGCGGUGCAGUUGCAUGCACGAAGCAUUUGGCGCGCCGGUUGCAUGACGCGUGGGUCUGGGCCUCCAUGUCGGGCGUGUUGGGAGUCGGAGAAGCGCGCCCACUUGGCGUGGUGCAUGCCGCCUGCACGGCUGCCCGCCCUGUCGCCCGCUAGUCUGGGCAAAAGUGGAGAGCCGCUUGUAACCGCUGGGCGGUUGCACGCACCGCGCACGGCGGUUUGGCUUCUUCUGCUCUGGGCCGGCUUGCAUGACGUCUGGGACCUAGCCCCCGCGCCGUAGGGGGAGGGCCUUGGAGCGUGUUGGAGAAGACUCAGUCCACGACGGCUGGGGACGCAAGUAGGGAGAGUCGCCUUUAAAAGGAGGGUGACCCUCUUGGAAGGCGACCAUGUCUUCGCGCUCCCUUAUGCAUCGUGUCUUUCCAUCUUCCAAGCCCCCGGAUGGGGGAUAUCCGCCGUCUUUCCGCUUCGUCGUUGGAGGAACGCAACUCUGCGGGAGUUGGUACCUUUCAGCCGUCGUUCGGCUUCAAGGAUUUUCAUCAUGUAGCCCGGUGGCACCCCUCCGCCGGCGGUCACCCAAGAUGGUGACCUCCAGUUCGAUGGCGGGGGAGAGCGAACCGGGCCGCGGCCUCUGCCCCUCCCUCAGCCUCAAGGAUUUUCAUCACCAGGGCUGGGGAGGGGAGUGUGCCGAGUUGGGGUCGGCCCCUGCGUGUGCGGUGGCCCGCUCCUUCCCUUAGUGAUCGGGGGGAAGGGCGGGAGCCGUCCAUGGUGCUGGCAGCUGCAUCGUGCCCGGCUCUCUGAGCCGAGCGGCUUCGGAGCCGCUCCUGGUGCCGCCUCCCGCCACGGCAGCUGGAAGAGGUUCCGCCGCCGACGAGCUUGCCGGCGCCACCCGCGGACCGACCUCCAACUCUACGGCCUUCUGCCCGUCCUUGCCUCACGAGUUUGGGCAUGGGCGGGGGCCUCCUAGCAGCAGCAUCCGCCCUGAGGUCAUCGCUGCUGCUGUUCGGCCCCCCGGAGCAGAAGUCUUCAUCGUCGCCGUUGCUGGGGCGGGCGGCGGCGAGCCGUUCGUCGGUCUUCUGUUGCUCCGCAGGCCCCUCCCCCGUCGAGUGGGGCUGUUCGUACCUGCGGAGGUGGAACCGGAGUUCCGUUUGUAAUGGCACUUCGAAUGCUAGUGUUUUUGUUCACUGUGGCUGUCGAGGCCUGAACAUGUAUGUAAAUUCGGCGCGGAGCCGUGUUUUUCCCCAUUUUCGAGCACUAAGACUCGCCUGUUGGUUGUCUGAACCGCUUCACCAUGCGUGAGUUGCCCCGGGUAAAGGUGACGAGUGAGGUAUCCGUAUCCCGGGGGCGUAGGAGUCCCUCGGCUCGGUCAGCCUUGUUGUCCGAGGCCUCCCUUGCUUAGUUAGAGGAAACCCUCGGCCGCUCUUCGAUGAGCCGAGGCCAGGGGCAGCGGUGCCAGUGCGAACAGAAGCAGAGUUGGCUCGAAAAGAAGACCAGGUCAGUCGAAACCUGGCCGCGUCGUCCGUUAGCGGGACCGACGCCGGAAUUGACCUGCCGAGGCCUCAGGCCGGGCUGAUGUCCUUGGGGGACAGCUAGCCGAGGCCCUGGGGUGACCAGCCGAGCCGCCUGCUCGGGCCGGAUUCUUGGAGAAGACCCUGGCGGUGAUGGCCCGGGCUUGGUGAUGACGUUGUCCUUCAGAGCGGAGACCCUUGGACCGCGUCGCCGUCUGAGGCUAGGUCGGACCUCGCCAGAGGUGUUGUCAGCGCCGAGGGUGCUGCUGCUCCCUUUAGCCGUCAAGAUCCGAGCCUGCAGGAUCGGAUUAUCUUGUAGCGUGUGUUUUCUGCGGCCGCCGAGGCCGAAGCACACCCUCGUCGUAUUGUAAAGCCGCGUCUCCUUUCCUCUUGUUUCGAGUAUCUGGACUUUUUUGUCGGUAACAGAACUGUUUCUGCGAGCGAGAGUUGCUUCUCACGGAAGGUGAUGAGUGAGGUAUCCGUAUCCCGGAGGCGUAGGAAUCCCUCGGCUCGGUCGGCCUUGCCUCUUACGCGCACUCUUACCCGUCCAUGGGGUUCUGUCACCGACGCGGUCGAGAGAGCUCGAAGAAUCGCUCCGGCAGAAGAGCUUCCGAACGUGAAGACUUGUUUGGUCCACGGAAUCACUUAUCCGAACGUGAGUUACUUAUGGCAGAAGGUGAUGAGUGAGGUAUCCGUAUCCCGGAGGCGUAGGAGUCCCUCGGCUCGGUCAGCCUUGGCUGCUUACGUGUACUCCGUCAUUUUCAGGAUCCACUUUCGAAGUAGUCGAAAAGCACGAAAGACAUUCCGGCGAAAAAGAUCUUUUUUCGAGGAAAAUUUCGACGCAGAGGGGGUUCCCCCCUUUAGCCCCCGAGGGAGGGUCGGGCUUUGCCGAGGCAAGGCUGACCCUUCCUUGAUGACUAAACUUUGCGUGAGAGCGAGGUAUAUGAACAACUUGAAAACAUCUUAAGGGUAGAAGCGACGUAGCUGUUGGAUGUUCCAAGCGUUGCUGUAGACCUCGCCUUGACUGUUGGCCAGCUUGUAUGUUCCGGGUUUCAGAACUUUGGCGAUGACGAACGACCCCUCCCAGGGGGGCGUGAACUUGUGUCGACCUCGGGCGUCUUGUCGCAGCCGAAGCACCAGGUCGCCCACCUGGAGGUCUCGGGACCGGACCCUCGGGCGUGGUAGCGUCGCAUGGACUGCUGGUACCGCGCCGAGUGUAGUAAGGCCUUGUCCCGAGCCUCUUCCAGCUGGUCCAGCGAGUCUUCUCGGCUAGCUUGGUUGCUUUGGUCGUCAUAGGCCCUCGUCCUCGGGGAACCGUAUUCUAGGUCUGUGGGCAAGAUGGCCUCGGCCCCAUAGACUAGAAAGAACGGCGUGAAGCCCGUGGCUCGGCUCGGUGUCGUUCUCAGGCUCCAGACCACCGAGGGGAGUUCCUUCAUCCAUCGCUUGCCGAACUUGUUGAGGUCGUUGUAAAUCCGAGGCUUGAGUCCUUGUAGAAUCAUGCCGUUGGCACACUCUACUUGCCCAUUCGUCAUGGGAUGAGCCACGACGGCCCAGUCCACCCGGAUGUGGUGAUCCUCGCAGAAGUCCAGGAACUUUCUGCCAGUGAACUGGGUGCCGUUGUCGGUGAUGAUGGAGUUUGGGACCCCGAAACGAUGGAUGAUGUUGGUGAAGAACGCCACCGCCUGCUCGGACCUGAUGCUGUUCAGGGGUCGGACCUCGAUCCACUUGGAAAAUUUGUCGAUGGCGACCAACAGGUGCGUGUAGCCCCCGGGUGCCUUCUGCAAGGGGCCGACGAGGUCCAGACCCCACACAGCAAAAGGCCAUGUGAUGGGUAUCGUCUGCAGAGCCUGAGCGGGCAGGUGGGUCUGCCUUGCAUAGAACUGACACCCUUCGCAGGCGUGGACAAUUCUAGUGGCGUCGGCCACCGCCGUUGGCCAGUAGAAACCUUGUCGGAAAGCAUUUCCGACAAGGGCUCGAGGUGCUGCGUGGUGGCCGCAAGCCCCCGAGUGUAUUUCUCGGAGGAGUUCCUGACCUUCAGUGGUGGAGAUGCAUCGCUGGAGGAUGCCUGAAGGGCUGCGGUGGUAUAGCUCCUUCCCUUCUCCCAGCAAGACGAAUGACUUAGCGUGCCGCGCCAACCGCCGAGCUUCGGCUCGGUCAAGGGGUAGCUCUCCUCGGUGGAGAUAUUGCAGGUACGGGGUCUGCCAGUUUUGAUCAGGCGUGACCCCGCUUUGCUCCCCCUCGACGCGCAGCGUUUCACCCUCGGGGGCCGAGGGUACCUCAGGCCGAACCGAGGGUGCCUCGGGCCAAGGGUACCUCGGGCCGAACCGAGGGUGCCUCGGGCCGAGCCGAGGAUGCCUCGGACUGUGCCGAGGAUACCUCGGGCUGGGCCGAGGGCGCCUCAGGCUCGGGCGCGUCGUCGAUCUUGACGGAGGGUUGAUGCAGAUCUCGGGAGAAGACGUCCGGGGGAACCGUUGUUCGCCCCGAGGCUAUUUUAGCCAGCUGGUCCACAGUCUCGUUGUAGCGCCGAGCGAUGUGGUUGAGCUCGAGCCCGUAGAACUUGUCUUCCAGGCGCCGAACCUCAUCGCAGUAGGCCUCCAUCUUCGGGUCGCGGCAGUGGGAGUUCUUCAUGACUUGGUCGAUGACGAGCUGCGAGUCACCGCGAGCAUCGAGGCGUCGGACCCCUAGCUCGACGGCAAUCCGCAACCCGUUGACCAGAGCCUCGUACUCAGCUACAUUGUUGGACGCCGGGAAGUGGAGGCGUAGCACGUAGCGUAGGUGCUUCCCGAGGGGCGAGAUGAAGAGUAGGCCUGCGCCGGCUCCUGUCUUCGUCAGCGACCCAUCGAAGAACAUGGUCCAGAGCUCCGGUUGGAUCGGAGCUGUUGGUAGCUGGGUGUCGACCCAUUCAGCCACGAAGUCCGCCAAGACCUGGGAUUUGAUGGCCUUCCGAGGGGCGAACGAGAUUGUUUCGCCCAUGAUUUCCACCGCCCACUUUGCAAUCCUACCCGAGGCCUCUCGGCAAUGGAUGAUCUCCCCCAGGGGGAAGGAUGACACCACAGUUACCGGAUGAGACUCGAAGUAGUGUCGCAACUUCCGCCGUGUCAGGAUCACCGCGUACAGCAGCUUCUGAACUUGUGGGUAGCGGAUUUUGCUUUCGGACAGUACCUCGCUGACGAAGUAGACUGGCCUCUGAACGGGCAAUGCAUGCCCCUCUUCUUGCCUCUCGACCACAAUCGCGGCGCUAACCACCUGAGUGGUCGCGGCGACGUAGACCAAGAGGGCUUCUCCGGCAGCUGGGGGCACUAGGCGCCUUCGUGAGGAACGCCUUCAUGUUCCCGAGGGCUUCCUCGGCCUCAGGGGUCCAAGUGAAGCGCUCGGCCUUCCUUAAGAGGCGGUACAGGGGUAGACCUCUUUCGCCGAGGCGUGAGAUGAAGCGGCUCAGAGCCGCGAGACAUCCCAUGACCCUCUGUACGCCUUUCAAGUCCUUGAUGGGCCCCAUGCUGGUGAUGGCUGCGAUCUUCUCCGGGUUGGCUUCGAUGCCCCGCUUGGAGACGAUGAACCCCAAGAGCAUGCCUCGGGGCACCCCGAAGACACACUUUUCGGGAUUGAGCUUGACACCUUUCGCCUUGAGACAUCGGAAUGUCACUUCAAGGUCGGAAAGGAGGUCGGAGGCUUUCCUCGUCUUGACUACGAUGUCAUCGACGUAGGCCUCGACCGUGCGGCCAAUGUGCUCGCCGAACACAUGGUUCAUGCACCGCUGGUACGUCGCGCCCGCAUUCCUCAAGCCGAACGGCAUGGUGACAUAGCAAUACAUGCCGAAGGGUGUGAUGAAAGAAGUCGCGAGCUGGUCGGACUCUUUCAUCCUGAUUUGGUGAUACCCUGAGUAGGCAUCGAGGAAAGACAGGGUUUCGCACCCAGCAGUGGAGUCCACGAUCUGAUCGAUGCGAGGCAGAGGGUAGGGAACCUUCGGACAUGCUUUGUUCAGACCAGUGUAGUCUACACACAUCCGCCAUUUCCCCCCUUUCUUUCUCACAAGCACAGGGUUGGCAAGCCAUUCGGGAUGGAAUACCUCUUUGAUGAACCCUGCCGCCAUUAGCUUGUGGAUCUCCUCGCCUAUGGCUCUGCGCUUCUCCUCGUCGAAUCGGCGCAGAGGCUGCUUGACGGGUCGGGCUCUGGCUCGGAUGUCCAGCGAGUGCUCGACGACAUCCCUCGGUAUGCCGGGCAUGUCCGAGGGACUCCACGCAAAGACGUCGGCGUUCGCGCGGAGAAAGUCGACGAGCACUGCUUCCUAUUUGGGAUCGAGCCCGGAGCCGAUCCGGACUUGCUUGGAGGCGUCGCUGCUGGGGUCGAGGGGGACGGACUUAACCGUCUCCGCUGGCUCGAAGUUGCCGGCAUGACGCUUCACGUCUGGCACCUCCUUAGAGAGGCUCUCCAGGUCGGCGAUGAGGGCCUCGGACUCGGCGAGGGCCUCGGCGUACUCCACGCACUCCACGUCGCAUUCGAACGCGUGUUUGUACGUGGGGCCGACGGUGAUGACCCCGUUGGGGCCCGACAUCUUGAGCUUGAGGUAGGUGUAGUUGGGGACAACCAUGAACUUCGCGUAGCAGGGCCUCCCCAAUACCGCGUGGUAGGUUCCUCGGAACCCGACCACCUCGAACGUCAGGGUCUCCCUUCGGAAGUUGGAGGGUGUUCCGAAGCAGACGGGAAGAUCGAGUUGUCCGAGGGGCUGGACGCGCUUCCCAGGGAUGAUCCCAUGGAAAGGCGCAGCGCCCGCCCGGACCGAGGACAGAUCGAUAUGCAGAAGCCCGAGGGUCUCGGCGUAGAUGAUGUUGAGGCUGCUGCCUCCGUCCAUGAGGACCUUGGUGAGCCUGACGUCGCCGAUGACGGGGUCGACAAUGAGCGGGUAUUUUCCCGGGCUCGGCACAUGGUCGGGGUGGUCGGCUUGGUCGAAGGUGAUGGGCUUGUCGGACCAGUCUAGGUAGACUGGCGCCGUCACCUUCACCGAACAGACCUCCCGGCGCUCUUGCUUGCGGUGCCGAGCCGAGGCGUUCGCCGCUUGCCCGCCGUAGAUCAUGAAGCAGUCGCGGACCUCGGGGAACUCUCCUGCCUGGUGAUCUUCCUUCUUGUCGUCAUCGCGGGCCCUGCCACCCUCCGCGGGUGGCCCGGCCCUGUGGAAGUGGCGCUGAAGCAUGACGCACUCCUCAAGGGUGUGCUUGACGGGUGUAGGAAACGGGUGACGCCUAAGGGGGGGGUGAAUUAGGACUUCUAAAACUUUUACUAAACUAGGCCACAAUUAAAUCCCUAGAGCAAAACCUAUGCGAGUAAUCAAAACUAGAAUGUGCAAACUAGGUUUUGUCUAAGUGUUGCUAUCUCUACCGCAAAAGGCUAAGUUUCAAUCUACACUAAAUAAGUAUGACUACAAGAUUGAAACUUAAAUGCUUAAUAUAAAUGCGGAAUGUAAAGAGCUAAGUAGAGAAGCAAACUCUCGUGGAUGACGCCGGUAUUUUUACCGAGGUAUCCGGAACCACGCAAGGUCCCGACUAAUCCUCGUUGGUGCCCCUACGCAAAGGGAAGCCCACGCGAGGGCCAAGCACCACGGUCGAGUAACUCCGUAGAGAGCCGCGGGCCUUCUCCACGCGCAAGUGGUGCUCCGCUUCCGGCUCCUCUCGGAUGCUCCCCGCCGUCUCCACUAUCGAGCUUCCGGCCGAAACGCCGCGGGCCUCGUUCCCUCCGGUACACGGUGGCGGCCGUGACACAAACGCGGUUGUCACGGUCUCGCAAGACUCUCGCCCCACUCGGUACAAUUACAACGACUCACGCAAGAGCCGAGGGGUUGUGUGGUUUUACAAAACUCACUCAACUAACUAGGGUUCACCUAGAGCAAGCGCUAAAGCGGUCUAACUAACCUAAGCACUUCGCAAAGCACCUACGCUAAUCACCGAGUGAUUCUAUUAAGCACUUGGGUGUUUGAGCACUUGGAAAUAUGCACUAUGUGUAUUGGAAUGUUGCUUGGGCUCUCACACUUGAGAAUGGCCGGUUGGGGUGGUAUUUAUAGCCUCCACACCCCCAACUAGCCGUUGGACAGAAAGCAGCAGCUUUCUGUCGUCGGGUGCACCGGACAGUCCGGUGCACCACCGGACACUGAACAGUAGAUGUCCGGUGCACGCCACGUCAGCCGACCGUUGGCGCCUGUAGCAGUCGACCGUUGGAUCCGACCGUUGCCUUCUGCCCGUUGGCACACCAGACAGUCCGGUGCACACCGGACAGUCCGGUGCUACAGCCAGAGAGCGCCUGUCUGCGGCCUCUCUGCGCAGACUGUCCGGUGCCUCACCGGACAGUCCGGUGCACACCGGACACCAAUGUCUGGUGCGCCACCAGGCGCUGGCUGACAGCCCUUAUCUUGGAUUUCUUCGCUGAUUUCUUCGGGCUUCUUUGUUCUUGAGUAUUGGACUCUUAUGCAUCUUUUUAUGUCUUCUUUUGAGGUGUUGCAUCCUCAUUGCCUUGGUCCAAUUCUCUUCGCAUCCUAUGAACUACAAACACAAACACUAGAAAACUUAUUAGUUCACGGAUUGUGUUGUUCAUCAAACACCAAAACUCAAUUAGCCAAAAGGCCCGGGGUCCAUUUUCCUUACAAUCUCCCCCUUUUUGGUGAUUGAUGACAACACAACCAAAGCAAGCAAAUAAUACAAGUAUUUGAAUGAACGUAUGCAAUCUACUUGCUAAGAUGCAUGAUUGUCCCCUCAAUGUGAUAUUAUGGACUUAAGCCUCCCCCUAACUCCAUAAUUCACUUACUUCCUAUUUUUGGACCAAAUAACCAAAACCACUUAAAAAGCCAUUUGUAGAUAUAAAAUUUUAAAUUUGUGGUGUUUGGUGUUUGAUAUAGUUUUCAUUGCUUUGGCCCCUAAACUUCUCCCCCUUUGGCAUCAACCACCGAAAAGGAAGACAUUAAAAGCAUGUAGGAAGUAAAUAAAAGCUUGCCCUCAACAAGAAUUGUAUCAAAUGAUAUCACUAGAAGGAUAUUAAAUUAAGCCAUGAAAGAUACCACUUGUAGACCAUGAAAGAUACCACGUGUAGGAGUUCCUCAAAAGAUUACUCCCCCUAAAUGAGUAUUCUCCUUUAGAAAGAGUUUUUCUCCCCCUUUAGAGAUGAAGAAAUACUCCCCUUGAUAGAGAACCUCUACUUAGGAAAAAGCAUGUGAAAAUUAGAGGUGCAAGACAUGAUUUGAAAAGACUAACUUCCCUUAUGCAUAGGUAACAGAAUAUGAGUUAACCACUUAUGCAUUUUUAGCAACAAGGAGGUAUAUGAUAUGAAAUAUAGUCUAAUCAAAUUUAGGAGAAGACAUGUAAAUGAUACUGAAUGUAGUCUCAAAAGAUACCAAUUGAAGAUCAAUGGCGAGCUUGAGAGACAUGAGAGUUCUUGGAGAUUUUGCAGUGGAAGAUUGUUGUCUUUCUCCGGGGACCUCAUUUUCCUUACAAUGAGACUAUCACAUGAAAUAGACUUGAAAAGGUGUUAGUCUCAAAGUGUUAGAUUAUAGAGUAACCUCCCCCUAAAGGUGUGCAUACAAGUUUUGAAUACUUGUAGGAGACAUGCACUUUUAUUUGAUAUCAAGAGGGGCAAAUUAUCCAUAAUCCAAACUUUGGCACAUAUAAGUUAAAUGAUACAACUUGUAAAAAUCAAAAUUUUCAAUUGAUGCAUCAUUUACUAUGGAGUGAUAUAAAAGCUAUGUGCCGUGCUUUAACUAAACAUUUUAAGCCAUGUAGGUUUGCUUAAGUAUAUGAAUUUAAAAACUAGCAAUCCUACCAUAUGAUUUACCUAGUAUGCAUGAUUUUGAACAAAAGUACAUAACAAUUGUAAUACUAGGCAAGAAAGGUAAACUAGAUAAAAGAUAAAUAGAUACGCAUAUCUAAAAACGAAAAAUACAAUAAAACUAGUUACCUUAGUCAUGGGUGGGAAAUUUGGGUCCAAAAUUUACACUAACCCACUUGGCAAUAAACUUGAUCCAAUAUGAUGUAUCCCAUGAUAUACAUCCCAAUUUUGCCAAGUCUCCAAAUUUCCCGAAGACCUUCGGUCCACUCACUUCCCUUUCGGGAUCCAAACCUUCUUGGUGCUUUUCAUGGUUGAAAUUAUCUCCUUUGGCACCCAGAUGCGUUUGGCCCCCUUUCCUUUGUUGGCUUGCUUGUUGGCCUUGAUUGCUAUCACCUUUCCAUUCUUUUUCUUCUUGAUCAAAUAUGGUGUAGCAUCCUUUUUGUUCACCUUUUUGAUGUAGGUGUUGGAGAUUUUGCUUGAUGGCUUUUGCUUGAGCUUUUGCCUUUGUUUAUCCCUGGUCAUCGCCUUGCAUUGGAAAGACUUGUGGCCUUCCUUGUGGCACAGCCUACAAAUCACAGUUUCUCCCUCUACAGGCUUGUUCACUCCCGUAGUGGUGUUAUCCUGUGGAGGUCGGAUUUGUUUGGCUUUGCCUUUCUUGUCAUACAAAGCCUUGCCAAGACGAGCCACUUCUUGCUUUAAUUGUUCAUUUUCCUUUGCAACCUCAUCCGAACAUGUCUCUACAACAAUAUUCUCAACAACAACUUGGUUGCAGGGUUUAGAAUCAUCAAUUAAAUCAAAGCAGGAAGUAGAAGCAUCUUUCUUAAUUAUCUCAGGUAUUUCAACCAAAGAUGCUGCUGGGGUGCUACCAAUGUUUUCUAGCUUAGUAGUUAGCUCAUUAUUGUGUAUGCUAAGAAUUUCCAUUUUCUCUAGCAAAUUUUCAAUAGCUUCUUGGGAGCUAGCUAACUUAGCCUUAAGUUUUUCAUUCUUUUUAAUAAGGCUGUCAUCGGUAGCAGUGGAUGGAGCACUAGACUCUAAUAGCUCAAUUUUAAUUGAUAGCUCACUAUUUAGGUUUGCAAAAGUUUCAAAUUUUUCUAGCAAACCUUUGUAAUCAUUUUGAGAGCUAACCAACUUAUUUUUCAAAGUUUUAAGUUGAGCUUUUUGCUUAGUGCAAACAUCCUGGAAAAAAUUAACGGCUUCCGCAAGCUCUUCUAGAGAGGCCUUUCCCUCACCUUCAUCAUCACUACUACUUUCAUCACUAGAGGAUGGAAUGCUUUUGUUACCUCUUGCCAUAAGGCAUUUGUGUGAUGAUCGUGAUGAUCGUGACGAGGACCGGUGGCUGCGCGUCCUUGGAGGUUCAUCUUCACUUGAAGAGUCAUCCCAAGUUCUAACACUUGUGAGCGCCUUGCCUUUGCUCCUCUCCUUUUUGGGUUUGGCCAUAUUUGGACAGUUGUCCCUGAAGUGGCCCUUCUCCCCACAUGCGAAGCAUCCUCUCUUCCUUUGCUUUUUCCUGUCAAUGUUAAAGAGAAGAUCCUCGACCUGCAGGGGCACACCCAUUAGAUUAAUCUUGCGGAUCAUCCUCAUUACCUUUCCGACGCGUCGGAUUGUUUCUUCGUCCUCAGAGGAUGAUGUGCAUGGUUGAUUAUCUUCAUCAUCAUCACUUUCUUCUUCUUCUUCCUCUUCUUCGCUUGAGGAACUUGGAGUGGGAGCCUUCUUUUUGCCCUUCCUUUCAUCACAUGCAAAAGCAUAUGGUCUUGAGGAAGUUGGCUCCUCUCCCCGACUCAUUUUUCGCGACAUCUCAAAGGCCGCGAUUUUCCCAAUCACAAUGGUCGGGGUCAUGUUGCUCAAAUCCUCCAUGUUGUGAAGGAUGGUGAUGAUGCUCCCAUAUCUUUGUUGUGGUAGCAGGGAGAUAAUCUUCCUCACAAUGUCCGCAUCACCUAGCUUAUUAAUGCCAAUAGAGUUGAGCUCAUUGAUGAUUAGAUUCAGACGAGAAUACAUGUCUCUAACAAGCUCAUCAUCUUUCAUAGCAAAAGAAUUAUAUUCAUUUAAGACUAGGCAAUGUUUUUGCUCACGGACAUUGGAUGUGCCGUCAUGGAGCUCAUGCAAUUUUAGCCAAAUCUCAUUAGCAGUUUUCAGGGUAAAUACUUGAUUGAAAAUAUCCAUGCUAAGAGAUUCAUACAAGCAAUUUUUGGCUCUAGCAUUUAAAUGGAUUUCUUUUUCCUCACUCGUGGUGGGUUUCUCGGGAUUCUUGAGAGGUUUCAUCCUGUCACGAGUGACUCUCCAAACACCUAGAUCAACGGCCUCUAGGUAACAAGCCAUUCUAGCACUAUAAUAUGGGAAGUUAGUGCCGUCGAAGUGUGGUGGCCUAUGGGUAUCCAUCCCUUCCUCUAAAAAGCGUCGGCUCUUUUAGCGGUGAAGCUAAAGCGUUUCAAAUGAGCCAAACCGGGUUCUGAUACCAAUUGUAGGAAACGGGUGACGCCUAAGAGGGGGGGGGGGGUGAAUUAGGACUUCUAAAACUUUUACUAAACUAGGCCACAAUUAAAUCCCUAGAGCAAAACCUAUGCAAGUAAUCAAAACUAGAAUGUGCAAACUAGGUUUUGUCUAAGUGUUGCUAUCUCUACCGCAAAAGGCUAAGUUUCAAUCUACACUAAAUAAGUAUGACUACAAGAUUGAAACUUAAAUGCUUAAUAUAAAUGCGAAAUGUAAAGAGCUAAGUAGAGAAGCAAACUCUCGUGGAUGACGCCGGUAUUUUUACCGAGGUAUCCGGAACCGCGCAAGGUCCCGACUAAUCCUCGUUGGUGCCCCUACGCAAAGGGAAGCCCACGCGAGGGCCAAGCACCACGGUCGAGUAACUCCGUAGAGAGCCGCGGGCCUUCUCCACGCGCAAGUGGUGCUCCGCUUCCGGCUCCUCUCGGAUGCUCCCCGCCGUCUCCACUAUCGAGCUUCCGGCCGAAACGCCGCGGGCCUCGUUCCCUCCGGUACACGGUGGCGGCCGUGACACAAACGCGGUUGUCACGGUCUCGCAAGACUCUCGCCCCACUCGGUACAAUUACAACGACUCACGCAAGAGCCGAGGGGUUGUGUGGUUUUACAAAACUCACUCAACUAACUAGGGUUCACCUAGAGCAAGCGCUGAAGCGGUCUAACUAACCUAAGCACUUCGCAAAGCACCUACGCUAAUCACCGAGUGAUUCUAUUAAGCACUUGGGUGUUUGAGCACUUGGAAAUAUGCACUAUGUGUAUUGGAAUGUUGCUUGGGCUCUCACACUUGAGAAUGGCCGGUUGGGGUGGUAUUUAUAGCCUCCACACCCCCAACUAGCCGUUGGACAGAAAGCAGCAGCUUUCUGUCGUCGGGUGCACCGGACAGUCCGGUGCACCACCGGACACUGAACAGUAGAUGUCCGGUGCACGCCACGUCAGCCGACCGUUGGCGCCUGUAGCAGUCGACCGUUGGAUCCGACCGUUGCCUUCUGCCCGUUGGCACACCGGACAGUCCGGUGCACACCGGACAGUCCGGUGCUACAGCCAGAGAGCGCCUGUCUGCGGCCUCUCUGCGCAGACUGUCCGGUGCCUCACCGGACAGUCCGGUGCACACCGGACACCAAUGUCCGGUGCGCCACCAGGCGCUGGCUGACAGCCCUUAUCUUGGAUUUCUUCGCUGAUUUCUUCGGGCUUCUUUGUUCUUGAGUAUUGGACUCUUAUGCAUCUUUUUAUGUCUUCUUUUGAGGUGUUGCAUCCUCAUUGCCUUGGUCCAAUUCUCUUCGCAUCCUGUGAACUACAAACACAAACACUAGAAAACUUAUUAGUUCACGGAUUGUGUUGUUCAUCAAACACCAAAACUCAAUUAGCCAAAAGGCCCGGGGUCCAUUUUCCUUACAACGGGCCCCUGGUGAUAGGGGCACGGCUCCUUGAGCAUCUUGUCGAAGAGGUUGGGACCUCCAGGGGGUUUCCGAGGGUUCUUGUACUCGGCGGCGGCGACAAGGUCCGCAUCGGCGGCGUCGCGUUUCGCUUGCGACUUCUUCUUGCUCUUCUUCCUGGUGCCGCGCUGAGCUGACGCCUCGGGGGCAUCUUCCGAUGGGCGGCCCUGGGGCUGCUUGUCCUUCCGGAAGAUAGCCUCGACCGCCUCCUGGCCGGAGGCGAACUUGGUGGCGAUGUCCAUCAGCUCGCUCGCUCUGGUGGGGGUCUUGCGACCCAGCUUGCUCACCAGGUCGCGGCAGGUGGUGCCGGCGAGGAACGCGCCGAUGACGUCCGAGUCGGUGAUGUUGGGCAGCUCGGUGCGCUGCUUCGAGAAUCGUCGGAUGUAGUCCCGGAGAGAUUCUCCCGGCUGCUGUCGGCAGCUUCGGAGGUCCCAGGAAUUCCCGGGGCGCACAUACGUGCCCUGGAAAUUGCUGGUGAAAGCUUGGACUAGGUCGUCCCAGUUGGAGAUCUGCCCCGGAGGCAGGUGCUCCAACCAGGCGCGAGCGGUGUCGGAGAGGAACAGGGGGAGGUUGCGGAUGAUGAGGUUGUCAUCGUCCGUUCCACCCAGUUGGCAGGCCAGACGGUAGUCCGCGAGCCACAGUUUCGGUCUCGUCUCCCCCGAGUACUUUGUGAUAGUAGUCGGGGGUCGGAACCGGAUCGAGAACGGCGCCCGUCGUAUGGCCCGGCUGAAGGCCUGCGGACCGGGUGGUUCGGGCGAGGGACUCUGAUCCUCCCCGCUGUCGUAGCGUCCCCCACACCUUGGGUGGUAGCCUCGGUGCACCCUCUCGUCGAGGUGGGCCCGACGAUCGCGGUGAUGGUGCUCGUUGCCAAGGCGACCCGGGGCCGCAGGCGCUGUGUUGCGCGUGCGCCCGGUGUAGACCGAGGCUUCCCGCAUGAAUCGGGAAGUCACGGCAUGAUGUUUCGAGGGGUACCCCUGCCUUCGGGAGGCGGAGCUCUCGGCCCGCCGGACCGCGGCGCCUUCCAGGAGAUCCUUGAGCUCUCCCUGGAUUCGCCGCCACUCGGUGGUUGAUGGCUCCGGCAUCGCGCGGAGGAGCAUUGCCGCUGCAGCCAGGUUCUGGCCGACCCCACUGGAUGUGGGUGGCGGCCUGACCCUGACAUCGUCGGCGAUACGAUGCUGGAAGCCCUGGGGUAGAUGACGUAUUUCUCCGGCUGGAGGUUGGCCCGCCCAUGCCUGCCCGACGUCCCGGUGGAUUGGCUCUAGCGCUCCUGCUCCCUCGUCGAGCCUGGCCUGCACCCCGCGGAUUUGCUCGAGUUGUGGGUCGUGACCCCCCGCCGGAACGGGGACCACAGCUAGCUCCCGCGGGAUGUCAACGCGAGGCACCGACCUAGGGAGAUCACCGUCCUCCGGCAUGCCGAGAUGGUUGCCUUCGGAGGGACCCCCUAGAUCGACGUGGAAACAUUCGCGGCUCGGGCCGUAGUCCUCGUCACCGAGGCUACGGCUACCGUUGGAACAGUCGGAAAGGCAGUAGUCGCAUGCGGUCAUGAGGUCCCGCAUGGCACUGGGGUUGCCAAGUCCGAAGAAAUCCCAAUAGAAGCUGGGCUCGUCGUCUUCCUCGGACCCAGAGGGUCCGUAGGUCGAGACGUCCGUCAGCCGGUCCCAAGGUGACCGCAUACGAAACCCCAGAGGGUUCGGAUUCGCCUCUACGAAAGCGUCCACCAAAGCGGAGCCGCCAGGCGGGUCGAGGCUAAAUCCGAGAGGCGUGGGAUGGGAAUCGGUUGGUACCUCUUGGUCGACGGGCGGUGAUGAGGUCACGUCGGGGACUAACUGCACCAUCGUCUCGGGUACGAGGGCGACACCCAGCAAGCCUUUUGCGAGCGUGUUGGCGUCGUCCGUUUGCUCGGGAUUAACGUGUCGUGGGGAGACAGCGCUCGUCUUCGUCUCAAGCGCGAGGCCGAUGCCCGGCGCGCCCCCCGUUGGAUUGCUGGCGUUGUCGACUCGCUCGACGACCGACGAGGCGCCGCCUCCUGCUUGGCCUUGGUUGCCCCGCCUCCUCCUCCUCCGUUGACGGGGAAGAGGACAGGGCGAGCUCGAAGGUUGUUCUUCCACCACGCGGGGAAGACGUCGUCGAUCCCGCCGCCGGUGGGCGGACUGUCGGCCGCCACUGUCGCUGUCGCCCGGCGGUGGAAAGAGUAUCAUGUCGUAGCUGCCGUCGAGGGACAUGAACUCAAGGCUCCCGAAACGGAGCACCGUCCCGGGCCGGAGAGGUUGCUGGAGACUACCCAUCUGGAGCUUGACGGGAAGCUGUUCGUCAACACGUAGCAGGCCCCUACCUGGCGCGCCAACUGUCGGCGUUUCGAGACCGGGGGGUCCCUGAGCUGACGAGUGAAGUGUCGCCGCGUGCCCCAGCCCAGAUGGGUCGACGCGAGGCCGAGCGCGAAGGGGGGAAGCGAGGUGGCCGGAGAUGGGCGUGAGAGAGGUGGAAAUCCCGCGGCCUUCGUGUUUGUCCCGCGCUCAGGUCGGGUGCGCUUGCAGUAGGGGGUUACAAGCAUCCACACGGGGGAAGGAGCGAGCGGCCUCACGCGAGCGCCCGUCCUGUCCUCGUCCCCGUGCGGCCAACCCUCUCUAAGAGGGCCCUGGUCCUUCCUUUUAUAGGCGUAAGGAGAGGGUCCAGGUAUACAAUGGGGGUGUAGCAGAGUGCUACGUGUCUAGCGGAAGAGAGCUAGCGCCCUAAGUACACGCCAUUGUGGCGGCCGGAGAGAUUUUGGCGCCCGGCUUGUGUGAUGUUGUGGCCGUCGGAGGAGUGCUGGAGCCUGGCGGAGGGACAGCUGUCGGGGCCAUCGAGUCCUUGCUGACGUCCUCUUGCUUCCGUAAGGGGGCCAAGAGCCGCCAUCGUCAGGGAACGUGCGGGGCGCCAUCAUCGCUUAUCUGGCGGAGCGAGCCAGAUGGGACGUCGGUCUUGUUCCCCGUAGCCUGAGUCAGCUUGGAGUAGGGUAAUGAUGGCGCCUCCUGUUGACAUGGCUGGUCCGCGCCCUCGGUUGGGCGAUGUGGAGGCUCCUCCGAGGUCGAGGUCGAGUCCGUCUUCCAUGGCCGAGGCCGAGUCCAAGCCCCUAGGUCGGGCGAGGCGGAGGCCGUUGGCUGAGGCCAGGGCGGAUUUUGAGUCCUGGGGUCGGGCGAAGCGGAGUUCGUCGUCUUCUGGGGCUGAGCCCAAGUCCGAGCCCUGGGUUGGGCGGAGCGGAGUUCGCCGUCUUCCGGGGCUUUGCCCGAGUCCGAGCCCUGGGUCGGGCGGAGCGGAGUUCGCCGUCUUCCGGGGCUUAGCCCGAGUCCAAGCCCUGGGUCGGGUGGAGCGGAGUUCGCCGUCUUCCGGGGCUUAGCCCGAGUCCGAGCCCUGGGUCGGGCGGAGCGGAGUUUCCUAUGGUGUGCGGCCGGGCCUGACUGCCUGUCAGCCUCACUCUGUCAAGUGGCACCGCAGGCGGAGCGGCGCAGGCGGCGCUGUCUUUCUGUCAGAUCGGUUAGUGGAGCGGCGAAGUGACGGCGGUCACUUCGGCUCUGUCAGCUGAGGGGCGCGCGUCAGGAUAAAGGUGUCAGGCCACCUUUGCAUUAAAUGCUCCUGUAAUUUGGUCGGGGUUGCUUCUUGGCGAAGGCAGGGCCUCGGGCGAGCCGGGAACGUGUUCGCCGCUGGAGGGGGGCCUCGGGCGAGGCGGAGAUCCUCCGGGGUCGGCUGCCCUUGUCCGAGGCUAGGCUCUGGCGAGGCGUGAUCGAGUCCCUCGAAUGGACUGAUCCCUGACUUGAUCGCACCCAUCAGGCCUUUGCAGCUUUAUGCUGAUGGGGGUUACCAGCUGAGAAUUAGGAGCCUUGAGGGUACCCCUAAUUAUGGUCCCCGACAACAACAGUCACAGAGAAAGCAACACAAGAGACACACGAUUUUUAUCCUGUGGUUUGGCCAAGUAACACUUGCCUACUUCCACGUUGUGGCGUCCUAAUGGACGAGGGUUGCACUCAACCCCUUUCAAGCGAUCCAAUGAUCAACUUGAAUACCAUGAUGUUUUUAUCUUUGAGUACUCUUCCCAUUUGUGAGGAAUCUCCACAAGUUGGAGCCUCUCGCCCUUACAAUAAAGAUCACAAAGAAAGCACAAGAGUAAGGUUGGGAGAGCAACACACACAUGACUUAAAUCCGCAGCACAACCACACACACAAGUCAAGACUUGAGCUCAAAACACAACACAGAGAGUUCGCAACUCAAACGGAGCUCAAAUCACUAACACAGCGAAUCAAAUGUGUGGAGACGGAUGUUGGGAACUUGCUCUCCUGGGCAAGAUGAUCCAACGAGGGAUUGAAAGGAAUGCAAACAAGGUUUUAACUCGAGAUGGCGUUUGCUCUAUUAAUCCAGCCUCUCAAGGACAUCUAAUCACCAAAAUACUUAUAGAAAUUGCCCAAGGGCACAUUUCCCUUUCAAUCUCCCCCUUUUUGGUGAUUUAUGCCAACACAUCAAAAAGCAACAAAAGGAAGUGCAACAUCAAUGCAAAUGAAGACCAAAUUGUUUUUGCUUAUGAUUUGGCAUAUUUGGAUCACUCUUUGCCACCACUUGGUUUGUUUUUGCAAAUCAAAUUCUUUUUCCUAUCUCUAAGUCAAACACACUUAUUUGGGCAAGUAGAGAUAUUCCAAGAGUAAAAUUGACCAAGUGCCAAAAACUCCCCCUUUUCCCAUAAUCAAAAUUCUCCCCCAUAAUAGACCAAAAUUUGAUAGAACACAAAUUCUAACUCUAGUGUUUUCGAAAUUCACAAGUGGUUGGCUAAUCCAUUUGCUUUGGCCUUAAUUUCUCCCCCUUUGACAUUAAGCACCAAAACGGGAUUAUUUUUUGCCCUUUAACCCCAUUGCCUCACCAAAAAUGUCAAUUAAGAGCAAAAAGGCAAUGAGAGCACAAGUAUGAACUUGGAAUUAAAUACACAAAUACCGAAGUGCAGUGGAAGUCUUUGUGUCGUCCAAGUUCAUUUUCCCUUUCAAUGUUCCUUCGCGACUACAUCGAGUAUACUCAACCAAACAAGUUAGUCGCGAGAGGCCAAGUUGUAGUUUAUCUCCCCCCUUAACAUGUGCAUCAUUUGCAUAUGGACUUGUGAGGUCCGGGGAUAACUUGUACAACUUGAGCACCAUAAAUAAACAAUAACUGAUUUAAAUGCACAAAGUAACAUGAUCAAAGGCAUAGAACAAAUGUAUGCUAUAGAUCAAUCCAAGUUAUGCGAAUCUAAGACAUUUAGCUCACUACGCUACCUGCAAAACCUUUUCUCAUCUAAAGGCUUAGUGAAGAUACCGACUAGCUGGUUCUUGGUGCUAAUAUGGUACACCUCGAUAUCUCCCUUUUGCUGGUGGUCUCUCAGGAAGUGAUGCUGGAUGUCUAUGUGCUUAGUGCGGCUAUGUUCAACAGGAUUAUCCGCUAAGCGGAUUGCACUCUCAUUGUCACAUAGGAGUGGGACUUUGCUUAGAUUAUAGCCAAAGUCCUGGAGGGUUUGCCUCAUCCAAAGCAGUUGCGCGCAACACUGUCCUGCGACAACGUACUUGGCCUCAGCGGUGGACAGGGCAACGGAUGUUUGCUUCUUCGAACUCCAAGACACCAGGGACCUUCCUAGAAAUUGGCACGUCCCUGAUGUACUCUUCCUAUCAACCUUGCACCCGACAUAAUCAGAGUUUGAGUAUCCAAUCAAGUCAAAGGUAGACCCCUUUGGAUACCAGAUCCCGAAGUAAGGCGUAGAAACUAAAUACCUAAGAAUUCGCUUAACGACCACAAGGUGACAUUCCUUGGGGUCAGAUUGAAAUCUAGCACACAUGCAUACACUAAGCAUAAUGGCCGGUCUACUAGCACAAAGAUAAAGUAAUGAACCUAUCAUUGACUGGUAUGCCUUUUGAUCAACGGACUUACCUCCUUUGUUGAGGUCAAUGUUCCCGUCAGUUCCCAUAGGUGUCUUCGCGGGCUUGGCGUCCUUCAUCCCAAACCUUUUGAGGAGAUCCAGAGUAUACUUCGUUUGGGAGAUGAAAGCGUCGUCCUUGAGUUGCUUCACUUGGAAUCCAAGGAAGUAGGUCAACUCACCCAUCAUCGACAUCUCGAACUUUUGCAUCAUCACCCUGCUAAACUCCUCACAAGACUUUUGAUUAGUAGAACCAAAUAUUAUGUCAUUGACAUAAAUUUGGCACACAAAGAGAUCACCAUCACAAGUCUUGGUAAAAAGAGUAGGAUCAGCUUUCCCAACCUUGAAAGCAUUAGCAAUUAAGAAAUCUCUAAGGCAUUCAUACCAUGCUCUUGGGGCUUGCUUAAGUCCAUAGAGCGCCUUAGAGAGCUUAUAAACAUGAUCGGGAUACGUAUCAUCCUCAAAUCUAGGGGGUUGUUCCACGUAUACCUCCUCCUUAAUUGGCCCAUUGAAGAAAGCGCUCUUCACGUCCAUUUGUAGCAGCCUAAAAGAGUGGUGAGCAGCAUAGGCUAAUAAAAUCCUAAUUUACUCUAGCCUAGCAACAGGAGCAAAAGUCUCCUCGAAAUCCAAACCUACGACUUGGGCAUAACCUUUUGCCAUAAGUCGAGCCUUAUUUCUUGUCACCACCCCAUGCUCGUCUUGCUUGUUGCGGAACACCCAUUUGGUUCCCACAACGUUUUGCUUUGGACGUGGCACUAGGCUCCAAACUUCAUUUCCCUUGAAGUUGUUGAGCUCUUCCUGUAUGGCCAACACCCAGUCCGGAUCCUGCAAGGCCUCUUCUACCCUAAAAGGCUCAAUAGAAGAGACAAACGAGUAAUGCUCACAAAAAUUAGCUAAUCGUGAGCGAGUGGUUACUCCCUUGCUGAUGUCACCCAGAAUUUGAUCGACGGGGUGAUGUCUUUGGAUCGUCGCUCGGACUUGAGUUGGAGGGGCCCAUGGUGCUUCUUCCUCCAUAACCUGUUCUUCUUGUGCUCCCCCUUGAUCCUGCCCCUCUUCUUGAGGUACCUGUUCACCGUCUUAAGUUGGGGGAUGCACCAUUGUCGAGGAAGAUGGUUGAUCCUAUUCCUGUAGUUCCUGUGGUCGCACAUCGCCUAUCGCCAUCGUACGCAUUGCGGCCGUCAGAAUUUCUUCUUCAUCUACAUCAUCAAGAUCAACUUGCUCUCUUGGAGAGCCAUUAGUCUCAUCAAAUACAACGUCGCUGGAGACUUCAACUAAUCCCGAUGAUUUGUUGAAGACCCUAUACGCCUUUGUAUUUGAGUCAUACCCUAGUAAAAACCCUUCUACUGCCUUGGGAGCAAAUUUAGAAUGUCUACCUUUCUUCACUAGAAUGUAGCAUUUGCUCCCAAAUACACGAAAGUAAGAGACAUUGGGUUUGUUACCGGUAAGGAGUUUGUAGGAGGUCUUCUUGAGGAGACGAUGCAGAUAGAGUCGGUUUAUGGUGUGGUAGGCUGUGUUCACAGCUUCCGACCAAAACCGCUCGGGCGUCUUGAACUCUCCAAGCAUUGUUGUCGCCAUGUCGAUUAGCGUCCUGUUCUUUCUAUCUACUACACCAUUUUGCUAUGGUGUAUAGGAAGCGGAGAACUCGUGCUUGAUGCCUUCCUCCUCAAGAAACUCUUCAACUUGUAGAUUCUUGAACUCGGACCCAUUGUCGCUCCUUAUCUUCUUCACCUUUAGCUCAAACUCGUUUUGAGCUCUCCUUAAGAAGCGCUUUAGGGUCCCUUGGGUUUCUGACUUAUCCUGUAAAAAGAAUACCCAAGUGAAGCGGGGAAAAUCAUCAACAAUUACAAGACCACACUUACUUCCCCCGAUGCUAAGGUAGGCAAUGGGUCCGAAGAGAUCCAUGUGAAGUAGCUCCAGUGGUCUUGAUGUUGUCAUUAUGUUCUUGCUGUGAUGAGUGCUUCCCACCUGUUUUCCUGCCUGACAUGCUGCACAAGGUCUGUCUUUCUCAAAACAGACAUCGGUUAGUCCUAACACAAGAUCUCCCUUUAGAAGUUUAUGAAGGUUCUUCAUCCCAACAUGUGCUAGGCGACGAUGCCACAGCCAGCCCGUAUUAGUCUUAGCGAUUAAGCAUGCAUCUAGACCGACAUUCUCUUUCGAAAAGUCAACUAAAUAGAGCUUGCCGUCUAAUACACCGUUAAACGCUAAUGAACCAUCACUCCUUCUAAAGACAGAUACAUCAACAUUUGUAAACAGACAAUUGUAACCCAUGUUACAUAAUUGACUUACAGACAGAAGGUUGUACCCGAGCGACUCUACUAAAAAUACAUUUGAUAUGGAGUGCUUGCUUGUGAUGGCUAUCUUUCCCAAACCUUUGACCUUGCCUUGAUUCCCAUCUCUAAAUAUGAUUGUAUCCUGGGAAUCCUUGUUCUUGACGUAGGAGGUGAACAUCUUCUUCUCCCCCGUCAUAUGGUUUGUGCAUCUGAUGUCGAUAAUCUAGCUUGAGCCCCCGGAUGCAUAAACCUACAAGGUAAUUUAAGCUUGGGUUUUAGGUACCCAACUCUUGUUGGGUCCUACAAGGUUAGUCACAAUAACUUUUGGAACCCAGAUACAAGUCUUGUCUCCCUUGCAUUUGGAUCCCAACUUCCUAGCAACUACUUUUGUGUUCUUACGUGAAAGUACAAAUGAAGUAUUGCAAGCAUGGUAAAUGAUAGAAGGUCCAUUGCACAUUUUCCUAGGCGCAUGAUGCACAACAAGAUUUCUCCUAGGCCUACUUCUACCAUUAACAAAAGUGGAACUAGAUGCAACCAUAGCAUGUGAAUCAUUAAGAGCAUCCCUAGAAUAUUUCCUAUCAUAAAUAUAGGCAUGAUUCUUUUGGGAACUACUAGUCAUAGGGGCCUUCCCUUUCUCCUUGUUGAGAACGGGAGCCCUUUGGCUUGUUAAGUUCUUGGUUUCUUUUCGAAAACCAAGUCCAUCCUUAAUCGAGGGGUGUCUACCAACAGUGUAGGCAUCCCUAGCAAAUUUUAAUUUCUCAAAUUCAAUUUUGCAAGUCUUAAGUUGAGCAUUAAGACUUGCCACAUCAUUGUUCAAUUUAGUAAUAGAAGCAAGAUGUUCAUCACAGGCAUCAACAUUAAAAUCCUUACAUCUAUUACAAAUAAUAACAUUCUAUACACACGAACUAGUUUUAUUAACUUCCUCUAGCUGAGCUUUUAAUUCAUCAUUUAAAUUCUUUAAACUAGAGACAGAUUCAUGGCAAGCAGAUAACUCAGAAGAUAGCAUUUCAUUUCUCUUAAUUUCUAAAGCAAGAGAUUUUUGCACACUAACAAAUUUGUCAUGUUCCUCAUAUAAAAUAUCCUCUUGCUUUAUAGCAGUCUAUCUUUUUCAUUGAGAGCAUUGAUUAAUUCAUUAAUUUUCUCUACUUUAGCUCGAUCUAACCCCUUAAAUAAAUCAGAGUAAUCUACUUCAUCAUCAGAAGAUUCCUCAUCGCUGGAAGAAGUGUACUUUGGGGUGUCUCGAACAUGUACCUUUUUUUCCUUGGCCAUAAGACAUAUAUGGCGUUCGUUAGGGAAAAGUGAAGGCUUGUCGAAGGCCGAGGCAGCCAAACCUUCGUCGUCGGAGUCAGAUGAAAAGCAGUCAGAGUCCCAUUCCUUUCCAAGGUGCGCCUCACCCUUCGCCUUCCUGUAGUUCUUCUUCUUUUCCCUCUUCCCGUGCUUUUCUUAUCCCUGGUCAUUUUCAUUAUCGGGGCAUUGAGCAAUAAAAUGACUAGUCUUACCGCAUUUGAAACAGGAGCACUUUCCCCUUGUUUUAUUCUUGUUGGGGUACUCUUUGCGUCCUUUGAGUGCGGUCUUGAAACGCUUGAUAAUAAGCGCCAUUUCUUCUUCAUUGAGCCCGGUAGCCUCCACUUGUGCUACCUUGCUUGGUAGUGCCUCCUUGCUGCUUGUUGCUUUAAGAGCAACGGGCUGCGGCUCGUAGAUGGGCGGUGGACCAUUUAACGCAUCGUUCGCGUAUCACGCCUCUUUCACCAUCAUACGCUCGCUUACGAAUUGUCCGAGUAUCUCCUUGGGCGUCAUCUUGGUGUACCUGAGAUUUUCACGAAUAAGGUUGACAAGAUGGGGGUCAAUUACAGUAAAUGACCUUAGCAUGAGUCUGACGACAUCAUGAUCCAUCCAUCUUGUGCUUUCGUAGCUUCGGAUCUUGUUGACCACGGUCUUGAGCCUGUUGUAGGUUUGUGUUGGCUCCUCUCCCCUGAUCAUCACGAACCUCCCCAGCUCGCCCUCCACCAGUUCCAUCUUAGUGAUCAUGGUGGCAUCAUUUCCCUCAUGUGAUAUCUUGAGGGUAUCCUAGAUUUGUUUGGCAUUGUCCAAGCCACUCACUUUAUUAUAUUCGUCCCUACAAAGAGAUGCUAACAAAACAGUAGUAGCUUGGGCAUUUUUAUGGAUUUGCUCAUUAAUAAUCACAGGAUUAUCGAUACUAUCAAAAUGCAUCCCAAUUUUCACAAUUUCCCAAAUGCUAGGAUGGAGAGAAAAUAGAUGACUACGCAUUUUAUGGCUCCAAAAUGAGUAAUCCUCUCCAUCAAAGUGUGGAGGUUUUCCAAGAGGAAUAAAAAGUAAAUGUGCAUUUGAAUUGUAUGGAAUACAGGAAUAAUCAAAAGAAUAAUUUUGAUUGACCGUCUUUUUCUUUGACGAGGAGUCGUCGUCGUCCCUUGGUGAAGAAGAUGAGGCAUCACUGUCGUAGUAGAUGAUCUUCUUGAUGCGCCUCUUCUUCUUCCUGUCCCUCUUCUUAUGACUCAAGCCUGAGUCAGUGGGUUUGUUGUCUCUUGGCUCGUUGAGGAGGGACUCCUUCUCCUUAUCUUUAAUCACCAUCCCCUUAUCCUUAGGAUCCAUCUCUUCGGGCGGUUAGUCCCUUAAAUGAAGAGUACGGCUCCGGUACUAAUUGAGAACACCUAGAGGGGGGGGGGGGUGAAUAGGUGAUCCUGCAAAAUCAAACACUAAAUAGCCACAAACUUGGUUAUUAAAGUGUUAGUGCGACUAAGUAGCUUUGAAGCGAGUUCUUGUGAACACAACAAUCAUAGAGAAAGCAACACAAGAGACACACGAUUUUUAUCCCGUGGUUCGGCCAAGUAACACUUGCCGACUUCCACGUUGUGGCGUCCCAAUGGACGAGGGUUGCACUCAACCCCUUUCAAGCGAUCCAAUGAUCAACUUGAAUACCACGGUGUUUUUAUCUUUGAGUACUCUUCCCGGUUGCGAGGAAUCUCCACAGGUUGGAGCCUUUCGCCCUUACAAUAAAGAUCACAAAGAAAGCACAAGAGUAAGGUUGGGAGAGCAACACACACACAAGACAUAAAUCCGCAGCACAACCACGCACACAAGCCAAGACUUGAGCUCAAAACACAGCACAGGGAGUUCGCAACUCAAACGGAGCUCAAAUCACUAACACAGCGAAUCAAAUGCGUGGAGACGAAGUCUGGGAGUCUUAGAAUGUUUCUUAAGAGCUUGUUAUUCUGCUCCAUGCGCCUAGGGGUCCCUUUUAUAGCCCCAAGGCAGCUAGGAGCCGUUAGAGAUCAAUUUGGAAGGCAAUCCUUGCCUUCUGUCGAGUGGUGCACCGGACAGUCUGGUGCACCACCAGACAGCCACUGUUUAUGUCCGGUGUGCGAUCUCCUUCCAUAUCAGUCGCAGCCGACCGUUGCUCCUCGGGGCCGGUUGGCGCACCGGACAUUGUCCGGUGCACACCGGAUAGUCCGGUGCACCCAGCCGACCAAUGGAGCAAGCCACGUGUCGCAUGUUGAUCGUGCGAACGACCGUUGCCGCUGGCGCCGUUGGCUCACCGGACAGUCCAAUGAAUUAUAGCCACAUUGCCUUUUCCUUUUCCUGAGAGCGAGGAGUUCGACCCGGAUGACUCACCGGACAGUCCGGUGAAUUAUAGCCAUACAACUCCUUCGUUUUUCGAGAGCAGCCGGUUUACUGUUGACCAGCCUGGGGCACCGGACACUGUCCGGUGCAUCACCAGACAGUCCGGUAUGCUAGGCCGAGCUGGAGUUGACUAUACACAACCAACUCUUUUCCAAUUCGUUUCUUCUCUUCUCAGCACUGUUUGUAGCACUUAGAUAAACAUGUUAGUACUAAAAAAUAAUGUACUAAGUCUAGAAACAUACCUUGUACCUUGAUUUGCACUUUUCACACAUUUAGCACAUGAUGACUCAAUUAACAUGUGUUGGGCAUCUAAUCACCAAAAUACUUAUAGAAAUUGCCCAAGGGCACUUUUCCCUUUCACUUACCACCAUGUCUCCUCUAGUAAUCAACCAUGUCACAAUCUAGUUGACUUUGCCAAGAAGGAUAAUUCCUAUUUGCUAUUGUGACUUGAAGAACAUAAGAAAGGACAAAAUAAAACACAACUCAAAUAAAGUGGCAAUUAUGAAUAUAGGAAUAAUCUCUCAAAUUUUGGGUUUUACAAAACCUAUAACAACAAUUAUUUAAAGAUAGAUUGAUCCAAGAAAUAGUCAAACCCUAACAUGGGUGAUGGAUACUAAAUAUACAGGUUUAGGAGUAUCCAAGGAACUCAUAUUUGUAUCCCUAAAGACUCCCAACACAUUAGAAAGGUUCAAAUGGGCCAAAGUACGAUGGUGUAGAACCUUGAUAUAUUUUAUACCCUAGCUUGUUUCAAUGAUUUCCAUCGACUUCAAUAAAAUUUUGAUGUGGGACCAAUAAUAUUGGUUAGCUUAUAACUUUUUAUCCGUAGGUGGAUUAUCGAAAACAGAAUCUAUAUAUGACAUGAGCAUUCAUUUUAGUGCACGUUGUUCCUAGAGCCCAAGAUGGCUUGGAACUUGAUGUGGGUUGAUUCGCCAAUUUGAUCUACACAUUCUUGGUGGCCUCCUAAGGAGGUGGCUAUGGAGUAUAGCAACCAAGGCUACUUUGGUGUGUUCUCUAUCUCCUUGGGAAUGCUCUAACAUGGUCUAGGGUCUCAAAGAUGAAUUUCAAGACCCCGAUGACAUCACAACACCUGACAUAAAAUAGCGAAAAUAUGUGUUGAUCUUUGAAAUCUUAUCAAAUAAGUUUUCCAUCAAGUACUCACGGGCCUCAAACACACUUCCGGUGAAAUAGUUAUGGCCUUGUCAAUAAAAUAGCAUUGGUCUGUUGGUGAACAAAAUGUUCAACUUUGAUGAAAUUGCACUUUAAAAUUGUUCUUAUUUAUGGUAUAUCUAUACUUCUCCAUCAUCACUAUUGAAAUAUCGAUGUUAGGUAGUAACUAAUUAUUAGUUUUAUUAUCAUAGAAACAUAGAAAUAAGUACAACCUAUAAUCAAUGGUUAUUUUUGAAGAUGGCAUGCCCUCAUCACAGAGGAAUAAAAGAGGGAUACAUGAUGAUGACUUGUAGAAGUAAGGUGCUGUUUGGUUCAAAAAAUGUAACGCAAUUGGUAAGGGUAACGGUUUACGAUCGAUUACUAGUGGUAACAAAUUUGAAUAGGCUGGUAUCAAUUUUUAGUAUGGUAUCUGAUUACGGUUGGACUAAAACAAACAUGAUUUAACGUUAUCAGUUACCCAUUGCGUUACAAAUAUGUGAACCAAACGGCACCUAAGUGUCUUUGUUCAUUCCAUGUUGGAAGAAUGUGGUGACAUAAAGCAUACGAAUCUAUGGUGUACCAAGAAAUAACUUUGAAAAACUUAAAAAUAUUUUCAAAGCUUGUGGAUCUACUUUCUUUGCUCUUAAAUAAUUGUCAUUCUCACUAAUUGAGAAAUCAAAUAAAUUUAAAUUAUAUAUCUCUACUAACUAUGAAGAGGCUAAUGUAGACCACAGUCGUGCCCCCGCUCCGUCCUCUGCGCGCAUGCCUCUGCGCGGCGUCCCCGUGCAUGGCCACACAUGCAAUCAGCCCCAGUCUGCAUGCAAUCCUCUACGCGGCGUUUGCGCGACUUCCCACGCAUACAACCGGCCCCAGUCUACAUGCAACCCCUAAACUCGUAAAGGCAUCACGUAUGCAAGUAUGCAACUAAACUGGUGCAUGCAACCAUGCAUGCAAAUACCUCCGCUCCAUGGAAAGCUUGCAUAUGCACAGCCGUGCAAGUAUGUAAAUGUGAAUGUCAUUUGAACCAUGAUUGUUUGCUUUAAACUCACAUAUAUCUAGCCAACAUGACACACAUAUUUUUCGUUUUAUAUUUAUACUCAAGUAUAAUAUAGUCUUUUAUAAAAAAAAUAGGGGGGAAAUUAAAACCUGGUCGUGUUCCAGCCAACCAUGAUACUUCUUACGUGAGUUUGCUACCUCGAUGCUAUGUAUGAUUUUCUUUGCGUUUAAUAUCAAUUAUAACUAUGAUAACUAAUUUUUAGUCGUUUUGUACCGAAAAUAUAGAUUGGUCAAGUCGUUUAGUAAAACAACAUAUCACACAUACUUGCAAAUUAUUUUCACAUCAUAAUGAAAUAUAUAUCCAUAUGCCAAUUAGCAAGUCAAUUUUUAGAAUAGUUCAUAGCCAUCGGUUCAGACCUUUAUGUGAAAGGAUGUUGGCUCUAUGUGUGCUUAUACGAAAGAAUGUUGUCUCUUCCCUUUCCUAUAGGAGGGUGAAAUAAGUUUUACUAGCAGCGUUGUACCUGAGGUGCCAGUAGCCUCAGUGUGCCCGUCGCUCCUCAAGAUGGCCUCACUGGCAGCAAAAUGUUCUCUGAUGAGUUGACUCGUGUGCUUGACUGGGAUUGUACUUUAUCUCUUCUGCCAGCUAAGCUCUGGUGAAUUCCUCCGGCAUCAACGUUAGCACGAUGGUUCGCCCAACCGAGCAUGUCCCCGAUCCACAAAACUAUAUAGUUGGGAACCUCACAGGUAGAUUCAUAGUUAACAGUUUGCUUAAACAAACUGACGUGGUUGUUUGAUCUAUGCAAAAGUGGCAUUGGUUGGUUUUAAUAGUGAAAUGUCAUCUUAACCAUUUAACUAGCUAUGUCCAACACAUUAUGUAUUUAUUUUUCUAAAUAUUGCCAGCUGCUCUCCAAUACAAAUUACAUGGUUGCCUCACUAUCUGUUUCCAAAAAACUUUUUGGAGGUAAAAUCAAACUGAAAUUCAGCGAUGGCUCAUCCCCUUGCAAUCGAUAUUCUACCUUUCAGUUUCUCCUCCUUAGCGUGGCUUUGCAUCAAUCUAUGCUGAGAAUUAAAGCAGAUGAUGUCUCCUCCAAUCUUGAGAAUUUUUUUGGAUGACCUGAUAUGUUAUGAGCUAAACUUUGCCAGCAUUUUAUCCUUUCCUCAGUUCCUCUACAUGUAAUUUCAGCUCGUCACAAAAUGAAGGAGGCGAGGAACCACUACCACACACGGGGCUCCUCGCGAGGCGGCGGCGGCACCGCUGCCGAGCGCGACCUGGUGUUACAGUGGGGCAACCAGAAGCGCAUGCGCUGUGUCAAGGUGCAGCGCCGCGACGAGACCGCCGCCGAGAAGACCACCAUCAGCUAGCGCCGCGCCGCGGCUGCCCAGCACCACCCAACUGGCCACACCCACCAGCACCACCGUGUUCUCAGGUCUGUGUCUUUCUCUAAUUUGUUUCUUUUUUUAUCGUUUGUGCCUUCGUGGUGUCGAUGUGCCCAUUGCGUGUGCCGACUCUCAACAUGAUUGGUUUGUUUUGAUGGCUACCUGUAUUUAUGUAAGUAAUGUAGAAUUCAUGCCAAAACAUAUUUCCCCACAACAUAAAAGAUAAGAGGGCCAUAUUUGUGAGCUAAAAUAAUUUUGAUAGUCACAACUCACCAUCUCCUUUGGAUAGCCUUAGGAUCUCCUUUUUAUAAUUUUGAUCCUACCAUACAAAAUUAUUCUAUAAAGGUCAUGGUAUAUCAUUAUAUCAUGUAUUCAACUUAGAGUUUACCUAUUUCAAUUAAUAGUUACAUUAAACCAAAUUUUGGUCUUUCGAAAUGACAGAUUUCGACAUUUGUUAUGAUUGUUGAGUUGAUUCUUGAUAACAUCACUAAACAAUGACCUAUGUGUAUACAAGUGUCCCUCGUUGCAACGCACGGGUAUAUAGCUAGUAUAUAUAUAUAUAUAUAUAUAUAUAUAUAUAUAUAUAUAUAUAUAUAUAUAUAUAUAUAUAUAUAUAUAUAAAAGAAAAUAGUGAUAUUUAUAAUAUUAUUUAAUGUUGAAUGUUGUUGACCAUUGAUAAAAUUAUGUUGGGUUCGAUAAACUUGUCAUACUGACAUAUUAUAUUAUUUUAGCAUCUUUUAAUACUGAUGAGGUAUAGGGUUUCAACAUUUUAUAUUUAGUACUUACUUUUGCGAUUCAAAUGAUCAUGUCUACUUAUAACGUUAAUGGAUAUGAGUAACCGCUACCUGUGGUGGGUAUGGCAUAAUUUUGUACCAUGAUGGAUAGUGAAUGCGGAUAUAGGACAAUUUUUUCUUUGGUGGGUGUGUAUGUAGGUGUAUAUAGCUUUGGUACUUUACCCGUCGCCAUCCUAGUUCGUUGUGAUGCAAGAACAGCAUAUCCUGCAUUCCUGCAUUACAUGAGGCUCUGAGCUGUGGUGAUUUAAAAUGGUCUACGGGCCACAUUGUAAUCUCUGUCUGGCCCAAUUUAAAGAUCUACGGUCCGCACUUGCAAGCCUCCGAGCCGGCCCAUAAACACGCAAGGCUUAUCAGUAUCGCCUAGCGGGGCCCUCUUCCUAUCAAAACCUCAUCCAAAUUCCAAAGACCAAACAGAGAGGGAGGGAGAUAGAGCCCCACAAUACCGAACCGAAAUACCCAGCCAACAGCCACAACCCACGCGCCACGCGCCCACGCCCACUGGCCACCGCCCCACCCCCACCCGUGCCCGUCCCGUGCUAGCUUAGCUCUCGGCUCUCGCCAUGGACGCUGCGGAGAGGAGGCUGGCUCGCGUCGCUGCCCACCUCGUUCCGUCCUUCCCGGUCCCACACGCCACCGGGCCUCCCCUCGCGCCUUCUCCCGCGGCAGCGUCCUCGUCGUCGUCCUCGCCGGCGGGGGACAGCUACAGGCGCGUGCACGGCGACGUGCCGUCGGAGCCACCGGAGUGGCGCACCGCCACAGACGAGUCAGGGAAGGAGUUCGUCGACAUCAUCUACGAGAAGGCCGUCGGAGAGGGCAUCGCCAAGGUGAGGCUUCUUUCUUCGGUCGAUCCUCGUGAAGCUUUGGAUCAUUGUUCUUGCGUCUCGUGUUUUUAUCAACGCGUAUUGCUGCCGCAGAUCACCAUUAACCGGCCUGACAGAAGGAACGCCUUCCGUCCGCUGACCGUGAAGGAACUAAUGCGCGCGUUCAACGAUGCCAGAGAUGAUAGUUCGAUUGGAGUCAUCAUUCUUACAGGGAAGGUACGGAUGCUUUUAGAGAAGAAACAACAAAAAUAACACUAAGAAUUUGGGUGUCUAUGGGAGUCGGGUUAGCUUUGGUGUGUAAGCUUUCGAUGUUUUUGGUUGACCAGGGAACCAAGGCGUUCUGCAGCGGCGGUGACCAGGCGUUAAGAGAUUCUGAUGGAUAUGUGGACUUCGAUAGCUUUGGCCGCCUCAAUGUCUUAGAUCUCCAGGUCAGAUGUGUUUCUAUCUCCGAUCUGUUUAUUCUCUCCACUUUCAGAUGGUUUCUUUAGUGAGGUUUGAACUGACUUACAUUGUUCAGAACAUGAUGGUGACGUAUAAUUUUGACUAGAAUUCCUGUCUACUGAUAUUUUUUUAAUAUUUUCUGAUAUACCACUUAGUAAAUUUGCAGGAGCAGAUUUUCCUUGCCGUUGGCACUUCUAGUCUGUGUAAAAAAACUAAAAAUGAUUAACCUUUAAGGCAUUAGUGGUUAUCUUUGUACUGAGAACAUCGGACGGACCAUUUUUUCCUUCAGGUGCAGAUUCGCCGUCUUCCAAAGCCUGUCAUUGCUAUGGUAUGAUCAUAAGUUCAUAACUAUACUUCGCCUUUUUGCUAUCUCCUUCGCCAUCAUAUGGAUUGAUUUUGUGAUGUUUACUAUCAGGUUGCUGGUUAUGCUGUUGGUGGUGGACAUGUUUUGCACAUGGUGUGUGAUAUAACAAUUGCAGCAGAGAACGCGAUAUUUGGGCAGACAGGGCCCAAGGUGAUAUUUUUGCUCUAUUCUGUAUCUUGUGAUUACCGAGGAUGCAGAUAAUACCAAUAAAGUGAAACAUCGUAUUUUACAUAAUCAGUUCAUAGCAGGGUUACCUUUUCUGUGUUCAUUAAUCAAUCCCUUAUUGUCUUUUCGCUAAAACUAUAUACUUGCAGUGUAUUUUAACAUCCCAAUCUGUAACUCCUAUCACAGGUUGGAAGCUUUGAUGCUGGUUAUGGAUCUUCGAUAAUGUCCCGGUUGGUGAGUUAUCAUACUAUCAAUCUAGUGAGGUAGUAGAAAAUGUCGCAUUAUUCCUCACACACUUUGAAAAGAAACACCUUCAAUACUCAAAAGUUUUUAUUCUUAAUAACACAUUCUUAAAAGUUGACUUGUACGCUAUUCCAUUUCAUAUUAUCGACAUGCUCGUGAUACAUAAACAGCAUGCUGUUGUUGCUCCAAUUAUAUAUUUCUCAUGGACAGGUUGGACCCAAGAGAGCCCGUGAAAUGUGGUUUCUGUCACGGUUCUACACAGCUGACGAAGCUGACAAAAUGGGACUCGUGAACACCGUAGUACCGGUAAGCGCUGAAUCCAGGGUCAAUUACUAAAAACCAAACUGUUUCAGUCAUGCCGAUCCACUGACAAGUACACGCUUCUGUACACUAGCUUGCUGAACUGGAGCAGGAAACUGUCAAAUGGUGCCGUCAGAUCUUAAGAAACAGCCCCAUGGCUAUUCGCGUGCUGAAAUCUGCACUCAACGCGGCAGAUGAUGGCCAUGCAGGCCUUCAGGUAAAGCCUGCCAAAAUGCUAACCCUUCCCUUGGAAGUUGGAACUGCUGCUGGUGAGCUUCUAUCUGCAUGUUGCAUUACUGAUGGCGCUUCUGCUCUAGGAGCUUGGCGGGAAUGCCACGCUAAUAUUCUACGGCACGGAGGAGGCAAAGGAAGGGAAGAACGCGUACAUGGAGAGACGACGCCCAGAUUUCUCCAAGUUCCCACGCAAACCUUGAGUUUCAGCUCUUUGCUGAACUGGCCAAUUAUUUUACUGAUCCCCCCACCCCACCCAACUUGGAUCAUUAUGCUUACUCUACAUUGAGGAGACGGACGAUAAUCAUUUUCACUCCAAUCAAUUUUCAUAUAUACACGAUAAAUGUAUUUUGCAUGAAAAUUCAGAUCAAUGAAAAGUAAAUCUUGAUGUAUUUGAUUCACCUUUGCCUUCACUGGCCGGGCAGGAGGGAGAUCCUUAAUAAUUAUAUAUGCGCUUCAACAUUCGUGCUUCUUACGAGUAGCGCGGAGAAACUUUUCAUGGUUUUCUUCCUCAUUCUAGGCAGAAAGCUGGCUUUACUUGAGUUUCGCUUGCUGAUUUACACACGUAUUCUAUGGCACAGAGGAGAAAAUUUCAUAGUUUUCUUCCUUAUUUUAUUGUUUUGAUUUUUAAUUCCAUUUCCUUGCCUAUGGCCCACCCGUCGAAAGAAAGGAUUUGCGGUGGGCCGUGACGCAACUGCUGACGAGGCCCAAAUUUGACAAAGGAAGCCCGGUUAUUCUGACGCUUUGCCCUUUCCCUUUCUCUGCUCCGGCCUCCGAGCACCUAGAGUCGCGUCCCCAAUCUGCACAGCGGCGGGAUCCCCUACAGGCCGCAGCAGCACACCGCACAAUGGUUCGGUCCACAAAUACCGCGCCACGUGCACAUCUCAGCCAGCCCUACCGCACAGGAUCCCGUCUCCUCACCGCCGCACAACAAAUAGAACCACGCCCACAAUUCUGUGAACAACGCAGAGAAAAGAAAACCGCUCCAAUCCGGAAGCUGAAAAUAGCAGAAGAAUCCAGAGGCGACUCCAGGUUUGUCGGCGAUGCUGCGAGCGGGAGGCAGGCGGCUCCUCGCCCCGGGGCUCCGUCGGCUCGGCCUGGGCACAGGCGCCUCCGGCGAGGCGGGUCCUGCCGCGGCGGCGGCGGGGGUGAGGGCGUACCACGAGCGGGUGGUGGACCACUACAACAACCCGCGGAACGUAGGUUCCUUCGACAAGGACGACCCCAACGUCGGCACUGGGUUGGUCGGCGCGCCAGCCUGCGGCGACGUCAUGAAGCUGCAGAUCCGCGUCGACGAGAACUCCGGCAAGAUCGUCGACGCCUGCUUCAAGACUUUUGGCUGCGGCUCCGCCAUAGCGUCCUCGUCCGUCGGUGAGCCUCCUCAGCCCUAGCACCACGUCUGGAGUUCCUCUCGCCUCCUCCUAGGUGGUUCGGGUGUAGCGUAUAGUGUAGUCUCAGUCCUCCUUUUUUCUAUGAAUUGAGUUACAUCACUAAUUGGUUAUCUAGUUAUCCCGAUGCCUUUAUUCCAAUUGUGGAGACCUUUUGCAGAUAAAGAUGAAUUGUAACCUCUGAAUUGAGUCACAUCACUAAUUGGUUAUCUAGUCAUCCUGAUGCCUUUAUUUCGAUUGUGGAGGUCAUUUGUAGAGAAAGAUGAAUUGCAGCUAGCUUAGUAUUGUGUUUCUUAUAUGUGCCAUUUUUUCGGGGACUAUGUGAGGUACAGUUUGUAAGUAAUCAAUUUGAUUUGUGAUGGUACAGAUAUAUCGACUGUACUGCUAAAUUUCAUCUGUAUUGCUGUUUCGUUUCAAUUUGCCUAAUUUUGGUGCUUUAGACCUAAACUGGCUAGUUGUGUUGAAUUUUAGACAUAUGCGAUGCAAUCAUUUUAUUUUUGGUGCUUUGGACCUACUCCCACCCUUCCAAUUAUAAGAAAUUUUGACUUUUCUAACUAUGUAGGUUUUACUAUGCGCUUACAUAUAUCUAGAUCUAUAGUAAAAGCAAUGUAACUAGAAAAUAAUUGACUAGUUGUGUUCAAUUUUAGACAUGUGUGAUGCGACCAUUUUAGCUACAGAUAAGUUUUAUGACAAAGAAGUUCCAUAUGACUUGCAUACUCAUCAUAUGGUUAAUGCUGAAAUAUUUUUUAUAUCAGAUCUGCUAGUUUAGAGCUAAUAAAUGUGUAUGCUGAGUGUUUUGUUAUGAUUCUGGUUCUUGCAUGAUUUUCUGGAUUGUAGUUGUCCAAAAGGGGAGGCCCGGUGCAGUGUUGAUGUUGAGAGUUGUCUCACUGAGUCAUCAGGUCACGGUUCAAAGCUGCUUCCCCGCAUUUGUAGGAAAAAGCUUGCAUCAGUUUAUCCUUUUCCCAAACCCCACUCAUGUGGGAGUCAACGGGAUUGGGUCUGCCUUUUUAUGCUGUUUUUUUUUUUGUAAUUAUCAAGGAGAAUGGCCAUGUAGGAUCUAGAAGUUACAUCUUAAUAUUAAUAAAAAGGGUUAAUUGUAUACAUGCCACUCAACUUUUACAAAAUUAGACGGCAAUUUUAUUUUGAUGCCAUGGAGUGACAUGAAAAUAAACUAGUUUCCAAUUUUUCAAAAUUUUAAGUGGCAUGUUUCCAAUUGACCCUAACAAAAAUGAUAGUCGUGUAGUUAGAGAAGUUCUUAUUUCAAUCAGUAGAUUCAGAUGCUUGUAGUUUAUAUAGUUUUUAUUAGUUGCUGAACCAAAUUGGUUCAGAUAUGAUAGACAAUGUGCCCUGGUUUUGAUGUUCUUACUAACUUAGUAAUGGAAGGGUACUAUGGAAAUGUCUAGGAAGAUAAUCCUGCAAAUAAUGAAAUAGUCAACAGAAUGAUCAGGCAACUUUUAAGUCAUUGGUUUGAUGAUAUUAUGCAUAUAAUACCUAACCUCCUGCAUUAUUAGAGUAAUUCUAAGAGACUAUAUAUCCUUUCUAAUUGUUAGGAAUAGAGAUUUUGAUAGACAAAUACCCUCCAACAGCUUAUUUAAGUGGUUAUCCAAAUAUAGCCAUCCUCUAUUUUGAAUUUCUUGCUAGCCAGAGAUAGAUAGUGAAAAUGACUCUCUAGCGUGUGCACAUUAUAUUUAAAAGCUCUUGGAGAGUGAAAAGAUAUAUAAAGGAAUUUUUAUGUAGCUCCAAAUGAUGAUUUUGAGAGUGAGUUGUUCUUAUGAAUGAUAUUGCUGUGAAUCACAAAAUGUGGACAUUCUGUUGUACUGUGUGACUUGUAAGCCAACAACCAUGGGAACCAAGUUGCCAGUUGAAACUUCGAUUUAUUUAGUCCUAAGUGAUGGGAAGAUAAUCUGGAAUGUGGGACAUGAGGUUUUUACCUUAUUUUUUGUGUUAUAGGUUAUUUUAUUACUAUUAUAUUAAAUGAGUGUUAAGUAUCAUCUUGUCUUGCAUAGAAGAGUGGACCUGCUGGUUCUUGUAUCUUACAAGCCAGAAGCAUUCCUGAAUCUUGAUUCCGUGAAGAGCCUCAUCAGUCAUCCCUAAUUAAACAAAAUGCUGCUUAAUGCGCAAUGUUGAUUAUAUUAUCCUUGCAGCUACUGAAUGGGUGAAGGGAAAACCAAUGGAUGAAGUUUUGACAAUCAAGAACACGUAAGUUAUCUACUGUCUUCUCUAAUAUUUUUCGGCUUGCUUAACAUUAUCCAUUUCGUUAAUCAUCUGAACAUGCUAAUAUCAUAUUUUGUAAAUAUGAAUUGUUGUCUGUUUACAUCUUCACUAAUUGCACACACUCCCUGUUUUUCAGUUCCUUUGCUGUUCUUUGUAAUGUGAAUACCAGUGUGAGAACCGGUUUGUAUCCGUGAAGACUUACUGGUUGUUAUAUGCUUAUAUCUCUCUUCGGUGGCCAUUCGAUACUUCGAUUUUAUUUUUUGUUAUAUAACAAAAUAUCUGGUUAAGCAUGAUUAGUAUUUCUUAAUGAUGUCUCAUUCCGUUUUGAUGGGUUCUUUGAGUUACAAUGAAAUGAUCUUUUUUCAGCUAUCAGGGGGGUAAUAAUCAUUUUAAUUUUCUCCCUUGUUCUUGGGAGUGACAGAAGAUUAUCUGAUAUGUUAGUUUCUAAAGUUCCUAUUCAGUAAUAUUAUGGCACAUCUGACAUUGUUUGAGUUUCAGUAAUCAGAAAUGCUACAUGUGCUUAUUCCUUUAGAGGAUGUGACUUAUGGUCUUAUACUCCCUUUUUUUAGAAAAAGACGAAUUCCUUCAUUUACCUUCUCACCCUCGCUGUAUUUUUAGGGUUUGGUUGUUGAGAUUUUUCUGGGCACUAUCAGAAUCCCUUAGCAAAGACCACUGUAACUUGUUGUGUUACUCUUUUCCAGGGAGAUCGCGAAGCACUUGUCCCUUCCACCAGUAAAGCUCCAUUGCAGCAUGCUUGCCGAGGAUGCGAUUAAAGCUGCUGUAAAAGACUACGAAGCCAAGAAGUCGAAGAUGGGGCAGAAGGGUGAAGACAGCCCUUCAGAGAAGGCUGCUGAAGCAUGAAAGGUUCUGCCGUGAAGUAUAUUGUGCUGAUACGUUUCUCAGUCCAUGACUAUCCGCCGCAUAUUGCCAAAGAUAAAUGAUUCUGUUUGUGAGGCGAGGGAUUGUGUGUAAUGUUCACGAAGUGUGGUAGUGCGGCAUGUGGCUCAACUGUUUUAAGGAUGGUGACGACUGAUUUCAAAUAAAUUUGCUGUCAUCGUAGAAUUAGAAGAAAGUACUAUGUGGAUUUACAGGAGCUGUUUCUGGAAUUUGUGAUAUCAUGGUACUUUCUUUUUGCAAGAAUGUUACUGUUGGUAUUGGCAUUCCGGCAGUAUAGGUUGACGAUUGACGAAUAGCUAGCCAAAGUAAUGCAAAGUGAAAUCUAUUACUACCAUUUUAUGUCCUGUAUACGUCGGACGGUCUAGGUACUAAUGCUGGACAACUUUAUGUCCUAUAUACGUCGGACGGUCUAGGUACUAAUGCCGGAUAGGCGUAGACAGGUGUGGAUAGUUUGGCUAUGAAGGUUGGACCGUGUGGAUACGAUUAGGAGUAACAAUAAUCUCAGACCUUUAGACUAUAAAGUUCUAAAACAUGUAUUAGAAAGCAAAACACUUUCAAGACGUUUGACCGACUCGGUAGAGUUCACUCUAUUUUUAAUCAGUUGCUUGCUAAAUAUACAAAGAAUGUCAUUCCACAAAACCGACCAAUAAAAAACAAAGCAAAGACCAACUAAAUCGGCCUAAAAGGUAGCGCAACCAAGAUCGUCCGAUCAUAUUCCUCCAUAAAGGCAUGGUGUUUCCCAAUCUAUCCAUCCUCGAUACGUUGUCCUACUCAAGUGUGGCUUGGUACAAUGAUGAAUCUGUAUGACUGGCCUAAUCCGUUUGCCUAUUCGGGUUGGAGGCCAUCACAAGUUUUUGCUUAUUGACAUGUUGGUCAGGCAGACAUGGCCAAAGAAGAUACAAUCCGAAACGGUUUCUAUGCAUCAAAGUUGUAUCAAAUAUUUAUAUUAUCUAAUUACAAGCCGAUGACUUGCGUCCAACUGAGUCCUUACUUCGGGAACAAAAUAACUCAUGAGAUCUAUUAUUUUCAAAGUACGUUGAUGCUUUUGGUUCGCCAAGCUCCACCAAAAGACCAAAAGACAGGGGGCAUGUGUUAAACACCAAAAGUGACGGACGGUUCGGCCCUAGGAAUAAAUGUAGCAUAGUCCUAGUUAUAGCUUUUCCAAUAUCUACCUUUAUCUCUAUUCGACUCUACGUCGUCUAGAUCCGUCUUGGUGGUCUGCCGACUCUAAGACAACCCAAGGACCUUACCCCAUCGGGGGCAAGAUCCACUACACUCAAGUUCUUCUUAAUUCAAGAUCCGAUUCUCUCAGAGUGAAAUCGAGUGCUCUAGACGACUUUACGUAGUCUGGAGACGCUCUAGGUGACCUACUGACCCGGAGCACCCUAAGAUCUCCCCUAGGGGACGAGAUCUAGGUUCCUGCGAGGAGGAAGACGACCCGACGGCAUCACAGACAGUCCGGACCCAGGCGUGGACCGUCCGGAAGCGUGCAGGAAAGGCGCUACUCCUGCGCUUAUGUCGCAGACCGUCCGGCCCAGAGCCACGGAUCGUCCGUACCGCGUAGAGAGCAUCGCCAGACGGUUCAUCUUCCAGUGUUUGACGUCCGGAUCUGCGCCAACACAUCCCAAAUUCAAACAGACUAAGGGGGUGUUUAGUUUCUAGGGACUAAUGUUUAGUCCCUUUAUUUUAUUCCUUUUUUGUGUAUAAAUUGCUAAAUAUAGAAACUAAAAUAAAGUUUUAGUUUCUAUAUUUGGUAAUUUUGGAACUAAAAUGGAAUAAAAUCUAGGGACUAAACAUUAGUCCCUAGAAACCAAACACCCCCUAACCUAGAACUAAGGCCUGGAGAUAUUCAGAACAUCAGCAACUUACAGACAGUUCGUAUGACAACCGGUUUCAUGAAUAACGGGGUACCACUAACGUUCAACCCCCAAUUCAGCUGCUCAUGUAUUCUUCACUAAAAAUGUUCUCUUAAGUGAAACUAGAAUCUGAUGAGAAUCGAUAAAGUGAUGUGCGAAAUGGUGUAAUAGAACUGCAACUUGAACACUCAGUAUGAUUUCCACUCAACCCCCCUCCCACUAUUUUCUCGAGUGAUUUCUAUUUUUACAAAGAAAAAUGAACUAAUAUUUCUUGGGAAAAUAAAAAUCCCUUGAAAAAGUAGGGUUCACAAACUAGCUAACAGUAUAAAAAUGCACAAUGGAAACCACUACAAAGACUGCUAGCAAAAUGGCAAGGAACAGAACAUGCACUUACAAGGAAAGCAAAAUGUCCAUUUGUCCACCAUCAUGAAUUAAUGAUAGUGCCAAGAAGGCAAAUACACAUUACCAGUUUCGAGCAGAUCACAUUCACUGCCAAUUCAAGGCAGAGAUAUAUCACGCACAUACAAGCUAGUGAAUCGACACAUACACAAAUCUCAUAUCAUGAAACAGCAAUUCCUUACGAACAACAGUGGGGAUACAAGAGAUUGGGGAUGCAAACAAAAGAAACUAAAGAAAAAAAAGGAGUACUCGUAUACCUAGUGUCACGCGAUAGACACCUUGGCGCCGACCUCCUCGAGCUGCUUCUUGGCGUCCUCGGCCUCGUCCUUGCUGACGGCCUCUUUGACCUUCUUGGGGAGACCCUCGAUAAGGUCCUUGGCCUCCUUGAGCGCGAGGCUGGUGAGCGCGCGCACCACCUUGAUAGUGGCGAUACGCGCGCUGCUGGGCACCUCUUCGAUCAUCACGUCGAACUCCGUCUUCUCGACGGGGGCCUCCUCCUCGGCCGCGGCCCCGCCGCCCGCCCCGGGCGCCGCGACGACGGCGGCCGGCGCGAAGGCCGCGGCGGUGACGCCGAGCCGCUCCUGGAGGUGGUCGACGAGGCUGCGGGCCUCCUCGAGCGUGAGCCCGGCGAUGGCGUCCCCGAGCUCCAGGAUCUUGGGGGACUCGGUGGCGGUGCACGCGACGGCGACGGCGCGGCGGCCCCGGCGGAUGUGGGGCGCGGCGUGGGAGGACCUCGGGAGCGAGGCGGCGGGGCACGGGGAGGUGGAGGGGCGGGAGAGGAGGGUGAAGGCGGAGGAGAGGGUGGUGGACGCCAUGGCUAGCUCUUGGGAGCUCGUGCGUCGGGACUCAGAAGUGAGCAACAGCGGCGGGAGGACCGGAGGAGGCGGGGGAUAAGAUGAGGAGUGCGUGCGAUGGGUGCCGUUGCGAUAAGAUGGGGAGAGUGAUAUACGAACGGUGCGAGUGGCAAACACCUACACUUUCCUUGCAAAUUGCAAUUGCAUCUCUGGAUUUGUAAAAGGAAGCACACACCAUGAUGAUUUAUUUUAUCGAAUUUUCACAUGGGCAAUUUAAUAUUUUUAUAAACCACAUUCUCUGGCUUGGAAAUUAAUCAAAGAAUUCAAAUAGUACCAUUUGACGCGGCAAGUUGGACGUAAAAUGAGAUCUUCAAAUUGGAAAGUACACGUGAUGCCAAUUUUUUUUCUCAUAAUACUUUUUUGUGUGAGUUGUCACUUCUUAGAUUUGGAAUACGUCAUUUUAUACAAUUUUUACUGAAUCACAUUUGUGUAUUUUUGUACACCUGUUUAUUUCUCAUCGGGGCAGAGGUGGAUCCAGGAUUACGAUAUAAGGGGGGUCGAUCAAUUCAUCAAUAUUAUAUGAUAAAAAAAUAUUGUAUAAUGUUAUCAAGUUUAAGCACUCGAUAUGGAAUAAAAAUUCUAAAUCUUUAUGAAUCUAAGUUAUUAAAACCUGAAGCCGUUUGGAGCUCUCCCCGCGUUUCGCGGGCACUCGGCCGCGUGCUUGCCGACGCGUGCCCGACGGCUCGGACCCGAAAAAAUACUCAUUUUAGCUCUGAGAGGUAACGUGCGUCCAUGCCCUCACACGUCAUCUCUCUCACCGUGCACUGUCUCUAUCCUCUCCCAUCCACCUCCCUCCGCACACUCCGCCGCCUCACCUUCUCCCCCUCUCCCUCCCCGCCGCCGCGGUCCCCGCCGCCACGCUGUGGCCCUUCUUCGACGCCGUCUGCUCCGACACCGCCAUCACCUUCGGCUCGCUCGUCGCGCUCCACGAGUACCUUUGAGAAUUCGUCGGUUCGUCCUCACCCUCACUCUCCCUUCCCACCUCUCCCUCACACACGUCGUCUCUGCAGUCUGCACGCUGGAUCUGCUGCCUCCCUACCACCACGCCCAUGCUGACCUCGCCCUCCUCCCCAGCGCGCCCCUACCACCGCCUCCUCCUGAUCGCGCACCUGUCACCGCCUCCACCCGACUCUGCCGCUAAGCGGGCGUCCCACCGGGUCGUGUUCGGCACCAAAGCGACUGGAUGGGCUCGGCCCGGACCCCACUCCCGACCAUGCGCUGCCGCCAGUCGAUGAGCCGGUCAGUCGCCUUGGCGUACCGCUUCCUGCCCGACGCGUCGCGGUUGCCAGACCAGAGCGCCUCCGCCAUGGCCGAGGCUCUCGGCCACACCCGGCCGUGCAUGACGGUCUAUCUCUGCAUCUGAACUGCACUACAACUCUGCAUACAGCCGUAUCACUACCACCUUCACAUAUAUAAUUUUUUUCAGGUUAGAUCAACAAAUAGCUUCACAUUCUGCAGCCCCUGUAGGAGUCCUCAUACUAAAAAUUUUCAGUGAAAUUUAUAAGUCUCACAUAUGUGCAAUGCUGCAUCAGAGUAAGAAUUUACUGCAAAAGUCAGUUGUUCGAGGCAAAAAAUUGACAGUCUUCAUAUGUAGUUUUGAUCAUUGUGAAGAGUAUAUAUUGCAGUCAUUGUACCAUGGCACGGUGCCACGGUCUAUAAUACAGACAAUUAUCAAAAGUGGAGAGACUACAAAUUAAACCCUUCCACCACAUGAUAAAGUUAGAUUAGUAUAGCCCUACAGGAGGCACUAUACGGGAACAUACCAAAGAACUCACAUAAGGACAUGAUCAAAAUAUAGGGCCCGCUGAGGCAUUUAUGCAAACAGACCUCCGUCUAGCAACGGGAACUCCAUAGUUUCAUUGCUAAAAUCUAGAUCAUCAUACCAGUUAUUCUGCAGUCCAGGUAGUACCAUUGUAUCAUUGCACUGGAUUAAAUCGAUGCUAUUCAGUCCUAUAUCCCCGAAGGAGACGCCUUGAAGUUGAUAGCCGGACAGUUCAUCAGGUAGACAAGUCAAAUCAGUGCUGCAUAAUAUACUUGCCUCUUCUGAAGUAAGCAAAAUAUUUUAGUAUAAGACAGGAUAAUUAUCGAUCAUAAAUACAUAUGCAUGCUUAUAAUAUAAUUUCAGUUGAUAGUAGCGAUUGUUUGCAAUAGAUUUUAUCGAAAAACAGACCAUUCAGUAGUUAUAGAUUCUCUAAUAUGUCAGCCAAAUGAACUAAGAAUUCUGUCCAGAUGAAAAUAAAAGAUUAAAGAUGUUCUCAAAGACAAAUAAAAUAUGUUCGUUGGGUCAUUCACUGAAAAGUUUUCUGCUCCCAAAGCCAGCUAUGGUGUGACAAAAAAUAUAGCAAGUAAAUAGACUCCACUCUGCAGCGCUAUAAAAUCAGAAGACAAGAUGAUACGACCCAACAUGUAAUCUUGUUUGUUGCAGGUCUUUACUACGACUGCAACUUUGAAGUUUGGUAUUCAUAUAAUCAAUAGGCUCAACAGUAUGUCCCUUGUAAAUGGUAGGAUCAGAGUGCUUCUGCUAUGUCAUCUUCGACACUUCCUGGUGUUUGCAACAAACAAAGUGCUUCUAUGCUGUGCAGUUCUUGUUUCUUACAAGUGGUGAUGGUGGUAGUGGUCUGGUCUCUAUGUGAGCAUUGGUCUAGAGUAUCGUGAAGCUAUGCGGCUCUUCUUUCAUGUUCAAGAUGAAGUUCAUGAAGCUUGGAUCGAAUCUGGAUACCUUUAAUGAUGAUGGCAAUGAAAUCAGAUGAUCGAUCGCUUCUUUUAAUUUGGCUUUUACCUUGUUUCUUUAAUGUUGCCUUUGAAUCCUUGUGUUGUUCUUAGAAUCUGACUGAUUUUUAUUUAUUUCAAUUAUAAAUGGUAUGAUCUGACUAAGAAAUUCCUAGACGCAUUCUCCCUGAUUGCUGUUACUGUUGAUGGAUACUAGAUGAUUAUAUAAUAUGUGGUAAAGUUUUCCCAAUAAGCUCAGUUGUGCAGAUCGUUUGUUUCUUCUUCUUAGUUAGAGUGAAAUUAUUUACUUUAUGAAUAACUAGAUCCAUAUAGGAUAUAGUGAUGUUAUUUAGGAUGGAGGGAUUCUUAUCGCUCUUUGGUGCUUCUCCCUAUAAUCAGUGCUGAAUAACUAGAUCCAUAGUGCUGAUAAAUUUUUGGUGCUUCUCCCUAUAAUCAGUAAUAGCAUACUAAAAGUACCUUUGAACUAGAAACCUUAUGAUAUUAUUUUUCCACAAUAAAUUCUUGGUGCUACUCCCUGUAUAUCAGAGGUUAUAAUCACUCCUGAGCACAACGAAGAAGGGAUUUACACGAUCAGAUUCUACAUUCAGGUAUUUAUUGUUUAAACCAUUUGACCAGUAAGUUUGAGGCUGCUUCUCAUGAAACAUUUCCUAUAAGCUUUAUGAAACAUCUGUUGAUAAAACUUUGUUUCUUAACAUGUCCAGCGAAGCUUUCUUUCUUAACAUGUUGCUAUUGUGUCCAGCGAAGAUGCAGGCUAUCUCCUGCUAAUGUUGCUGCCGAAGAAAUGAACUUCUUACUUUUAUGUAGAGGCAACACUUACUAAUAUGAUGCUCGAAUUUGCAAUGAAUGAUGUGUGUGUGUGCUAUUUUCGGACCACUGGUAUUUAAAACUGACAACCAUGAAAUUUUGGUACACAUGAAUCCCAAGCAAUUUGUGUAACAUAUGGCUAAACAAAACAUUGAUGCUUGAUUUGUGAUCCAGCUGAUUUUGAUGUCAAUUUAUUAUACAUGUAUAUAUCUUUGCAAUAACUUCUUAUGUAUAUGGUUAUAUUGCAAAUACUAUUGUCUCUUUACUGUCUCCUGAUAGGGCGCCCGAAUGGGUGCCUCCUCUUCUAGUUAUCUUAGUUCUGAGAGUUCCCUUUGACCCGGGAACAGGAUCUGGAUGUCGCCUAGAGGGGGGUGAAUAGGCGAAUAAAACUUAUUACUUUAAAACUUAAAUUCUUACUCUACUCGAAGACUUAAUACGCAGUGGAGUGAGAAGACUCUUCGAGUAGGUUGCAGCGGAAUCGGAGAUCCUGUCUCAAAAUGUCCUGCACUUCAAAUAAAACUUAUACCACGGAUAAGUAUUGAAGUGCAGAUAUAAUAUCGAGUAAGACAGAGAGUCAGGAUACAAUACAGAGCACACAGACGCAAGGAUUUAUCCCGAGGUUCGGCCAAGCCUGAAAUGCUUGCCAAGUCCUCGUUGGAGUUAGCCACACCUGGGCUUGGAGUCUAUUUCAACUCCUUCCUCCGUUUGCUCAGAUCUGUCAGUAUGACAGAUAGAGCCUUUCAGUAUUGAGUUGGGUUACAACAACACCGUGGCUGCUUACAAACUUCUUGGCAGCACCUCGGUAGAGUAACGAUACGCUCAAGACCUUGCUCUAGCUCUUAGCAGCACUUCUCCUCUCUCUAAAGGCUUAUAGCUGUGCUGAUGUUCUCGCAGGGGGUUUGCCGCAAAAAUCGCUCGUGCGCGCCGCUGCCCAGUCCAUGCCGUCGUCGGCCAAGAAGGAAAGGAGCGCCUCCGCCCUGCUCCCAAACAAGAAACCUUCAAGACGGCGGGGACAAGUUCAGGAAAAAAUUCCUCUACAAGAAACAAACAACUAGGCAAGAGACGAGCAUCCACACAAGAAUUCCUCUGCAGCUCGGGAAACCGAUCGGUCGCGGCAUCCUGUGCUGGGUAUAUAACGGUAGAAAGGGCAGUCUACAGCAGGGUGGAAAGAGGCAGUGAGAGUGAUUGACGUCGUGUGCAGUUUUUUUUUGUUUUUUUGUUCUUUCUUUUGUUUUGACCUGUACACGUUUACGGAUUCCUAGAUUUUUUUAAGCGGAUAUGGCUUUAGGAUUUGCAGGCCUAUCCCUGUAAAACUCUUCGUUAAGCCCUUCAAAGAGAAUUUUUUACAUGAGCAUUACCUUGUAGACUUGUAGUUGUAGAGAGUGAGGUAAAUGAUCCAAAGGUGAAGUUUUUACUACUAUAUGAGAGAGCAAAGUAGGUGUCCAUAAUAUGACAUACAUUUGUACAUAAGCUAUCACGAUAUUAUUGGUGUGAUUGGUUGCCCAAAUGGGCACGGCCAGACCCGGCGGCACGUGCGUUGACCACGCUUGAAACCAUGAUUGGUUACCUGUACGUCAUCGGCGUAGCCUGCACGCGCAGACGCAACCUAGGUAGGAAACCACCCGUAAGCCUGCAUGGACAGAGACGCGAGCGUGCAGCCUUCUCUACCGGACCAGGCCAAGGCGAGCCGGGCGCCCUCUAGCCCACAAACCAAUCACGCAAUAUAUUUCUGUUGCAACGCACGAACACUCACUUAGUAUAUAUAUAUAUAUAUAUAUAUUAUUUUUUAUGGUCUGUCUCACGACCUAAACGAGUUAGUAGAUAAGACGAGUCGAGUCGAGUUAACUCUAACUCUGAGUCUGAGGUACGUCGAUAUCCAACCCGGAGAGGAUAGGCAGCGUUGGUGGAAGUGGCGCUGCGGCGGUGUCGGUUGGAGAGGAGGCGGCGCUACGGCAGUAUCGGUCGAAGAGGAGGCAGCGUUCGAGGAAGCAUCUUCGUGGUGGCCAUCCGCUACUACUAGGCGUUGUUCGACUCGCUGGACACGAGCUACGGCGCGAGCUACAGCGAGGACAGCCCCGAGCGGCACGCGGUGGAGCAGCUGCUGCUAUCGCGGGAGAUCCGCAACCUGUUGGUCGUGGGCGGGCCCGCGCCCACCGACGACGUCAAGUUCGACGGCUGGCACAGUACAGGUUCCACGAGGCCUCGCUCGCCAGUAGCCCCGCGGCGCAGGCGUCCCUGCUACUCGGCAUGCCCCUCUAUGCCUGCUCACCGCGUCAGCUUCGUGGCAUUAACAGUCGUUUGUGAGUUCAGUUGCCACGCAGGGCUAAAUCAUCAGUUGUUUUGCAUCUGUAACUAGCUGCUCGAUUUGGUCACCAGUUGGGAGAAAAGAAAAGGCGGAGACAUUUCUUCUGAUCACCAGAUCACGUACUAAGAGUAGAUCCAUUUACAGUGAUAGUUACUGAUGUACGCUUUAAUUAGUUCAAUGCUAGAUCGAUCCUGUUCAGCUAUCAACCGCUUCCUUGUCCAUGGUUUCUUUUCAUUUUGGUGCUUUGUCUAAUCGCUUUUCCUUCAUUACAUAGAUUGUGCCCUGCCCUUUAUACGUUCUAGUGACGAUUCUUGCUGAGGAUAUAGCAUAGUUUUCCUGUAAAGUAGCUAGCUAUCAAGCAUUUGUGGCUACAUCGAUGACACCUUAAACCCAAUCCAUGUUUAGAACACUUUUUUUGCAUCCUAAAAUUCAUGUGACAACUCAAACUAUUGUACUAGUCCACUGUCCAUGCUGAUUAUACAGGAUAGCGAUGAGUAUUUGUGCAAUUGUUGUUUACUGAACUUCAUUUGGGUGUCCUUACUUGACAUCACUCUUCUUGUGUGGGCAUGCGAAUCUGGUCGACGAGCAAACAUGGCGGCCAAUGCAGAUCAUAUCAGAGCUGCGUCAGCCCAAUAGGCCUAAAUUGGUGUUUUAAAAAUUUUAGGGGACAUUUAUUAGCAGAUUGUUGUGGUUUUACAUUUUUUAGCAUAAUUUUGUUUUCAACAAUCCCCAAUAACAGAUUUUGAGGUAAAAAAUUUAGUGAUCUCUUGGAGUUGUGCUAUCAUAAGUUGCAGAACACGAACGCCAGAUAAACAUCGAUAGCAGAAAUGAAUUGUCAGAAAAAUACAGAUAUUACAUUAUUCUACGAGGGUGGGUCAAAGCAACUUGCCUCUAUACUAGAGUAGUUUAUGAUUCUUCUAGUGUAGACCAAAAAAUAAUCCUAGAAGUAAGCUUUUAAAAUUCCAAUUCACUUCCCCCCCUCUCGGGGCUAGGAGCCUAGGACCCAUGUGUCCCCUCUACAUGAUUAAAGAUUACAUAUUUAGAAACAGUCCAUAAAUGAUUUUAGGUUCUUUCAUAGAAAGGACAUUAGGUCAAAACUUGUUAAUACAUGGUACAUCAUGUAAUAAACUAGAAACCAUGAUUUAGGAGUAGCUAAUUCAAUUUUAUUGUCGUUUGGCUAACAGUAGCGCACAGGCCAUUGUUCCCUCACCCUGGCUUACUAGGAUGUUGACAACUUCCUCUAUUCUAAAUUAUAAGGAUUUUUUGAUAUAAUGGUUUUCUAUGCAUAUAGACAUAGUAUAUAUUUAAAUACAUAGAAACAAUCAUGAAUUUUAAAAGGUUAAAUUAUUUUGUAAUUUAGAAUGGAGGGUGUAGCUAAUUAUACUGAAUCUUAGGAAAAUCAUACUGAAUAUCAAGGGGUACUGUAAACUGUUAUGCCUUACAGUCUGGUAUUUGGGAGUUGGGACUGAACUCUAAGAAGGUUGUCUGUAGUGUCUAUUUCAAGUUUAAAUUUACAGCUUAAUUCAAAUCUUAAUCAAUGAAUAAUAUUGGUAGGAGAAUGCUUGACCAUAAUACUGAAAAAAGUUUCAGAAGGCUCAAGACACAAGGACAUGGAGACCUUGUUCUGUGUCUACACUAUAGGGUUAUAUAUUCUUUCUAAUAACCGAGUUAUGUGGAAUAAAUCAAGUGCGGAGUUAUCUGAAACAAAUAGAUGAGUAAGUAAUCACUAUCACUAAGCUAAUUUACAGUUCCUGAUUUAACUCUAAAAUUACAUCUUACUACAGUCUUAAUCAGCAAAGAAUACUGCCAGAGUAAUACUUAUUGGUCACAAUGAUGAAAAGAGUUCCAAAUGCCUCAAGACACGAUAACAUGGAGACCUUAUGCACAUGUCUGCAAUUUGGAGUUUUCUAGCCUUUGUGACUCUUGAAAUAUUUUGAAUAUGAAUCGAUACGAAGUUAUAUACGAAUAUUAUAUGAGACGGUAAAUUAGUAUCACAAAACAAUCCAACUAAACAGACAAGUACAAGCUGAUCAUAUUCAAAUUACUAUUGCAGAUACCCAAGAUUUAAGCUGUUUGGAGGGCAACUCAAAGGAAUAGAGAUGAUAAACACGAUUAAAAGGCUGACAGAUAGUUGUUUUUUUCUGUAACGAUAAGGUUACUCCAUGACUCCAUGUAAUCCAUUUACAUUACAUUUCGGCGAGCCAAACACCACCUAAAAAUUCUACUUAAAAGGACGUCGGUCUUAUAUUUCUAGUCUGAAUUUACAACUUAUCCCAAGUACUUAAAGCACCUAUAGUAAUAAUCUACUCCCUCUAUUCCAAAUACAAAGUCGUUCUUGUUUUUUAGAUACAUUAUUUUUAUUAUAUUUAUAGACAUAAUGUAUAUCUAGUUAUAUAACAAAAGUUGUGUAUCUAGAAAAGUCGGACUUACAAUUUUGAAUAUGGGAAGCAAUAAUAGAACUGUAUAUUUAUCAUCUAACACUGAAUUGUAAUGUUUUUUUGGUUGGAAUUGAAUUCCAUUCUAACAAUCAUAAUUUAGACAUAAACUAAUUAAGUUAAUAUAUUUGUAUAUGUAAUUUAUUUGUAUAUUAUUUUAAAUCAUAUGAUAGAGAUAGUUAUAAAUUACACUUAUGCAUAGUUAUAAAUUACAUUUAUGUGAUAAAGAAGCAAGUAGAAAAGUAUGCUAUAAAUUAUACAUUAGAAAAAUAACAUCUAUAGAAUCAAUUUUCUUCUCUCACAUCAUAAAUUUAAAAUAGGCUUAUAUAUAAAUUUUGAAAAGUUAUGAAAUGUCAAAAUCUAAAAAAUAGUCUACUCAAUUAGUUAGAUCUAAUUUCUUAAAAUGAAGGGAAAUAAAAGGGCCCUACAUGGCGAGCUCCUGUUCGGCUGUCAUUGCAGCUGCUACUAUGAGCUGUGGCUGCAACCUGCAAUGUGCUUCCUGGUAUUACUGUAGUACCAGCUACAGCGAACACCACAGGUCGUCCAAUCCCAUUCUCAACGGCCUUCCAGGACAAGCGCACCGUUAAACGCCCGGACGCGCGCGCUGGGGGUGCAGUAUACGCUGCGUCGUGGUCGUUGCUUAACCUGAACGCAUGAACGACGGUUGCGGGGGCUGAGCAGGUCGCCUGAACUGCUUCCAAGUUUCUGGUGAGUGGUGAAGCAGCGCGACUCGUCAGAGUCGCAGUGAGCGUGCGGGCUGAAGAGGCAUUUCAUCAGUGCUGAGACUGCCUCCAACAAGUAGCAGCCAUAUUGGCCAGCUAUUUGGAUGUUUGCAUGUCCAUGCAGUUUUAGUUGGCCAGCUAAAAUUAUUAACUUUGCAACAGACCAUGCAAAAUAGCUGGACAUCACAAGUAGGAAAGAAGGUAAAAGUGAGCCGUACAUAACAGAUGCAUAUGGGGCCAAUUAGUCAGGGACAUAGACAUCAAAUUAGUUGGCGUGUGUCGCGGCAGCCAUUCUACCUUUCCUCUCUUUUGGCUACCAUUUUUGCUGCCGCAUAUGGCUGCCUCGUUGGAAGGCUACAGUGCGGUAUGAACAGGCAAAUUGCUUUUGCAUGGCGGAAUGCCUGGCCCGUUGGAGUCAGCCUGAUCGCUGAGGAGGUCCAUUACACCUUACACGGGCCUGUGGCCGUGGUCCUCUACUAAGGGCUUCCUCUGCGGCUCAGAUUCGGCCCAUCCGCUGCGGCAGCGCUGAGUGGGAGAAAACCACGUCGUACUCCGACGCGGAUAGCGACGGUUUCUUCUGCUUCAUCACAGAUGUGAAGAUUCAGUUUCUUGUGCACAAGCGGUUUCUAUAUUUCCUCGUUAAAUCGUUUGCCAUAUUAAUAAAAAUAUAUGAGUGAUGGAACGAGUAAUACGCAUAUAAAAGCAAAAAAACUACAGUUUAUAUUCUGCAUGGUAAAUACCCUUAAUAAUCUCUCCCUAGUCUCUUCACAAACCCAAUAUCUUAAUAAUCUCUUACAAACCCGGUAGCUGAAUAUACAGCCAGAUUCUGAACGACCAGAUCAUCGUUAAGAGAGGGAUUUAUAAGGGUCUAUUCAGAUCCAUUAGCACUAAAAAUUAGCUAGCUAGUUAUUAAUUUUGAAGACGUUUUUAUCAACAGUUGGUUGAAUAGGGAGGUGAAUAUGAUCAUCCAUUAGUAACUCUAAACCUGCAAAUAAAACUAAUCGUUAGCAUUUUAACUAAUGAUUAAUAUGCCCGUUUGGAAUCGCUAGUAUUAAUUUCACCUGCUAAUUUUGAAUGCUAAUAGGUUCGAACAGAUCCUAAGCAAACAAAAGAAAACAACUUUCCAGUAUAUUUUUUUAAGACUCAAAUGGCUUUCUCGCCUGGGAACAGGCAGUUCAGUGUGUUCAUGACAGCGACGUGUUCUUGAGAGUGCAUGAUUAGUUUGCUGCGAUGUCGCUCUGAUUCUCAGGGCAUGUACGUUUUUAGUUCUUGUUUAAAAGAACGCAUCCCGGCCCUUCCGACGACCCAAACUGUACAGGCAACAGACAACACGGUCCAGAUGGAGUCGGUGCACACGUACAUGUUGUCUCCUCCUCAGCUCGUUUAGUUAUAACACACCACCACCAUAAUAAUCAUCAUUAUCUGGAUCACUUUCUGAAUUAUUCAGUGCCUACAUAUAUGUUUAUUCGGUUGGUUAGUUUGCUGCGGUUGUUGAUUAGAGAAAGAUGGAGGAACUAUGGGAGAGACGACACUGACAGCAUUUGAUUAUCGAGAUACUACUAUAGAUGUUAACAUUUGGUCUGCAUGCCCGUCUGUGACCCAAUAGCGCUUCAGAUUUUCACUGAAGUAACCACAAGUACAACCAAUAUGAUCGCAGACCAUAUUAUAUGCCUUAUUUAAACUGCACUCAUGCAAGAGGACUCAAACAAAGUACAAGUGUCUUCAAACAGGCUGACCCACUGUCUCUAUACUUCUCAACGUUAUAAGUUCAUAACAGACCGCUAACCAUUUUAAUAGAUAUAACCAGCUUGGAUGGAAAAAAGCUUCGGUUUAAAGCCAACUAUUUAGACUGUUGCAGCUGCAAUCUAUAGAGACAAAUACUGUAGAAGCAAUAGAAGCUAAUACGAAUUAAAAUCAGGCGAAUAAAUUGACAACAUCUUUUAGUUUUAAAUAUGUUGACGAUACAAAUUGUAUUCAUGGAUUAUACAUGACUUGGAUAAAGCUCCCAACCUACAACAACCUUAUGUAUUCGAGAAAUUGUCAUGUCUCAAAAUCAAUUUCCAUAAAAGCAAAAUUGUUUUGCUUCAACAAAGCUAAAAUUGCUAAAUACCCCUUAUAAAGAUGUCUUUCGCUGCAUCACAUGUAAUUCCACAUCUUAGUAUUUAGGUAUCCCCAUAUCUACUAUAGGAAGUCCGAAAAUGCCAACUGUUUCGAAAUGGGUAAGAAGAACCUGGUAAUUUAGAUGUUGGACAGAGCGGUGAGAGAUUUCAAUGGAGGUAGGAUCUGGUAAUUUAGAUGCUUGAUAUAUGAAUCCAGCAUUUAGGGUCUAUCAGGUGUAGUUUUACUGGAUCUAAAUCUAUCAAGAACAGAUCUAGAUUCGUCCUUUUCUCUUGAACGCUUCCAUCUCCAUCAGCUCCAACGUGGAUUCGAUCCACCAAAACCUCAGAUCUAGCCCCAAAUUCAUCAAAUUGAUGGAACAAUUGAAGGGGUGCUCUAUUGAAUCCAACUUUCGUCGAGUUGGAACAAAGAUUAAGCAUUUGAGUGGUAUGAGAGUUGAGGAACAUCACACACAAGAGUUGAUGAUCCAUUUCUAGUAGCUCUAUAUACCCAAGUAUUUAAAGAUCACUCGUUUAUUAGCGUAGGUGCUUUGUGAAGUGAUUAAGUCAGUUAGACCGCUGCUUAAAGCUCUCGCUCUAUGUUUAGGUCUAGUACUGCUUGACAGCUUGAGUGAUGUUAGAACACCUCUAUCCCCUUGGUGUUUGCGUGCACCAUUGUACUAGUUAUAUUGGAAGAGCUUAUAGUCUAGGUCACACUAACCGCUGCCAAGUACUUAAAGAGCCAGAUACUCUUGUAAAGUGUUUCUUUAGGACGAAAUGGACAUAGACACUAGUAAGUAGGGCCUAUUUGAAGGGCAAAAAAGUAUAUUCGAACUAAAGUAUUCUUGUAUGGAUAUGUAGUUGUCUUGUUGCUAAAGACAGACUCUUUUUUUGGGAUAGAUUCACGGUGAAAUUUGAUGUCCACUGGUGUAGCUGCUUCACGGCUAAUCUGAUAUCCCGAUUUGUUUUGUUUAAUAUGAAGUUGUCCUAAAUAAGCCCCUCACGUCUAGAUCCAGAUCUGGAUUUGAUGCUGACUGCUGUGCUGGCUAACCCCUCCGUCACUUCGUUUCACUGCCAGAAAGCAAAAUACUACUACUAACUAGGUAGUACAGAUAAUACGAGAGCCAUUACAUAAUGUUCGUAGGCUCAUGGGCCUAGAUGACCAGGGGAAUAAUCGGCCGCCAGCCGGUUGAUUGCUGUGAUUAGGUGUGAGGAGGGGCUCGUUGGCCGUUGGGAGAAUGCAGAGGCACGGAGGGGCCGAGGGAAAAAAAAACACACUCCCUUGUCGUGUUUCUGCAAUGAGAAAAAAAAAA
rnacentral:lncRNA from 1 species